UUGCAUAUACUGGUCCAUGCUACGAUGACUAUACUGUCUGCAAAGCCCAUUGCCCGUGAUUCAACACAAUUUCCAUGAAUAGUUUUCAUGUAAUAAGGAAGAGAUGAUAUGCAAUAAGUUUUCCUAUCAAUAUUUGCUUUUACAAUUGCUAAAGUGAAUAAGGAUAUGAUUUCCUAAAUUAUUAUGGUGCUUGUACUUAUCCCUAUCAACUGUUUUAUCAAGAAAUACAUUUUUUGUGCAAUGGAGACACAUCGCUGGCACUACAGUGCAGCAUAACAAAGGCUGGCCAGGAUGGUGGUCCAUGGACCACCCUAGAUUUUUUUCACUGGCUUACUUGGGUGUACUUGAGCACAAGAAAGCCCAGAAUAGGAUUGUUUUUUGCUAGAUAAAUAUUAAAUUUAUUUGCGUUAGCACAGAUAAAGAUGUGAUUUCUAAAUUAUUAUUGUCCUUGUACUUAUCUAUAUGGACUAUAUUUUUGUAGAAAUACUUUUUUUGUGCAAUGGAGACAUACCACUAGCACUUCAGUGCAUUGGCAUAACGAGGGGUGGCCAGAUGGUGGUCCAUGGACCACCCUGGGAUUUUUCCAUUGGCUCACUUGGGUGCAUUGGUGCGCUUCCUAAAAAAGUGAAAGCACAACUACGCUCGUUGGUUUUUGUUUUUCUCCUGAUUUUUAUUUUUAUUUUUGUUGUUUUAGGUUCUUAUUAUUUCCUAGUUUUUGGUUUUCUUCGGAUUUUGGUGUUUUUGGACUUGUUUCUUAUUUUUGGUUUUCCCCGGAAAAAAGUUCAUCCAAACCUAUUAAGAUGGAAUCUAGUUUUGAAGAUCUCGAUGCCAGAAACCCAAUGGUGGAAACGAUUCGUGAUUUGGAUGGAUGGUUCGAGAGAUAAAACUUUUUGUAAAAAAAUGAAUCUUUAAAAAAACUGAAAAACUCUUAGCUGUGACAAGUGCUACUUGUCACCACAGAGAAGGUGGGAGUGAUAUUUGCAAGGGAAACGAGGUUUCUCAGCAAGGGAGUGACGCUCAAGUGUCGUCAUCACUAGAUCCAACCAUCAAAGGCUAGAAUCAAAGUUUUCACCUUGAAAAAUAACUCUGAGCAAAUUCGAGCAAUGCCUUCAACAAGGUAGUGAAACAGAAAUAUCGCCAUUGUCAAGUCUAACCAACUUGGGUUAGCCCUAAGUUUUCACUCCGGAGCUCGAGACCGAGAACUGGAGAAGCACCAACAAAUCGAAGGCAAUCAUGUGUUAUCACCACCACUUUUCCAACAUUCCAAUAGCUACAAGCUUUGGUCUAAAAGUUCCACCGCCGCCGCUGCACAACCAUACUCUUUUGCGUUAAGUUGUUGUCGUAGAUUGCAUUUCAUGGCUGAAGGCAAAGUGGCCGGAGUGAGUGCCGCCAAAACUCACAAAGGAGCCUACUGACUUGCAAUGGUUUGAAGAUGUGACAUGUCAGCAUCCAUCAACUGCUUCAGAGAUGAAUGUUUUGAUCAACUACUUUCCUAAUAUCUUUUCUAGAAUCCACCUCCCAUAUGAAGCCAAGUUUUGAUGCAAAGUAGUCUGUCCUCAUGAUGUUCUCUCUCUCACCCUGCUAUUCUACUUCAUCAUCAGUAAAGAACAUAAGCAACGGGCAACCGCCAAUUAUUAAGCACUCAAGUGCUGCUGGAAGACAACAUAAUGUUUUCAGAGUUGACACAUUCUCGAGCUCCAGUUUAGUGCAAUGCCUAAAGAGCUCGGUAUUGAGUGGUAGGCCUUCUAAUGCACUACAUUUCACAAGCUUAAAAGAUUGCAAACUUUCAAAAUAUGAACCCUCAAGUAGCCAACUUGGAUACGCGGCACAAUUGUAACCCUCAAUUUCGAGGCACUGAAGUUGAGGCGGCGGCAUCAAACCUUCAAUAAUCUCCAACCGUAAACUAUCCUGCACACUCGUGUCAUUAUUCGAACUCCAGACAAGGCACAGGGUUCCGAAGUGAUUUUUCUGAUAUAGCUUAGAGUCUAGGGCCUCAUUCUUUCCACUGACAUUCUCCAGAUUUCUGACACUUAAACUGCCACCAUGCUCUUUCAUGUCACUGAGCUGUUGCAACCCAGACCCCUUCUGUUUUUGCACACAAAAUUCUUUAAGAUGUUGUAGCAAAGUUAGCUUGCCUAUAUAACGGAUUUGUGGCAGAGCUACUUCAUACAUCCUGUAUGACAUAUCACUGUACCCUUCAGGAUGCCGUAGCUUGCUUAAAUUACAGAGUUUGUCAGGCAAGCUCUUAACUUUUAUGGUUUAACUGAAGUACCUGUAGCUGACAAAGAGCACAUAAUGACCCAGGCAAUUCGGCAAUAGAAGUUUUGACAAGGUUCAAAUGCCGAAGAUGCUUCAGCACACCUAAAGAUUCAGGUAGCUUGCUACUAUUGUAAAAACACAAAUGGAGCACACGUACCUUCUUCGGAUAUUGCAGAACCUGAUGGAAAACAUCACUUAUAUCAUCUGUAAGUGGUUCAAUGCAGAUAAAGAUAAGGGUUGUACCGAAGUGGGGCUCCUAAACAAAAGGGUUGUUAGGAGUUGGGAGUUGGGACGGGGUGAGCUCACCAUGUUGAUGAGGACUAGCUAAAGAAUGGUUGAGAGGAUUCAGAAUAUACACUGUCACACUGUCUCGUACUGGAAAAGGUAAUCCCAUUUGCAGCAGUAUAGUAUCUUUCAGCUCAAACGUCCAUGUCUUGCGUGGCCUCAGAGCUAGUGUACACAAGACAGGACAGUCGAGGCGGCAUCUCGGUAUCUUGCCUGUCACUUCGUCCGCCUGCAGUUUUGUCUUUCAAAAUUGGAAACCGUGCUACCUCUAGCCGGCCACACUAAUCUCCACAAGUUUUCUUUUCUUCAGUCUCGCACCUUUCUUCAGUAGCAAAUAGCAGAGAACCAGCAGUUGGUUGCAUUCCCGCUAUCCACUCAGCUAAGCUAGAUGGCAGAUCCCUCUGGUGCUCGUGGCGGCGACAUGCCGGCUGAUCCAAUGGUUGAGGCCGUGGAAGAAGCUGUGGCUCCGGUUGAGCAGCACUUGAAGUGGACGAAAGAGGACGAGGAAUCGGAUGCUGCUUUAUCCGCUCCCCUCAUUAGCAGCCUCCAGCAAGUUGACUCAGCAGGGGAGACCAUUGAUUCUGCAGAAGUAGCACCAGCUCCGGUUGAGGAGGAGGAGUACUUGCAGGAAGCAGCGCAAGAGUUUAGGUCCUCUGAGAUCAUAGAUGUAGGUGACAUUUCUAGCUGUAGCCGCGAGCAUGUUGAUGAGGGAUCUGACUUUGCAGAAGGAGAACCGUCUCCGGCUCCGGUUAGGGGUGGUCAUUUGAUGGAAGAAGCAGAAGAGUUCAAGAUUGAUUUCGAUAAGAGAAAAGAGCAGAUGCAUGGGUUCCCUGCAAGCCUACGCAGUCUCGACAGCCAGUACAUCUAGCCGAGGGUCGUUGCCAUCGACCCUUACCACCACGGCAAACCUCACCUCCAGAGGAUGGAGAGGGUAAAGCACGUGGCUGCCAGCCAAUUCCUCCUCGAGUCAGGAGACCUCUCAGUUAGGGAGGUCUAUAACGCUGUCUACCUGGUAUCAGGCGAGGCCCGCCGCCGCUACGGUCAAGACUCUGUGGUGGCAGGUAUUGACGAUGCUGACUUUGUGCCUAUGAUGUUCUUUGAUGCCUGUUUCUUGCUGGAGUUUAUGCAUUUUAUUAGCGAUGAGCAGCUUCCGUUUGAUGAAGCGUUGUCAUACGUUUUCCGCUCCAACCAAGAACUUAUCAUUAGCGAUGUAAUGCUGCUGGAGAACCAGCUCCCCUGGCUGGUUCUGGAAAGCCUGAUGGGAUUUAGCUCUGUGCCCGUGCAAGAGAAGAUGAUAAUUUCAAGAAUGGGGAAAGGUCUCACAAAACGUAGGCAUCAUAUUCAAACCGGACCAGAAGAAAUCCUUUCAAACUUGUAUGAAGAUGAAGAAGAGUACAAGCCGCCACAUCUCCUUGGUCUCCUUCGAUUCUACAAAGCAAGCAACAAGAUGGCCACCAAAGCCAGCAAGAAAGCCAACAAGAAUGAUGUAUUUUCAACACUGAACCGUUUGAAAGCCCGGCUAAUUGGUGCGCAUAAAGAAAUGGAUGUACCAUCAUACAAUAACAUGUCCAUGGAAACACUUAGUCAAUUGUCAAUAUCUCCAGGAGCCACCGAGCUUGCAGAAAUUGGCAUCAAGGUGAAAGCCAUCAAGACGGGAAGUCCCACAGAAAUGGACAUCAGGAAAGGACCCCUCUUUGGCGAUCUUUCCUUCACGCCACUGGCGCUAAACGUAUCAAACGCAUGUUUGCUUGCAAACAUGGCGGCUUUUGAGGUAUGCACGGCAUCAUGGGAUCUAUGUGAUGUUCAAGAGACGGCCGUCUUCUUGUACCUCGCUCUCCUUGGCAUGCUCAUGGACCAGAAAGAGGAUGUGCGCGACCUACGAAGGAAGCAUCUUGUGCAAGGAGAACUCACGAACCAAGAGGUGUUUGACUUUUUCAAGAGCCUUACCAGGCACCUGCCGGUGGGCCUCUCCUUUCUCCUCGUCUUAACGAGCAUUGAGAAGUACCAGGCCAACAGGAGGAUCUGGGUCAAGGCGCACAAGUUCAUCUACAACAACUUCAAAACCAUUUCCGCGGUCCUCUCCGUGGUUGGUGUUCUGGUGGGCAUCUUCAAGACGCUCCUCUCUCUCAAGCAACACCAGUAAAGUCAGACCAUGUUUGCCAUAUUUUCAGUUAUGAACCUUCUGUAAAUCUCUUUUUUAAACAAUAUAUGCAUGUUUGUUGGUCUCAUUUCUGCUACUUAAUUCGUUUCUACUGCCUAAUUCAGUGAAGACUUUGAAAUCUCUUCUUUACCAUGAAGGCUGUCUGGCAGAUAGUUUUUAGAUUGGUACCUUCUGUAACACUUGUACAGUAUGAGUUGCUGGUUGUUCUGUUUUGGGGCCUUCUUCUUUCUCUGUAGUUUGUACCAUCAGUAUGAUAAAAUCUUCUGGUCCGUCAAGUAGCAAUGCCACUGACAAAUAUCAAGCUGAUGAUCUGCCCAAGGGGCACCAGUGCCCAUCAGCAUUGGUCAAUGGCAUCACAAGGGAAGCGACACAACAGGGGAAGAAAUUUUCCGACUUAGAAUCAUGUUUCUGGAUGCGCCAAUCCGUCUCUGCUUCACAUUGCUCUAUUUGCUUUUCUAUGUGUGCCAAUUCUUUUUCCUGUUGAUUACCGGUGCCAUGCAUGUUUGUUGGCGUCGUUUCUGCUACUUAACUCCCUCCCCGUUGCUGAAUCCAAUAAAGACUACGCAAUGUCUGAUGUAACAUUGAGGCUUACUACUGCUAGAGUUUUCAGUUUUGUACCUUUUGUAACACUUGUACACCAUGAGUUUCUGGGUGCUCUGUUUUUCAUGGCUUCUUCUUUUUCCAUAGUCUGUACCAUGAAUACUGAAGCAACAUUCUUCUUGCGGAAUCAGAUAUGUAAUUUGCAGGGGACGGAGCAGUUUUUUUUUUUUGAUAAACAGAAAGCAGUUUUGUUCAUUGGUCUUGAUCUAGAAUUCCUGAUAAUACUUUGAAUCAAGUUCACAUCAUAUAUUAAUGUCUUCACUUCUGUUAUUGUUUCUCAUGCUGAACUGUGAGCAACCUUCAUGCUGAACUCUGAGCAACCUAAGGUAAUUAACAACUGUUUGCUUCCCGCAAAAGGGAAAAGAAACAACUGUUUGCGGCAAUUAUGUCUGAGGAAAAGCAUUCUUCUGAGAAAAAAAAUACACGUGCUCAAUUUAGUACUCGCUUUCCUAAAUUUAUCUUGGUAAAAUAGUAUGGCCUUCAACUACUAAACCACAGCUUUAAGCAUCCAUGACAAUUUCCAAGGUACAAUGUUCUGAAUAUUCCGGUGUCAAGUCAAAUCAGUAGAUCUGUGACAAGUACUACAACCUAGACAGUCGCCUCUGUUCUUCGCUAGGCAUGUACACACAUAAUCAAAUAUAUAAGUUUUAGAGUGGUUGGGCUUUUUUAGAACCGUUCGUUGAUGUCGAUCUAACGGCAGACAAAUACGAAGUACUGGGUAGUACUCCGAUGAAAGUACGCGAAAGUACUAAAACGAGUGGGGCCAGUACUCGUGACAAGGUGGGGAUGCGUUUUAAUCUAGGGGCAGUUUAGUCCUAGGAAAAUUUGCACGCGCCGCCCCUCUCGUCGAAUGCAUAACCGCCGCCAUGGUGAUUCACAUUCCACAAUUACUCAUCGGCGGCCAUCUCCUCCCUCUCCUCCAAGUCCACCUCAGUCAUCUCCUCCUUCUUGCCGCUGCAACUUCGCUCCACUCAGGCAACUCCCCACCCACCCCCACCCCCUCUUACACGGCAGAUCGAGCUGAUGGCCGGCGACGAGAACACCGACUUCGUGCAGAUCGCCGGCGGCGACCAGGUCAAGUUGGCCAGGUUGAGGGAGAUCCGUUCUUGGUUUGACAACACAAGGUAGAUGAACUGGACGGCAAUGGCCACUCUCAAGAAUAUGACGAAGAAGGAGAGGGCAAAGCUUUGCCCCCCGCCCGCACAACUGAUUGACAAGAUCGAGAUCCUCCUCUGGGCAAUGGAGCAGGCCAAUUCGUCCAGCGAGUGGACCAGGCGGAGGUGGUGGGCGUUCAGAUCCAGGGUAGAGCAUCCACUGGAUCAGGAACCCACCGUGCACGAGGUGCCGUUGCAGAUUGUGCAACCUCCAACCGAGUCACCGGAGACUCCGAAGCGCAAGAUGAGGAGGACAGUGGUCGCGACCUCGCUUCCCCGCCGUUCUCCACGCUUCCCUUGCCGCUCUCCUCGUCUGAACGGCGGCGGUAGCUAUGUUUAGAGUAUGCUUCCCCACUCCUCAUCUUCCUACUGCUCGUGCUUACAUCGUGGUGAUACUGAUCGUAAUAGCUCAGAGAGGGAAUGCUAGAUGGCAUUUUAAUCUCAAUGAAUUGCAUGAAUAUUUGAGUACAUGGAUUUGGAGGAUGGAUUAUGAUGUAUGUGAACACUAGGCAUCAUAUGAACCCUAGGAAAAAUUAGUAAUGUUCUAGUGGUAGACACUGAAAUAUUUCGGUACACACCGGUAGGCACUGAAAUAUUUCGGAACUGCCCUAGGCAAAAUUUGUAAUGUUGUAGUGGUGGACACUGAAAUAUUUCGGUACACACCGGUAGGCACUGAAAUAUUUCGGUACUGCCCUAGGCAAAAUUUGUAAUGUUGUAGUGGUAGACACUGAAAUAUUUCGGUACACACCGGUAGGCACUGAAAUAUUUCGUUACUACAAUUUCAGUACACAUCGAUGCACAAUGAAUUAUUUCAGUACUGCAGUUUCAGUACACACUGAAAUAUUUCAGUACUGCAAAUUCUAUACAAAGUUGGCAUUUUGUCAUUUAUGUGUGAAUCAAUCCAUGCAUCAUAUGGCAUAACUUUGUACAUGAGUUUGGGUCAAUUUCAUGUCUAUUUAUUGUUAAAAUUAUUGUCAUGCCAUGAAACACAAGACAAGUCACUGACCCAAGCUUGCAAAGAUGACAUAUCAAUGUUGCUGAUAUGCACGUUUUCACCAAGUCUUGUGUCUGAAUUAAAACUAAGCAUUUUUUCUUGAUGGUAUCCAUGGAUCUAGAACUCCUAUGAAUUUGCUCAUGUUGGAUGUUUUAUUCUCCAUCAUUUGUACUAGCAUUCUGUGCGAUUAGAUGCCAUGACAAGACCCCUGGCAUAUUUAUUUUCUUGCCUCCAACAUCACAUGUGUGUUUUGCAGGAAAGAACCUGGAGUUCACCAGGCUGGCUGAAGUUGUGAGGCUGGGAGGCUGAUGGUGCUGCUACUGGCUGAUCCUUCUUCUUUCAGUUUUUGUUCGUCAUUUAUCAAGCCGUUGGACCAGGGCUACUUCCCUAUGUGCUGUUAAUGUAUUAAGUAGUUCCUUCGAAUUUGUAGUACUAGUUAGUUUGAAUGUGGAAGUACCUUAAUUUUUGGAACGAAAUGUUGCUAUGUAGGACCAAGGGUUUCAUACCUUAAUCUUUGGAUAAUUAAUUAUGUGAACUGUUAGAUGUGGUGCACAACGAAACGCCUCUACCAUUGAUACUAUAGUUCAACAUGUCGGUCCAAUUAGAGACCAGCCACUACCAUAUAGAACAGUUAGCAUUUCAUACUACAACCUGGCACGUACAAAACAUCACACAGUGGAAGCACAUCCCUAAGCACCUUGCAUUGUACAAGGUCUAAGAGACCAGCCUCUACCAUAUAUAACAGUUACCAUGUCACACUACAGCAUAUAAAACAUCACAUUGUGGAAUAAUCAUAGCUAGUAGAGCAUUAGGUACCAGUUAAUAAUAGUUGCAAUCCAUCACAAGCAAUAGUACCUAGAUAUGAGUAGAUAUAGGUACGGUAAUACACGACAAGUACUCGCAAACAAGAGCUGACAUAACAAGUUCAUUUCACAUUGAUACAUGGCCCACCCCAGUUCUAAAUGAGGUGGAUGGUGAUCAUCAUCCUCAAGUCAUGGCGACGGGUGUUCGCAACGGUGAGUAGGAUGGCCUGUCCUACCCGAAGAUUCUUGGCACGAAGGAACUUCUUCCACCCUGCCAUGCUCAAGACAGUCCGACCGUUCGUGUCCACUACAUAGGCACAGCUGGUGAUGGAGCCGUUCUGGUAAGGCGUAGUCCAGCAGCCAUGCCUUCUUCGCCCGGGUCGAUGCCACAGCUAUCAAGUAACCUCUUAGGUAAUUUCUGAAAACAGUUGACAUGAUAUAUGAUCAUGUCACGUGCAAUUAUCAACAAAGCAUACACUUCAAGACACAUAUAUCAUUGGAUUCAACACUGAGCAUAUAUAUCAUCACAUGACUACACUAUACGCCAAGCAUCAAAUUACUACAGUAAUUAGGCAUAUCAUUAGAUUACUUCCUACACUAAGCAUAUCAUCGCAUAUUACUACACUACAUGCAUGUCAUAAAAUUCUUCACUAAAUGAAUUCUAAACUUGGCCUCUCAUCACAGUACUACAACAUGCAUAUCAUAUGAAGUACUACACUAACUAAGCAUGCAUAUCAUGUAAUUACCACACUAAGUAACAUACCAUGAUAUGUCGUUUAACAUUCGUCCUUGUGAGGCGGGUCACGAAUGGCUUCCCUAGGUAGUCUUCACGUAGCGGAAGCAUGUCCCAGAGGUUGCCGAUUUCCUCGUCGCCCAGGCUGAGUCCUUGGGCAUACAGGUAUUCAACAAGUGGGUUCUCAUCAUCAUCUGAAUCAGCACCAUCUUCGUCCUCGUGAACUUCAUCCUCACUAUCCGGAAUGAAAUUUAGAUAGAUAACAGAAAUCCUGGGCCUAUCUCUUCUGAAGGAGAAGCUGAUCAAUUCACCCCCAGUAAGACGCAUGCGGGCGAUGAAACGAUCCCAAUCAUCUCCUCCUAUCUGGGUUAUCUUUCGCCCCUUCUCGACCUGCAUAGUGUAUGGGCCCCCAAGAGCGUCAAAGGUCACUGUGUCUGCGACGAGCUCAUUGAAUGCCAAUCUCACAUUGCAUGGUACGAUCUGUGUAAGAUAAAAACAAAUAGCAGACACAAUACAUUAGUGCAAAUAGCAAAAAAAACAAAAAGAAUGUACUGUCAGAAGGUUCAUAUAAAUUAUUACCACUGCAACAACAAAAGAAGGCUGGAAGUAGAUGCCGAACAACGUGGCAGUAGAAAGGCUGGUCCGGCACCGUGAGUUGCAGCGUCCACAUUGUGCUUCCUCCAUUCUACACAGAACAUGUUGAACUCUAAGUUGAAUUGUACAUAGUACAAUACAAAGAUCAUACAUAUAAUAAAUCAUAGUGAUAACCUAUACUGGCAAUGGCCAAUCAAUCUAUUUUCUAUCAUCUAUGUAAUAAAGCAAUGGCAAUGACAAUGGCAAUGCCCGGUUCAUCUAAACCUGGGAAUAGUUGGGCAUCGAAACUUAAACCAGUCCAAUCCACGGCACACAUCAAAACCAAACCAAUCCAGAUAUUUUCAUUUAGAAUCUAGACCAAACCGAACUAUACAUGCGCGUCAUCCAACCCAGUCCAAACCGUUUUCAACUUCCAAAGGUUCAAACCGUGGACAAAGCCAUAUGCGAGGGCACGUCAUGAAUCUAGAUCAGACAUGGCGUCAAAGCUCGAGAGAGCCGACGAGCCCCGGCCGGCAACUGCGGCUCUUGGAUUUGAAGCAGUACUAGGUGGUAGUGGCGGCUCAAACUAAUUGAUUGAUUUGGUCUCAAACCAUAUAAACCAAAUCAAGAUCCAAUCCAAAAACUAAGUUUCAGUCCGUAGGGAGACGCGUUUGAGGAAGGGAAGAAGAGUGGAGAUCUGACGUACUUGCCGUAGUUGGCGGCGGCCGCGCACCGGCAGCGAAGAGAGGGGUCGUCGGCAGAGGCGGCGGCGCUGGUCGAGAAGGGGAGAAAGAAAGAUGUGGAGUGGUCGAGACAGGGAGAAAGAAAAAUGUGGUACAUGUGGUGGCUCGGUUGUGUGGAUGACAAGGGGACCCACUUGUGAGACCGAUAGCAAUUGAUGGCAAACCGUAGGAGGUGCACGACCGCGUGCACGACCGCCACGUCCCCACGUGGAAUCGGGACGGCCGGGUGGGUGUGUCAAGUCAAAUCGGCACCCGCGGCUUCUCGGUAACUCCAAGAGGCAGGAGCAGUGCCUUUCUUCCCCAAAUCGGGUAGAAAACCCUCAUCCUCUCCCGAACCAUACCACCCUCUCUUCCUUCCUCACCACCUCACCACCCUCUCCUCCUUCGUCACCACCCUCCUCCCUUCCUACGCCUCCCUCCUCCUGUCUUCGACCGACGAUGAAGCGCGGGCGUGAAGAUGCGGCGGAUGAGCCGGAGGCAACCAUCGGAGCAGAGCAGUCUGCUGCCAUGGCUGCAGCCGUGGGUGGAGCGGCUGAGUCCGCCGUAGCGGCGGAAGCUGGCGGUGCAGCGACCGUUGUGCCUGCUCCCGCUGCCAUCGCAGCCGUCGAGGCACCCGUCGGCGAGCACAAGGUCGGGGAAGAUCUGGAGGAGGAGGAGAUGAGAAGGCGUAAGCGCAAGGUGUAUGACAAAAUCGAAGAGCUCAUGGAGGAGAACGCCAUAAAGGAGUUCGACCUAGAUAGCAGGAAGGGCAGCGACUUCGACGAGGAUGCCAUCGACGAGCUAUCUGAGGUAGUACUCUGUUUUUUGCUCAGUUUUUUUCAUGACAUUGGGGUUUUUCUUGUUAACUAGAUGAGCAUCAAUUUCACUUGGGCGUUCUAGUUGUACGUAUGUAGGAUUGUAGGGAUCUAGCAUAGAUCUUCAUGUUGGAUGUGGAUUUUAAAUCUGAUUCACAUUCUGAUUCCAGCAUAUACUCUGGGUUUUUUUCAUGGCAUUGGGGUUAGUCUUGUUAACUAGAUGAGCAUAAGUUUCAUAAGGGAUACAUUAAUGAAAGAAGUGGGGUAAUGAACCCAAAUACAAGAAAAUGUUCAUGGCAGGGAUACAUUAAUGAAAAAAGUGGGUUAAACAAUGGAUAUAUGACAGGAUUCUCCAUUGGCUUCCCCAGGAUAGUGACUAAAUUCUGCAGGUCCUGAUUCAUUAUAGUUUAUGUCCAUGAAUUAAUUUGCACACAUGUUCAUAGAUGAUUAGUUUGCACACAUGUUCAUAGAUGAUCCAUUUGCAAAUUCUAUACAGAUUUCCAUUUUGCAAAGGAAGUGAUCGCUCCCUUAAUAAUUAUGGGCUGACAUUACAUAUCCACUGGAUACCGAAAAAUCAAAACAUCUCAUCUACCCAAUUUUCCACAGUAUUUUAUUUAGAUGAUCACAGCCACAUCUCUCAUCAAUAUGAGCAGUGAGACACCCCAUAGCUCCUUUACCAAUUUCCUUCUGAAAGUUAUCAGGGUCUAACAAUGUUGGAGAAGCAGUAUUGCCGCUGUCAGAAAGAAUAAUUGUUUCUUCAUUCCAGUAGAUAGAACAAACCCCCCUUGUGCGAAACAUGGAGGAGUACAAUGAAGCCAUUUUUCUGAUUCCAAUAAGAAUUACACCUGUAACAAGUAUCAAAUAUCAUUAAACCAAGCCACUUCAUCUAUAAAUGCAACUACUUGGGUUUAGGGUUAUCAGGGGUUAGGGUUAUCAGGGUUUAGGGUUGAGUGUUUACAUGCAAUCCCGGAAAUGCGUGUGUCAGAGAACGUACUUGCAUGUAUAUGUAGUAAUGAUCCCAAACUUUCUUAAUGGCAUCCCAUGACCACAUAGAGAAUGAAUGCAUAAUGGUUUCCAUGUUGGGCAAAAUUUUGAAUGUUUAUACGGUUUAGUGGGGGGGAGGGGUUUAGGGUUAUCAGGGUUUAGGGUUUAAGGGUUUUAGGGUUGACGGAACUAUGUUUGUCUUACGGUGGACGUAGCACACACACCGGACAUUGAUGGAGCGUUGGUCUACAAUGGAUUCCCUCCGGUACCAUCGAUCCGGUCCGUUGACUGGCUCGGCCGACAAACUUCGUGCCACAUAAAGCAUGCAUCCAUCCACUGGACCGGAUCGAUGUUUGGUUGGUUUCAUACAGGUGAGGAACCCAGGUAGUGCUUUCGGGGUGUUGACAUGCUAGGCCGGAAAUGCGCGUGUCAGAGAUCGUACUUGCGUGUAUAAUCCCGAAAAUCUUUCAUGGCAUCCCAUGAGACCACAUAGAGAAUGCAUGCAUAAUGGUUUCCAUGUGGGGCAAAAAUUUGAAUGUUUUUACGGCUUAGUGGGAGGGGGGGUUUAGGGUUAUCAGGGUUUAAGGGUUUUAGGGUUGACGGAACUAUGUUUGUCUUACGGUGGACGUAGCACACACACCGGACAUCGAUGGAGCGUUGCUCUACAAUGGAUUCCCUCCGGUACCAUCGAUCCGGUCCGUUGACUGGCUCGGCCAACAAACUUCGUGCCACAUAGAGCAUGCAUCCAUCCACUAGACCGGAUUGAUGUUUGGUUGGUUUCAUACAGGUGAGGAACCCAGCUAGUGCUUUCGGGGUGUUGACAUGCUAUGCCGAAAAUGCGCGUGUCAGAGAUCGUACUUGUGUGUAUAAUCCCAAAAAUCUUUCAUGGCAUCCCAUGACCACAUAGAGAAUGCAUGCAUAAUGGUUUCCAUGUGGGGCAAAAAUUUGAAUGUUUUUAUGGUUUAGUGGGAGGGGGGUUUAUGGUUAUCAGGGUUUAGUGUUUAAGGGUUUUAGGGUUGACGGAACUAUGUUUGUCUUACGGUGGACGUAGCACACACACCGUACAUUGAUGGAGCGUUGGUCUACAAUGGAGUCCCUCCUGUAGCAUCGAUCUGGUCCGUCGACUGGCUCGGCCGACAAACUUCGUGCCACAUAGAGCAUGCAUGCAUCCACUGAACCAGAUGAAAUGCGCGUGUCAGAGAUCGUACUUGCGUGUACAUGUACCAUCCGUUCCAUCCACUGGCUGGGCCGACAACCUUCGUGCCACAUUGUUCACAUUGUCCAAUUAACACUUUGUAUAGAUUUUUUUGGUAAAAAAUGAAAGAAAUAAUGCAACUAAUCUGAACGUAACGUUUGGCAUGUAUCAAACCAAGUUGCUACUAUUCCUCAAAAAAACCCAGUUAGCCACUAAUUGCGCCAAACAUAUCUCGUAAUUACCAACGAAAAUGGGUUGACAAUUAUAUCUGGAAAUUUUUGGACUGAAUUUAUUGCUCUUCCUUUUUUAGAGAACAAUAAGUUAGAAUGGUGGGCGGCGGGUUGGCACGGGCACGGCGAUGGCUCGGGCUUGUGUGAUAUGUGGUUCGACCCGCGGUCAGUGCACAUGUUUUGGAAGCCCCAAAAAGAUCGCGCUCUUAAAAAAACUUGCAUCGAAGCGCAUUACUUCAAAAUAACUAAUUAACCCUACAAUCACGGAUAUAUACCUUCCCAUUCUACCGAAUAUCUACCCUAUCCUAACCACCCCCAUCUACCUUGUUUCUCCUCACAUAGCCAUCGCCGGGAUCGCGCCAUCGCUUCUCAAGCGACCACGCCGACGCCGGAUUAAAAAGGUCUCUUCCACGGCUUCUCUCAUCUUCGAUUGCAGUGCUGAUUAUUUUUUCCAUUGAUUCGACCAACAAGUAAUUUCCGAAGAGAUUAGAAAAUCCAGCUUUUGCCAUAGUUGAGUAGUUCUGGUGUGAUUCGAGUACAGGAUGUCAUGCAAGAGCUUUUUGAUUGAUAGUUUGUACUAGUUGAUCGUACGAACUAAUUAUGAAUAUUUUUUCACGGUCGUAUUGUUUCGAAUUAGGUGGAUGAGGGUGUGGAUACAGUUUUCAUACUAUGGGUAUAUGUGUUGCUGUAGGGACCAUGGUCUCAGAGGCGUAUAACAACCGUGCGGAGUACGACAAGUCUUUGCAUGAAGCGCGUCGGGAGAUCGACUUGAAGGUGCAAAAGGAUCGCGCUGAGGUAGAUAAGAAACUGAAAAAAGAACAUUCAUACGUGGACAGGAUGAUAAAGGAGGAGCGUCAGGAGUUUUCCCUUAAGAUGGCGAAGAUGCGUCUUGAGAUUGAAGAAAAGUAUAAGAGGGACUGUGAGUACAUGGAAAAAAAGUUUUUCUUAGGCUACAAGGAAAUGCAUCAAACGUUGCAGAAGGACCGGAAGCUUGUGGACAAUAUUAUACAGACAGAGCGAGUCAAGAUGGAUGCCUAUGUGUUGCAGGCACGUGCGGAUAUGGACAGUAAGCUGCUACAGGAGCGGUCGGACAUGGAUUAUAAGGCCAUGCUGGAGAAGGUCCGCUUGGAAGGACAUAUGUUAGAAGACCGUGCGAUCUCACGGCCACCCCGACAACAUGUCUUCAAUUAUUCUCCCCCUGUAAGUAUCUCGCACCGAUUCUAUAUAUUAAGGACCUACGUAUUCUAUGAUACAAACAUCUUCAAUUUGUGGCAACCUUAUGUCGGCGAUUGUAUGUAGGCUAAGCAUCAUGAGAUGGCACAGUCGCCAUUCACUCGAGAUAUUGCGAUAGAGUCACCCGUUCAAUGCCACAUCAGUCCACCCCAACAACAUAUCGUCAAUUGUCCCCUUGUAAGUACCUCGCAACGAUGCAUACCCAAGAUAUGGUAUGACCUUUCAAAACUUGUGUGUAAACCCACUAUCGACAUUUCAUACGCAGGAUAAGAAACCUAUGAUGGCAGAGUCCCUAGUCACACCACAUGAAGGAUACAUUCAACAUAAUAAGGUGAGAAGGUUUGGGAUGGCACAAUCCCAAGUCACUCCACAUGAAGGAUACAUUCCACAAAAGCAGGUAACAACGCCGCAAUGUUGCUAUGCACAUAAAAGUUAUGUUUGGCCCUUUACUCAUUGAAUGUAUUAACUCUGAUGUGAGAUACUAGGUGCUGGUCAUGGAAUUUUUUGUUAGUAGGGAUGAUGAGAUGUCACAUGUCCCGAGAGCAUACUUUGAUGAACACCCGGCAGAAGUCAGAAUUUUUGAACCCGCCAAAGUGACCUACGAUCUCAUUAUGAGUGAAAUGAGAGAUAGUUUUGGUUGCAAACUGGGAGCAGAACUGUACUACUUCUUACCCGGGUCUGCGUGCAAGCUGCCAGAAGGAAUGUUCUUGAUUGCAGGACCAGAUGAUGUACAAAAAAUGUUUUUUGAUCUGAAUGGCAGCAAGACAUGUCACCUGUACAUUGUGUACAAUAGAACUACGGGUUGUUUUCCCGAGGAUGACAUUGAUUCCGAGGUUCAAAUUUUACAUGUUGCAUGCAUCUAGUUUAUGGCAACGUCUUUUUUGAGUUCUUCCUAAUACAAUUCCUAUGGUUUUCUACAGGAAGUGAGAAUCCAAGAAAUGGAGGGUCUUGCUAGAGAGUUGGCAGAGAAAGACCAUGAACAACUUAAGUUGUAUGGUUACAUUGAUGUUAAAGAGAAAAAUAUUGAAGCACAUGGGUCGUCGCCAAGCCCGACGCAAUCUCCAACGACGCAACGCAAGAGGUCACUGGAUUUUGGCAGUGCAGAAGACAAUAUGGAGUAGGCUCAAUUGUUUUUCAACCAGUUUAAGCUUCAAACCAGGAUUAUUUAGUUGCAAACAAACCUUUUGUUUUCUGUUUCACACUAUGUUCGCAAUUAUGGUACAAUUUAUUCAUGAUACAGUUCUUUGAACAACAAUGCAUGUGUUUUAUGAUCAAUCAUACAGUUGUUUCUGAGUUGUUUUUGAGAUGGCAUUGUGUCUAAAGAAGUUUCCAUCUAUAGAACUUGGCACACAGUCGCAUCGGAAUCGCGUAUCACGCGAGAGGCGUGCGUCGCACGGGAGAGCGUCGCACACGAGCUUGUUUUCGGGUAGAAAUCAUAACAUAUUUCGGAUAGAUAAAGUUCACGUCCGCCACCCGCGCAUGCAAACCCACGUCGCCGCCAUUCCCAUGCAUGCAUGCCUCAGGCGCAGACAACGAGACGGCCCAUCCGAAGUAGGCCCAUCCGAAUUAGGCCCAUCCGAAGUAGGCCAUUAGAACCCUCCCCCCACUCCACCUAUUCCCCUCGCGCUGUGGCCUCCCUCCCUCCAUCGCCAGAUCCCCCACUCGUCCCCCUCUGUCCGCCACCCCUGCACGCCGUUGGCGACUCCACCCCCACCGCACCCGCGCCCCCCCAACGGGAUCGGCCGGAUCCAUCUCCUCAACCACCGUAGGACAGCGCAGGUACCCCAGUUUCUGUUGACGUCUCAAUGGUAUCCAUGCUGAUAAUGCUAGGUAGAUCGACUGAGUGUAGCAAUUUUGUGCCACCAAUCCACUUUUCUGGAAAAUUCUUGCUAGAAAACUAUCUGAAACUUGUGAUGCUUGCUACUGUAUAAUAUAGGACUUUUCAAAGUUCUGUUAUGAUUGCACUAUUGGACACAUACAGUAGAUCUGCGUUUUUAGUUGUUAUACUUUAAGUUACCAUUAGUGCUUGGGAAAGGACGAAUUGGAUGCAUUCAGGUCUACAGUUGAUAGUGUAUCAUCAUAAUGUAGGUGCUGUGUUGUGUGAUUCUUCAUGCUGAGAACUUCAGCUUUUUCAGUUAUAGUGAAAGGCUUCUGUAUAAAAAACUACUAAAUGAUCACAAAAACUUCUAGACAACAUUCUGUACGAUCUGACCAAAUCUUGAACUAAAUGAUCACCAAAAGUUGAAGGAUUUUGCAUCACAUCACAACCAUAAGUGUUCUGCACCACCAUCAUAACAAUCACAUAACUACAUAACAAAAGCAAACUUGUUCAUCAUUACAAAAGCAAACUUUUUCAACAUAACAAAAGCUAACUUGUUCAGCAUUACAAAAGCAAACUUGUUCAACCACAUAACUGCAAACUGAGACACAUAAUACCACAAACAACUCAAUAUCCCCAGUAGUAGGGGUCAUCCCAAUGAGCCUCCGCCUCUUGCCAGUACUCCAAACCUUCUUUGAUGAUUUCAAUUUUCUUCCAUGCCUCGUAGGUGACGUACGCAUCUUUCUCUGCGUACUCGAUGAGGUUGUUUGGCAGUGGGUUGUCCCCCUAUAGUUUGUGGUCGAAUUCCUUGUUAAUCUUCUUCUUAAUUUCCUUGUAUAAUGGGUGGAUGAGGCUGGCUGCAAACUCAGCCAAAGCCUGCCACUUCUUUCCAUUUUUUGGAACUCUCCAUUUGCGCUGCAUGUCGACGUACUUGUCGGGGUUGAUCUCCAAACCAGACAAUUUCAGCUUCUCCUUGUCACCUCCAAUGGAGAAGCCAACAAAGGUGUACAGCUUCUUCUCCUGCAGGAGCAGGCGGAGUUCCUUGGGCCUGCAUCAAAUUAAUCUGGUGCAUCAAAUUCAUCUACUUCAAAAACUUCAGAAACUACUAAUUAGACAUAAAAUUCAGAACUAGUAUUGCAUCUACUCCAGAACUUCAGAACUAGUAUUGCAUCUACUUCAGAACUUCAGAACUAUUGCAUCUACUUGAGAAACUUCAGAAACUUCAGAACUAUUGCAUCUACUUGAGAAACUUCAGAAACUACUAAUUAGACAUAAACUUCAGAACUUCAGAACUAGUAUUGCAUCUACUUCAGAACUUCAGAACUAUUGCAUCUACUUCAGAAACUUCAGAAACUACAGAAACUACUAAUUAAACAGAAACUUUAGAACUUCAGAACUAGUAUUGCAUCUACUUCAGAACUACAGAACUAUUGCGUCUACUUCAGAAACUUCAGAAACUACUAAUUAGACAGAAACGUCAGAACUUCAGAAACUUUAGAACUGGAUGUUUUUACCAUUUGGUUGCCGCGGUGAUGUGGUAUGCCAGGACGAGAUCCUCCACGCAUAACUGUAGAACUGCAGCCUUUUGUGGAGGUUCAUCUUCCCUCGUAUACUCGACAUCAACGGCGAUCGACCGAGAAAGCAUGCCGCCGAGCCUCCUCCUGAUCUCGCAGAUCCUCUUGUCGGCUUCGUCUGGAUUGCUGGUGCAUACGACAUCCAGCUUCUCCUUCUUCAGAUGGAUAUCAACCAUGAGCGGCACGGUGUAGUCCUGCUUCUGCCCGAGGACCAGAACGUUGUCGUCGACCACCAGCGGCUCCUUGCCAGACGCCUCACCUUGGUGAUGCUUGGCAGACGGAGGGGAGUUGCUCCAUGAUGCCUCCGCCAUUCUCUUGGCAGACGGAGGGGAGUUGCUCCACGAUUCCUCCGCCAUUGCCCUCCUGGCCAGCGAUGGUGGAGGCAGAGGGGAGUUGCUUGACGGUGGAGGCAGAGGGAGGAAGAUGGAGCGGCAAUGGAAUGAGGGAGGCAGAGGGAGGCAGAUUGAGCGGCAAUGGAAUAGGAGGGGAGUUCCCUGCGUCGUGGGGAGUUGCCAGUGGAGGGGAGUCGUGGGGAGUUGCCAGUGGAAGGGAGGCAUGGGGAGUUGCCUCGAAAACUCAAACGUCCUGCCCUUUGGCCCUCGAAAAAUCUGGAGGGGAGACGUGGGCCCUUUGGUUUGUCCUGUUUCUGAAACAAAAAUAAAAUAACAGCCAUAUUUUGCUCUCACUGCAACCAUAUUAAGAGAUCAAAAAUGGCACCAAAAAGUCACUGCAGCCAUCCUAAAUGCCACGAAAACAGCACCAAAACAACAUCAGCCAAAACAGCAAAAAAUGCAUCCAUCGAUCGUUCUUUAUUUCUUCUAACAUUCCGUGUUCUGUGCAGUGAGAUAGACACAACGCUACAAAUGCAGGCUGACAACGCCCGCGAUUUCAUGACCAUCAGGACAGACGGCGGCUUCAUCCACGCUCCGGUCCCAUGAGUCGAGUCGAAAGUAGUGAUGCUAUGUGUAGUUCUGAAACAUUGAUUGGCUCAUGUUGUAAUUAAACUUUAAUGAAUUGUAUGUCUCUUUGGUUUGGACAGUCGUUAAACUUAGAUGUAAUCGAUGCUAUUUAUUACUAGGACCAUGAAUUGUGCUAUUAAUGUCUUGCUUUUCUCUUCCGAUCCUUUUGUUGCAUACUUAUUUAUUGCUUAUGUAUUGUCUGUUGUUUGGCUUGUGCAUAGAGAUGACGUCGUAUGUCGUGUACAAGGGUAAGGUUCCCGGAGUCUACGACGACUGGGAGGAGUGUCGGAGACAGGUUCACCAUUUCAGCGGUAACAGUUACAAAGGGUACACCACUAGGGCGGAGGCGGAAUCUAGAUACACUCGCUAUCUAGCGGGAGAGAGGAGGGAGCGUUGGAGGAACCGGAUGAAGACCAGUUUCAUCGCGAUGAUGCUCAUCGUGAUGACCGCAACUCUCUUCUAUGUGAUGGUAGUUUAGAUGAUCGAUAUCGACUUGUAAUAUGAACACAAACUCGCUACUCGCGGUCUCGAGGCUUGUAAUGUUCUAUCUUUGUUCGGUCUUUUGAAUUCGGAGACUAAUAUGAUGAAUUGUAUUCGGAGAGCUAUCUUAUAUUGUAUUGGAUGAAUGUGCUGUUGCUGUGUGGUGCUGUCUAUAUUCUGUCCAAUAAUAUAUUUUGUAACCUGUGAAAAUAUCAGAAAUGUGCAUUUUUCCAACCACCUCCAAAUCACCUCAGUUUUGGCACACAUGAUCUCUUCCACAAACUAAACUAGGUUUCCAAGUUUUUGUAUUUUUUAUAUUUUUUUUUGAAUUUAUAAUGCCCUCUAGACUGACUGCUGAAAACAUCGGUCUAUGCCUCAAGGGGGCAUUGUAAAAUAAUUUUUUUCAAAAUUUUCUUGCAUACACAUGUUUUGCACAUGUGGGUGACCAUGUACAAGAAAAUUUGGGUGAUUUGGAGGUGGUGGAAAAAUUCACGUUUUUUCAAAAAAUGGCUUAAGUUAGACCAAAUGGUCCCUCCGGGAAUGCGGGCAUUUUUUCGACCACCUCCAAAUCACCUCAGUUUUGGCACACAUGAUCUCUUCCACAAACAAAACUAGGUUUCCAAGUUUUUGUAUUUUUUNNNNNNNNNNNNNNNNNNNNNNNNNNNNNNNNNNNNNNNNNNNNNNNNNNNNNNNNNNNNNNNNNNNNNNNNNNNNNNNNNNNNNNNNNNNNNNNNNNNNNNNNNNNNNNNNNNNNNNNNNNNNNNNNNNNNNNNNNNNNNNNNNNNNNNNNNNNNNNNNNNNNNNNNNNNNNNNNNNNNNNNNNNNNNNNNNNNNNNNNNNNNNNNNNNNNNNNNNNNNNNNNNNNNNNNNNNNNNNNNNNNNNNNNNNNNNNNNNNNNNNNNNNNNNNNNNNNNNNNNNNNNNNNNNNNNNNNNNNNNNNNNNNNNNNNNNNNNNNNNNNNNNNNNNNNNNNNNNNNNNNNNNNNNNNNNNNNNNNNNNNNNNNNNNNNNNNNNNNNNNNNNNNNNNNNNNNNNNNNNNNNNNNNNNNNNNNNNNNNNNNNNNNNNNNNNNNNNNNNNNNNNNNNNNNNNNNNNNNNNNNNNNNNNNNNNNNNNNNNNNNNNNNNNNNNNNNNNNNNNNNNNNNNNNNNNNNNNNNNNNNNNNNNNNNNNNNNNNNNNNNNNNNNNNNNNNNNNNNNNNNNNNNNNNNNNNNNNNNNNNNNNNNNNNNNNNNNNNNNNNNNNNNNNNNNNNNNNNNNNNNNNNNNNNNNNNNNNNNNNNNNNNNNNNNNNNNNNNNNNNNNNNNNNNNNNNNNNNNNNNNNNNNNNNNNNNNNNNNNNNNNNNNNNNNNNNNNNNNNNNNNNNNNNNNNNNNNNNNNNNNNNNNNNNNNNNNNNNNNNNNNNNNNNNNNNNNNNNNNNNNNNNNNNNNNNNNNNNNNNNNNNNNNNNNNNNNNNNNNNNNNNNNNNNNNNNNNNNNNNNNNNNNNNNNNNNNNNNNNNNNNNNNNNNNNNNNNNNNNNNNNNNNNNNNNNNNNNNNNNNNNNNNNNNNNNNNNNNNNNNNNNNNNNNNNNNNNNNNNNNNNNNNNNNNNNNNNNNNNNNNNNNNNNNNNNNNNNNNNNNNNNNNNNNNNNNNNNNNNNNNNNNNNNNNNNNNNNNNNNNNNNNNNNNNNNNNNNNNNNNNNNNNNNNNNNNNNNNNNNNNNNNNNNNNNNNNNNNNNNNNNNNNNNNNNNNNNNNNNNNNNNNNNNNNNNNNNNNNNNNNNNNNNNNNNNNNNNNNNNNNNNNNNNNNNNNNNNNNNNNNNNNNNNNNNNNNNNNNNNNNNNNNNNNNNNNNNNNNNNNNNNNNNNNNNNNNNNNNNNNNNNNNNNNNNNNNNNNNNNNNNNNNNNNNNNNNNNNNNNNNNNNNNNNNNNNNNNNNNNNNNNNNNNNNNNNNNNNNNNNNNNNNNNNNNNNNNNNNNNNNNNNNNNNNNNNNNNNNNNNNNNNNNNNNNNNNNNNNNNNNNNNNNNNNNNNNNNNNNNNNNNNNNNNNNNNNNNNNNNNNNNNNNNNNNNNNNNNNNNNNNNNNNNNNNNNNNNNNNNNNNNNNNNNNNNNNNNNNNNNNNNNNNNNNNNNNNNNNNNNNNNNNNNNNNNNNNNNNNNNNNNNNNNNNNNNAGGGGGCAUUGUAAAAUAUUUUUUUUCAAAAUUUUCUUGCAUACACAUGUUUUGCACAUGUCGGUGACCAUGUACAAGAAAAUUUGGGUGAUUUGGAGGUGGUGGAAAAAUUCACGUUUUUUUCAAAAAAUGGCUUAAGUUAGACCAAAUGGCCCCUCCGGGAAUGCGGGCAUUUUUUCGACCACCUCCAAAUCACCUCAGUUUUGGCACACAUGAUCUCUUCCACAAACAAAACUAGGUUUCCAAGUUUUUGUAUUUUUUAUAUUUUUUUUGAAUUUAUAAUGCCCUCUAGACUGACUACUGAAAACAUCGGUCUAUGCCUCAAGGGGGCAUUGUAAAAUAUAUUUUUUCAAAAUUUUCUUGCAUACACAUGUUUUGCACAUGUAGGUGACCAUGUACAAGAAAAUUUGGGUGAUUUGGAGGUGGUGGAAAAAUUCACGUUUUUUCAAAAAAUGGCUUAAGUUAGACCAAAUGGUCCCUCCGGGAAUGCGGGCAUUUUUUCGACCACCUCCAAAUCACCUCAGUUUUGGCACACAUGAUCUUUUCCACAAACAAAACUAGGUUUCCAAGUUUUUGUAUUUUUUUGAAUUUAUAAUGCCCUCUAGACUGACUGCUGAAAACAUCGGUCUAUGCCUCAAGGGGACCUGCAUGUGAAUAGUGAUUCAUCAAGGCCUUGACAGCUACUGGCACAGUGGCUGCCGCCUGAUUUGCAUGCAGCGAAGAUGAACGUGCAUGGAGGUUUUUCAAAGAUUUCCAAGCACACCCGAGUGGGCCCCGCUUAUUUAAAAAAUACGUCAGUCAUUAUUGCUCUGUAAUGAAGAAUAUGCAUGAUGAUUAUGAAUAUGCAUGACAACCAUAGUAAGGGUGAAGAAUCAUAGUGCCCAAUUUGUCGAAAUACAUCAUCAUUCUUAAAGUUGGACAUCACAUGAUACACACAGAAAGUGGAAACGAAAGAUGUAGAACUAAUACAGUAACAUGGCAGUACAACCGCACUUCACUAGAUUACUGUCACGAUGAAAUAGAAUGUAAAGACCACGUCACACAAAGCUGAAUGGCACACGACUUUCUCUGGCUCAUCGUCGGUUCAUGCUGUAAGUAGAUAUCACAGUUCAGCCUCGAGAUCCUACACAGAAGAAUAGAAUAAAUCACAUGGACAUCAAUUAUGAGUAAAACACAUGCAAAAAAAAUAUGAACAUAUUUCGUACCUCUAGCAAUUUAGCUCAUUUAGGUCGAUUGUGACCUGGUUUCUUGCAAUAGCCACAGAUAUUCUGUGAUCUUGACUUCUUUGUCUUUGCCUGCGGCCUUUUCUUCAGUGCACCUCGUCCUGGCACAUGCACGGGAUCCAGAACCUUAUCAACUUUCUGCGAGUGCGGCAUCAACGGGCCAAACCUAAUGCUGUUAUGCUGAGCAUUAGUUGACUCCUUGCUGUCAGCUAGUUCAAAACUUCAUGCUUGCCAUGAUGUUGUGCUUGCAAAAGCAUCUUUAGCCGGUGAUAGUCCUCAUCAGAGUGGCAUGCCUGGAAACUUGCGACGUGACUACAAUUCCGCAACUCGCGGUACCUCUGCAGGCUUAGCGAAUAGUCAUACAUCUGGUUUUUUCUGGUAGGUGCGUAUGCACAUUUUGCAUUCAUAGUCCACCUAGUGGGAACGCAACAACCGGGCAGAAUUGUUUGUUUUAAAAUCCCCAAUAUGUAAAAAAUGUGGGAACAUGGUGUGCCUGCGCAUUCCAGCUUACGGAAGAACAACUCACCCUGUGCAAAAGACCUCCUUGCUCUUCAAUGCGCACUCCAAACUUUUUAUCCAUUCUUUCCUGCUUGGACACAACAUAAGUGGAAUCUUCUGAUCCAUCUAGUAUCUCUCUAGUCUGACAUUUGCUGACAGCAUCUAUGCUCCAUAAGACCAUCUUAAAGACCCUAGGUGUGAAAACUGUUACGGCGUGUUUCUAAAGCGGCGAAGCAUUUUCCUCUGUAAAUGGAACGGACUGCAAGGCUUCGACGUCAUGGAUAGCUUCGUUAAUCCGUCGCGACGCAAGGCAACGCUCAUAGUGCUCUAGCAUUUCAAACAACGACAUCUUACCCUCAAGAUGCGUAUGUAGCACAGAGUUCAAGCUCUCACUCCUUUGAUUGCUGCUCAAUCCUAGGAAACAACGCCCCUCAAGAUAUGGAGCACACCAUAACUUUCUCAUCUGAUACAUCUGAUGCAGCCAAGACUCCUCACUGGUUACUUUAUUCCGUUGUAAGAAUUGUAUCCAUUUUAUCUCAUGCUCUUCAAUGGAAGAAGUAUCAUAAAUGAAAGAUCUGAAUUCCUCCUUUACGUCGUCAUCAUGCAGAUGGCGUACAAUGUUCUGCUAAAUGUGCCAUAUACAUAGUCUAUGGUUUGAGUCUGGCCAGACCACCCUUAUUGGUCUCUGCAUUGUAAGGUCCCCAUCUGUGAUCACAGAUAUCGGAUGCUUCUGUGCCAUGCAAUCAGAAAAGGUCCGCAACAUCCACUCGUAUGCCUGGCUUGUUUCAUGAGAAAUUAUACCACAGCCAAAUAUAACAGUGCUACGGUGGUGAUUCAACCCGACAAAAGGCACGAAUGGCAGAUUGUAUUUGUUGGUUCUGUAUGUGCUAUCAAAAACAAUGACGUCUCCGAAAGCCUCGUAGUCAAGUCGCGAUUGACUAUCAGCCCAGAACAGUCCCUUCAGAUGGCCAUGCUCGUCUACCAAGUACUUGAAGAAAAAAUACACAUCUCGCUCUCGCCUCGCCAUCAUGUGCAUGAUCACCGUUUUAGCAUCACCGGCACUGAUUGUCUCCUGCUUAUUAGCAUGGCAGAAAUUGUAAAGGUCCCUCUUUAUGCAUCCAACCUUAUCAAAUCCACCGUAUUGAAAGCACAAAAUAUUCAUAAUACGGUAUUUACGGAUCCCGCAUUUUUUCAUGUCCGCAAUGUCCGCUUUUUGCUCAUCGCUAAUUCGUCUGUGCGAAUGCAGCAGACAAGAAAGAUCCCGUGGGGCUAGAGGAUGGCUGUGCUCAUCGAUGAAAUCCUUAACAAACCACCGACCGGUUUCCUCCUGUCUCGUAAUGACCAAUUUAGCAUUACACCCAACACGAGUUAAACUUCGUGGCCUUCUCUUUCUAUCUUCCAUCUUUCUUUUCAUGUGCUUAUCUUCGCGAAACCCUUGACGACUACACACAAUUUUCCUUAAAAUUAUGUAUUUGUUGGAUCCAUCCCACUCAACGUAGCUUUUCCUCACACUAAAACAUUUUUCAAGAGCAUAUUUCUUGUAGAAUUCAUAGCCUUCAGCCUCACUAUCAAACAUCUUGCUGACAACAUUUACAUACUCGAACAUACUCUCAUCACUUGCAUACGCCAUGUCUUCCUGCAUAUGACAUGUGAGGGAAACCAAUCAUCAACAUCUUUCUGUUUAUCAAUGUUGCAGGUGUAAAAUAGCUCAUAGGCAAAGACAAGUGCAUGGAAAAGACUUUGCUGGUUUGACAUGUGAGGGAAACCAAUCAUCAACGUCCAACUAGUUUCUCAUCUUCCUUUAAACUAUAUUUCAUGCCUAUGCAAACCUAAAGUGAUGAUGACUUUAAUAAACUAAAUUAAGUGAACUAUGGAACCAGUAUCUCAUCUUCCUUUAGUAUAUCUCAUCUCAAACGUCAACAUCUUACUUAAACAAACAUGAUGCGAUUAGCUCAAGAGAAACUAUGCCACGAUGAAGCUUUCCAUUCGUUGUUCUAGUCAGUACCCGGAUCUUGUGGGGUUGAGGUUGUACUGCAUGCACGGUGGAGGGGCGCAACGGCCAAGAGAACGAGCAGAACGCCAAGCCGAAUUCAUACCUUAAGGAUGGUACGCGCGAAGAGAUGGGAUCGCCCGCCGCGGUCGCCGCCGAUUCAGCCGGUGCAGAUCCGGCCUUCUUCUUCUUCGGUAACGGCGUGGGGGGCUGGGGUUGGUUGGGUGGAGGACGAGGACGAUGAAUUUAUUCCUCUCGCCGGGCAGGUCGAGGACGGAGAAGGUCAGGAGCGGGGAGCGGCGACGAAUAGAUCGGAGGAGGAUUCUGAACUGGAUCGAGUAGACAUGGAUCUGGUCCUCAGGUGAUCGGUUCAAGAAAAGAUAUUUCCCCCUGGACCAUUAUGCCCUUAUCGCAAUUAACAUAUUAAAUUUAAUCAAUUAAAAUUCCCCGCAAGAUCUGACGGCUAAUAAAAAUCAGACGUGAUCAGACAUGUAAGUACUGCUAAGUACUCCGAGUACUAACCCAAUCACCGUAAAACAGCUCAAUCAAAUAAGUUACAGGCAGUUUCUAUCAAAUGCUAACACUGGUACCAAGAAUAAGUUCUUGAAAAGUAUUACUACUGUAGUAAAAAUAACCAGAAGUUGUGUCCCUCCCUUAGUUCCUUUGCAUGACUCCGGUAAUUAUCAAAACAGAACCAUUUGAAAACUUACAUGCUCACGAAUGCACGUGUCUGGUCUAGUAUGGCAUGCUCCUCUAUGAUGGUAUCAUUUAUUAUGGAUAAAUGACCACAACUUCUUGCAGCAACCUGGACCCGACAUAUGAGAGGCAUUCAUGACAGGUUUGAACAACGUCCAAUACCGUUGGCAUUGUUGUAAAAAAAUCCAUGGAUUUAAAAAAAAUGUUCACGAUUUUGGGAACCUCAGCUUGCCAGCCGGAUUUCUAAAGUAAAAUCCAUCAAUUCCGAACAAAAUUCAUCAUAUGUGAAAAAAAAUUCAUCAAUUUUGAAAAAAGUUCACGUGUUUUUAAAGCUAAGGUGCUCCAACUCUUAGCUCAUUGAUCCCAACUCUGAAGCUUAGGUGCUCCAAAAUCAAGAAUCACUACAAACAAACACACAUAGAUCAUCAAUUUACUGUGACACAAAGUUUCAGAUAUAAAUUUGAUUCAUAUCUCCGGAAACAAAUAACACAAUUCUUUUAGAUUCUCUACAGGCUCGCAGGUUCGUCAUGUCAUCGUUCACCGGUGUAUCCGUCAUCAAAGGUCAAGAGGGGAGCUUUUGCAAGACGUCCACCGUCGACGCCAGCACGAACAGCGGGUACCACCUGCUUAUGGUCAAUGGCUACUCACGUACCAAAGAACAAGUGCCCAUCGGUGAGAGCAUCAACUCCGGUACUUCCGAGACAGGAGGCCAUGUUUGGUACCUCGAGUACUACCCAACGGCCAACGCUCGGCUUGCGUCGAUUUCAUUUUUCUCUAUGUUUCCCUUUUUCCAGGAAGACGAUGACGCGUUUGGUAACUUUGCACAAAUAAUCUGGUGUGCUAGUUAGAUAUUUCGUUUACUUUUUUUUGAAAAGGAGAUAUUUCGUUUACUAAAAUCUUAAUUAAUACAAGUCCAAUUCAAAAAUUUAUAUAUUAAUUAAAGUUAGAGUUGAAUUAGCAUGCGCAGUUUGGCAGCUUGCCGUAACCCAAGGUGAGUCCGAUUAGGAUUUGUGUGUUAGAGAUGGACUUGGAGUAGAAUAGAGAGCAGAUCAUCUGGCAAAUCAUGGUGGAACUGAUCGUAGUACGGCUUGUUGGCUUCGCAGAGGCCAUCCAUGUAUAGCUGAACUUUUGUCGGCUGAUUGUAACUCUACACUUUUGGAAUAAAACUCCCAUUUCACUCGCAAAAAAAAAGAGAUGGACUUGGAGUAGGACGUGUGUUAGAGAUGGUCUGAGUCCGAUUAGGGCUUUCUAUGUUGCUUGUCGGACGAGCUGUACUACGUAGGGUUAGAGAUAGAUAGAUCGUGUACGAGUAGGACCAGGUUCAAAUUAGUUGGUGUCCGUGUAGGACAUGAUUCGGCCAUGUGUUUAUAUACAAUACUCCAUAGCCACACGUAGAAACAAACGUGAGAUUUUUUGAGAGAUAAAACAAAAUUCAAGAACGACCAGCCGGCGGUGCCAGCUCUCUGUUUCUGACGACGCGCAACGUUGGCGCACAGCGAAGAGAGUAGCGGUGUCUCCGCACGGACAACGAUAGGCUCGUCAUGUCAUCGUUCACCGGCGUAUCCAUCGUUGAAGACCAUGAGGGGUGCUCUUGCAACACGUCGGCGGUCGACCCUGGCACGGACAUUGGCUACCAUCUGUUCAUGGUCAAGGGCUACUCGCGCACCAAAGAGUUGUUGUCCAUAGGCGAGAGCAUCAACACUGGUCCUUUCAUAGUAGGAGGUCAUGACUGGUUAAUCGAGUACUACCCUAACGGCGCAUAUCCGAGCUGCGCCAACUUCAUCUCUCUCUAUGUAUCCCUUUUCCACGACGAUGAAAAACUGGAUGCCAGGGUCAGUUUUAGUCUCGUCGACCAGGUUGAGAGGCAGACACCAAUGUACAUUCAUGCAACUAAUAGAGCUUGCAGGUUCGACAAUGAUGUUUCUUGGGGCACCAACAAGUUUUUGACAAGAGAGGCCCUUGAACGAUCGGCACAUCUAAAGGGUGAUUCUUUCACCAUCCGGUGUGACAUAAUGGUACGCAAGGAUCACAAUACUGAAGAUGCCGGUGGCCACGGCACCAAGGUGCUCCUCUCAGACAUAGACCAGCAUUUUAACAUUCUCCUUCAAACCAAGGUGGGUGCUGAUGUGACAUUUGAGGUUAGUGGUGAGAUGUUCACUGCACAUCGUUGUGUGCUUGCAGCCCGGUCCAAAGUCUUCAUGACACAACUCUUUGGUCCCAUGAAGGAGGACAUUACCACUUCCGGUGUCAUACAUGUCAAAGAUAUGAGAGCAAGCGUGUUCAUGGCAUUGCUUAGAUUCAUCUACACGGACUCAUGCCCUGAGAUAGAGAAGGACUACAUGGAGGAGGAAGAAAUGUCACAAGUUCUUGAAGAAGAACAAGAAGAUGGUACAGUAGAGGAUGAUGAAAACUGGCUACAAUGGCUUCAAGACUUGUUUGUGGCGGCAGACAUGUACGAUGUCGAACAACUCAAGCGCAUAUGUGAAAUGCGAUUGUCUGAUAACUUAAUUUUGAGCUCGGUGAUGUCUACCCUUGCUCUAGCCGAGCAGCACCACUGCCAGGGAUUGAAGGAGGCAUGCUUGAAGUUUAUUCAAGUCCAACCCCCCUGGUGCUUGCAAACAGUAACGAUGAGUGAUGGCUGGGAUCACGUAGUUUCAACCUAUCCCUCGGUUAUAAAGGAGAUUUUUUUCAAGCUUGCUUCGAACCAACGGAAGUGACACUCUUCUAUAUGGUACCGAUGUUCCUUAGUUAUACCUGAAGUGACCCUCUUAUAUACUGAUAAGGGAUCUUCUAGAGAUGUCGUAGUAUGUGUGUUUUGCUUUCAGUUUUCUCGUCAUGUAAAAUUAGCCUAUAUGCCGAAUCAAAAAAAUCGAACACAUGGACAAAUUGUCUCCUCAUGGAAUAUAUGGUAGGCGACAAAUUGAUCCGUAUUGCAGCAAUCUGUAAGAUUCACAGCUAGUCUUUUUAUCCUUGUAUAGUACUCUGUGUGUCGUCUCUUAUUAUUGCUUUGUGCCUUCCGUGUCAUGUAACCCAUUUAGUGAAGAAGAAUGUAUGCUAAAUCAGGAAAAUCCGUUUCUUCAUGGAAUGUAUAGUCUGCAAAUUAAGGUGUCCUCAGUGGUGGCAGCAAAAGUAGGCAAGUUUUGGUGGGAGUUUUUUUUAUUGAAUCCACAAAGGUGCGACUUACAUUCUAGUAGAAAAUAAAAUACAAAUUCAUGAAAUUUUGACUCUUAAUUGGCAUAUAAUAGUUUAAUUACCAUAAGUGUAACACCCACCGUGGCAAACAAACAAGGACGUGAGAAUUUUUUGUGCGAAUAGGCGAAAGCGUCUUACCCUCGGUGAAAACAAGACGAAUAGUUGCAGCUUUUACAACUGGACUAAAAGUAUCCUUAUAGUCGAUGCCAUACCGUUGUUUAAAACCUUUUGCUACAAGUCUUGCUUUGUAACGAUCAAUGGUUCCAUCGAAUUUUUCUCUUAAUCCUAAACACCCACUUGCAGUCAUUGAGGUUUUUAUCUUGCUGUGGAGGAAUCAUGUGCCAUGUGUUGUUUCUUUUUAGGGCCAUGUACUCUUCUUUCAUUGCUUUCUUCCAAUUAUCAUCACUAAGGGCUUCUUCAAGGGAAUAUGGCUCGCCUAGUUCACCUGUGGAACAUACCAACCCAAAUGUUGUCAUAUGUUUGUAAUUUACGGGUGGUAUUACCCCUUGCUAAAGACGGGUGCGGCGUGUCGUAGUUGGCUCCGGCACAGAAGAUCCCGUGGGAGCUACAGCAGCCGAUCCCAAGGUUGAUGCUGGUCACCAGCAGCAGCUGCAGCCGCUUCAGAAACAGAGGCUGGAUCCUCUGUGCACCGGGACGACGUAGCGACGUGAGACGGAGCCACACGCACCGCAGAAGAUCCCGCCUGGUGAGAUUCAUCACACGGCAAUGAUUGAGCCGGUUCCUCGCGCGUGGCAGGCGUGGGGCCCGUGCCAGGCGGCCGUCUCAGAUCCCGCCGCUUGUAGCAGACAAGCUGGACGGGAAAACGACCACCCGUGGGCCCUGGUGAGUGCGGGUCGUCGCCACCAGCUGCGUGCUGCCGCGUGGCGCAGGCGGGGCCGCCUGCUGACGCUCGGUCGGGUGCGGGAGAGGCAGCGUUGGGUGCGGAAUCCGGAGCGGAUCGCCUGGACCGAUCUGCAGGCGGCGAUCCCGGGGCGGAUCCUGCUGGCAGGUCUGCCACGCCUGCGGGCAUCGAUCCCGAGAGGGAUUUGCUCCCCAAAACCUGGCACAUAAAAUAUGGCCCUAUUGGGCAAUUUUCUUCGCUGUUUUCAACUCCGUUUUCUUAAGCGUGGCUCCUUGUAUCAUCACACAACUCAGGCAAAGUGGUGAGAGGGUUAGUCACGAAGCAUAGGCAGCCGAAGACACGAAGGUGGUCAUAUGUGGGUGCAACACCAUAGAGAAGAAAAUGCGGUGUGUGUGGCGCAAUGACACGAGAGGGACGUCGGUUGAGGAGGUAGGUGGCUGUGUGUAGGGCUUUUUAGGGCCAUGUACUCUUCUUUCAUUGCUUUCUUCCAAUUAUCAUCACUAAGGGCUUCUUCAAGGGAAUAUGGCUCGCCUAGUUCACCUGUGGAACAUACCAACCCAAAUGUUGUCAUAUGUUUGUAAUUUACGGGUGGUAUUACCCCUUGCUAAAGACGGGUGCGGCGUGUCGUAGUUGGCUCCGGCACAGAAGAUCCCGUGGGAGCUACAGCAGCCGAUCCCAAGGUUGAUGCUGGUCACCAGCAGCAGCUGCAGCCGCUUCAGAAACAGAGGCUGGAUCCUCUGUGCACCGGGACGACGUAGCGACGUGAGACGGAGCCACACGCACCGCAGAAGAUCCCGCCUGGUGAGAUUCAUCACACGGCAAUGAUUGAGCCGGUUCCUCGCGCGUGGCAGGCGUGGGGCCCGUGCCAGGCGGCCGUCUCAGAUCCCGCCGCUUGUAGCAGACAAGCUGGACGGGAAAACGACCACCCGUGGGCCCUGGUGAGUGCGGGUCGUCGCCACCAGCUGCGUGCUGCCGCGUGGCGCAGGCGGGGCCGCCUGCUGACGCUCGGUCGGGUGCGGGAGAGGCAGCGUUGGGUGCGGAAUCCGGAGUGGAUCGCCUGGACCGAUCUGCAGGCGGCGAUCCCGGGGCGGAUCCUGCUGGCAGGUCUGCCACGCCUGCGGGCAUCGAUCCCGAGAGGGAUUUGCUCCCCAAAACCUGGCACAUAAAAUAUGGCCCUGUUGGGCAAUUUUCUUCGCUGUUUUCAACUCCGUUUUCUUAAGCGUGGCUCCUUGUAUCAUCACACAACUCAGGCAAAGUGGUGAGAGGGUUAGUCACGAAGCAUAGGCAGCCGAAGACACGAAGGUGGUCAUAUGUGGGUGCAACACCAUAGAGAAGAAAAUGCGGUGUGUGUGGCGCAAUGACACGAGAGGGACGUCGGUUGAGGAGGUAGGUGGCUGUGUGUAGGGCUUCAACCCAAAAUGGUGGUGUGAGGUUGGCUUGAAGAAGGAGGGUGCGCAAGACAUCAUUUGUGGUGCGAAUCAUGCGUUCCGCUUUGCCAUUUUGGGGGGAAGUAUGGGGGCAGGAGAAGCGAUAAGCAACGCCGUUGGAGGAGAAGAAGGCGCGAAGAGAUGAGUUGAUAAAUUCACCACCAUUGUCACAAUGUAUGCUUUUGAUGAUUACAUUGAAUUGGGUGUAAAUAAACGUAAAAAAGUGUUGCAGGACCNNNNNNNNNNNNNNNNNNNNNNNNNNNNNNNNNNNNNNNNNNNNNNNNNNNNNNNNNNNNNNNNNNNNNNNNNNNNNNNNNNNNNNNNNNNNNNNNNNNNNNNNNNNNNNNNNNNNNNNNNNNNNNNNNNNNNNNNNNNNNNNNNNNNNNNNNNNNNNNNNNNNNNNNGCACCACAAGAUAGUAUUAGAAACCAGAGAAACUAACAACAAGUGAUGUCCAUAAAUCAUAGUGUAUUAAAUCAAAAGGGGCAUAAGUUUUGCUAAAAGAAGAGGCAAAGGGUAAACGAGGCUGCCGACCAAGUUGGCAAGCACUACAUGGCGUGUGGGGAGCCUUAUUACAAUCUAAUUGUUUAGACAGGGAAGAAAAUAUGUGGACGCCGGGAUGCCAAAGGCGACGAUGCCACAAGUCCGAGGGGGUGGCUGCAAGGAGAGCGGACGCCGGCGCCGGUUUAUUGCCAACGAUGGGGUAGAGAUCGUCGUGGCUAACGGAGAUCGUGAGAACUCGUCGAGUGCGAAGAUCCUUCACAAGAAAACCACACGGGUAAAAUUCAAUAGAGCAAGAAUUAUCUUUAGUGAAUUUACGAACAGAGAUGAGGCUAGUGACUACAUUGGGGGAGACAAGAAUGUUGGUGAGGCGAAAAUUAUGAGGGGAGAGGGUGGUAGAGCCCGUGGCAGUGACAGGAAGAUGAUGCCCAUUACCGAUAACAAUGCUAGAAGGUAAAUGCGAAAAUGAAGAACUCAACGAGGUCAGGUUACCUUGGGUGCCCGUCACGUGCGAGGAAGCGCCACUAUCGAGAAACCACUCGGGAGCCGGGGGCGUGGCGUAGCCGCCGUUGCUGAAGGCGGAGUUGAGCAUGGCGAGGUGGUCCCACGAGGGCUGUGGGGGCUGAUAGUAGGGAGUGGACGGCACCGGCGAGGGUGUCUAUGCAGGAUACGCCUGGGCGUGUGCGCCGGGUCGGGGCCCAAGAACACCGGCGGUGUUCGGCGGAAUCCAGCCAGGGCGGGUCGUCGGGAGAGCCAUCCCGUACGGGGCAAAGUACCCCGUGAAGGGUGAGAACGAAGGCGCCUGCUGACCGCGCCCGGAGUGAUCGCCGCGCCCACGACCACGACCGCGCCCAUGCCCGUGGCCGCGGUCACCACGCCCGCGACUGGAGGAGUGGGGCGGCGGAUGGGGAGCGUCGGAGGCGCGAUCAUAGGAGCGGGCAGCCGCGCGAUCACCCUGGCCGCGACCACCAGAGGAACCGGCCAAGGAACCGCCGCCCGCCAUGGCGAACGCGGAGGCGCCUUCCUCCGCCACGCGUUGUGCCUGCGACUCCUCCGCAAGGACAACACGGGAGAGGACGGUGUCAAAGGGGAGGCCCUGAUCACCAAGGACGACGUGGAUGGUGUCGAGCCGCUUGUCGAGGCCGUGAAGAAACUGCGUGGUGAGAUCCACCUCGGUAACGGCAUGGUCGAUGUCAGUGAGUGCGUCGGUGAGGAGUUUGAGACGGCUGGCGUACUCCGGCACCGAGAGGUCACCCUGCUUGAGGUUGCGGUAUUGGCGGUUGAGGAUCAUGAAGCGGACGUCGCGAUUGGCGAGGAAGAAAUCUUUGAUCUUGUGCCAGAGGGCGUAGGUGGUGGUGGCGCCAACAACGUGGUCAUAAUGGUGUCCGAGAGAGUGGCAUAGAUCCACAGAACGACAUGGGCGUCGAGCUCAAGGUAUUGGGACGGAGCAUUGGGAGGUGGAGGGUGGUCGAGGAGGUAGGAGACACCUUAGCGUACCAGGACCAUCAGGAAGAAAGUCUUCCACUUAUGAUAAUUGUGAUCGGCAGGGUUGAGGAGGAACUUGAUGUGGUUCGUGAUGUGAUCACGAAAAAUGGGGUGGGGAACGGCGGUGGCCGGCGAGGGGGUAAGGGAGGGGCCGUCGGUGGUGAAGAGAGGGGAAAAUUGAGAGGGUGCCGUGGCGGGGAAGGAGCCGCUGAAUAGGGUGGGGGACGUGCCAAAGACGAAGGGAGGGGUGGUCGGGGCGGUGGCCGGGGAGGUGCCGGCGGCAGGCGCCGAGGAGGAGGAGAGGGUGCCCGGCGACGUGGCCGAGCUCGUGGCGGCGGCAGAGGAGGAGGUGGUGUCGUUCGCGGCCAUGGCGAGGGUCCUGGCGACUGAUUCCAAGUUGGAAAGUGAUUUCCUUAAUUGAUUCUGUUUACAUCUCAAAGUAUACAUAGGGAGAGAAAGUCCCGAGAGAUAUGGCACGCAGGCCCUCAGAUCCUACAAUCUAGGAUCGUUACAACGUGCCAGUUAAUGUUACAAAUGGUACAUAAAUAUACAACUUAACACAGCACCCCAUACGUGAUGCAUGGUGUUCCAUGGCCUUGCUGCUGGCAGAUGUCGAGGAUGUUGGUGGCGUCGUACAUAGUGCGCUUGAGCUCGGUCACCCAGCCCUGCACGCUGGUGUCAGCGAUGCGUCUCCUCUCGGCGUCGGCCAGGAACUUCUUGAGAUCCCCAAGCUUGACGCCCAUCUUGUCGAUCUGGCCGGUGACGCCGAGAAGCAUCCCCACCUCGUCCUCCACCACCUGCUUGAGCAUGUCAGCGACAUAGGACGCGAAGGCAUCCAGCACAAUGGCCAUGGUUUCUGUUUCUUGUUCUCAGGCUCAGGCCGAAGGUUGGUUAAUCAACAGUGUGUCUCUGUGUGUGUCUGUUGCCUUGGUUAGUAGGUGGUACUUAGCUUAGGCUCCUUGCUGGCAAGCCUUUGUUCCUUCCUUGAGUGACGGCAAAGCAGUGGCGGCCGUGGCAAGAAAGCAAUUGGUCUCCUUAUUCAUCCAUGCUCGCGGUCGCGGACAGAAUCCUUGCAGUGGACAUGCAUUUCCUUGCUGGCCGCCUGAGCGCUCGGCUUGGGCUAGCUAAUAGGGAAAGGGAAAGUAGUGGCUGAAUCCCACCUCGAUGCACCCACGCAAGAAAACAUAUCAAAGUAUUUUGAAAAAAUUUAAAACUUUGUGGAAACGAUCAUCAACAAAUAUUAGAGAUGCUUGCCAAGUUUGGUGGUCAAAUGACAUCCAAGAAGAACUGUACAAAAAAAAUUAUAAAAAUUUUGGUCAAAAAGUGCACAUACAAUUUGACUAAUUUUGAGUAAUAUUUUUUGUAUAGAGCUCCGCGGAUGUCAUUUGACCACCAAACUUUGCAAGCCUCUCUAACUUUUGUUGAUGAUCACUUUCACAGAGUUUCAAAAAAUUUCAAAAUAUGUUGGUAUGUUUUUUUUUUGCAUGGGUGCGCUGAGGGUGGUUGUAGAAAAACCACUCUCAAUAGGGAAAAGAGGGACGAGAUCGCCGCGGCCGCAGUCUUCCACCGCUCUCGGCUUGCACUUGAUUUCGCUUUUUUAUUUCAGGGGUGUGUAUAUUAAUUCUUUGCCAAGUCAGCUCAUUACAAUUCGGUCUAGCUGUCAACAAGUGAUUGAAUGGGCCAAAUCCUUUGAUCAGUGUUUUCUGCAAAAAGAUUACUAGAAACACGGUGAAUUUUGCAACAAAUCAGCGACUAGGUGGAUUACUGCAAACCUAGCCGCAAUGUGAUAGUUUUGUGCAAUUAACUCUGAAUGAAAUCGUAGAAUCGAAAACAAUAGUUCCUUUUCCCGGGCACGCUGAAUCUUUGCCUACCUGAUCCGAUAGUCAUGCUCUUGAGAGAGAGAAUUUGCAAAUUAGUGCAAGUCAGUGAAAGAUCUAGCUUGCAAUAUCGGAUAUCAAAAAUAAAUCGGAAAUCUAUAUUUUGUAUGCAAUACUUGAAGGGCUAGUUGAAAGGGUUCCAUAGCAGGUAAAUACCACACGACGUAUUCCUCGUCCCUCAUCAAGUUUUCAACUCGUUUCCAUUUAUCCAGCGAAUGCAUUUCAUACACCUUCAAUCAUUUCCAGCAUUGCAAAUGAUUCAUGGGGACUUCCUGCGCAACAACCCGGGAUAGUAAAACACCAUCACACUGGCUUCCUUCCUGCGGCCUCGCUUGCUAUUACAGCUCUCAGACGCUUUCCUCGGCGACCAGGUACCACACCCCUAGUACGUAGUCUCCCUGCUGUCAUGCGCUUUCAGAAGAUAUACCUGCGUUGUUCAGAGGAUUCAUUACAUGCGUGGCCACACUGACGGAUUCCACGCGAGCUGCGGGUUAACGUAACUACUUUGCGCAUAAUGGGUGCAUCGCCGAUUUAUGCACGAUGCAAAAUCGGACGAUGUCCUGAAGUUUGCUUCCUCACAGCAACGGUUUGAUUAACAACAUCGUGCAGAUGACGUCAUGUCUAUAGCAACAUUCCUGGGUUAACAAAUGCAGACCACUGCGUUUCUUUUGCUUCCAGAAAGUAAGCGAUCAAAUGCAUAACUUACAAGGAAUACAAAGAGUUCCAAGUAAUGACUGCCUCCGUCCCUGCUAAUUUCUUACAUGACUUGUAAAUCAGAAUUCGAAUAUGUAACCAAAAACAAGAACUUCAGAAGUAUUGGUCUUAGAAAACUACCACAUUUAACGUUUCUCUAAAAGCUACAACUUUUGUUCUAAAAUUUUGCUAAAACUAUUCACUCGGAAGCAUAUUAAUUGUCGCUCAUCCUCUAUAACACUAAACUCCUUAGUUUUGAAGGCCUCACAAUCAAUUGAGGUCUUCAAUUUGAAAUUGGAUCAUUCAAUUUUGAUCGGGUCAACAAUUUCACAAGGAGCUCGCUCAUUCUCAAUUUUUUAAUACACUAUGCUCCCUAAUUUUAGAGCUCUCCCAUUCCAUUGAGGUGUACAAUUUUAAGCCUUGAUUUUGACUCUGUCAAUCCUUGGUUGUUGCAAUAAAAUCUUUAACUUCAUUAAGCUCUCUAAUUUUGAAGCCCUCUCAUUCAACUUAGGUCUUCAAUUUGGAUUGGAUACACGAUUGAUUGGGUCGUUGAUCUGGGCUUCAUGGUGGGAUCUCUUGGUUAAUGGGUCCCUUGUUUAGUGCCCGGAUUGAUGUGGGCCUUCCUUAACAGAAGGAAGUGCCACCUACGAUACAUGUGGCCAACGAUGUAAGUAACUUUCUCAUGUAUUUGUAUUAAUUAAAAGACGCCCUUCAAUCGCACGGCCAAAAAGAUCCACCCAAACACCAUAAUAAAAUAAGAAAAAUGAUACACUCAUGGACAAUUCACUAUGGAUUGGUCGUACUAAUUAAAUACUCUCCCACCAAUCACUUCCUUGAUUUGACCGUAAGGCCACGCUUCCCCUAAUCUCCAACCAUAAAUUGACACAUCCAUCUGUAACCAUGAUUCCACAAAGUUUGUCGGUACGUGUAACAUCUCUGAUAAAAAGAACACACACUUCAUUGUUUCCCCCACACGCCAAACCAACUAGCACGUAAAUAAUGUUCACAACUUAGAAAAAAUUACCACGUAAAAAUAAAACAUGUCCAACCCCAAGAACAUAAGCGGUGCAGCAAAGCGCACUGCCCUUCUAGUUUAGUACUAAAUCUGAGACAAUUAAUAUGGAUUGCAGGGAGUACAACUUUUAGGUAGUUGCCCUUUUAGGAUUUUUAUAACAUGGAUUGUGACCAAGGUUAUGGAUUCCGAAUGGACGAAUUUUCUCAUGGCUGGGCGAGAUUCUCGGUUACCAUGGUUACCGAGAAAUACCGAACAUAUUUCGGACGAAAUUUAUAACUAAAUUUUGAAUUCAAAUUCUUUUGAAGUAGAUAUAGAAUUGUGUACGUGCUAAGCGUACGUAUUCUAAAAAAUAAACCAAAAAAUGUGCAAAAGAGGGGACUCAAUCUGCCGUCCUCUCGAGGAGAGAAGUAGACGGCUACCACCACGCAACAGCUACGUUUAGUGAUACUCUUGAGAUGCUAUAGUAUUGUAGUAUACUUUGGACGUAAAAAAAUCAAUUUUUGUUUCGUAUAUGUUUCAUUCUUUUCUUAUAGCAAAACCUAUUACUCUUCCUUUUUCAUACUAUCUUGGCAGUUCUUUGCUUUUUUUCAUACUAUCUUGGCAAUUUUAAGAAUUUUAUAGUUCAGAGGAUGGCACUUUUAUUUUUGAGAGGAUGGCAUCUUUAUUUUUAAUGGCAUGGCAGUUUUAUUAGUAAGAACAUGCCAUUUUUAUUUAUAAUAGGAUGAAAAUUUUAUUAUUGAGAGGAUGCCAUUUUUAUUUUUAGUGGCAUGAUAGUUUUAUUAUUUUAGAGGAUGGCAUUUUUAUUUUUUUGUACUGCCACUUUUUUUUUGUACACAAGAUUUUUGGGUGAUAACUUUAAAUGUGCCAACUUUGUGGGUGUAAAUAAAUCGGCUCAUUUAAAAAUUAAAAUUCUUACAAUUGUUUUUUUUUCAAAAUCAGAUUUUUGGGCCAGCACCUUUUUUUCCUACGUGUUGCACAAUUGGGCCAGCUGGACCUCGUUCGAUACAUCACCCAGCCCCAGUGAAUGGAAAUGUUUGCUGGUCCGGAAUUACUCGUCGUAGAAAUGGAUAUACCUAGACAUAUUUUUAGUUCUAGAUAAUCCAUUUCUAAGCAUUCAUUUUCCAUGAGUUGCACGAGAAGUGUAAAAGAAAACUGGGCCUUAGUCUGAAGCCCAGCCCAGCAGGGCAGUUGAUGAGCAACACUGGAGCCCAUCGAUCUACUCCUCAUCCCAUCUCGUCUCUGAUAUUUUUUUUUAUAAAAAAAACUCAUUUCUCUGCAGCGGUGGAGGUGUCCAGCACGGCAGCGAAGCAGCCGCGGCGGCGAGGGCUCUCAGGAAGCUAGGCGCGGCAGCCGGCGAGGGCCAGCCUCUAGCAGCAAAGCGGCGACAAAGCGCACCGACACUCCGAUCCUCUCUGUUCUCCCAGGCAAGGCAUAUGUAAUUUCUUUCCCCCGAUUUCACCUCACUGUCUGUCCCUGUAGAUCGAGAGGCACUAAGAGGUUAUAGCAUCUGAACCUCUGAAAUCCUCAAUGUAUAUGCAACUAGUAGUAGUAUACAACAAGUCAAUAAAUAUAUAGAAUGUAUGUGUACUUUUGGUGCUUAUAACAAUCUCUAUUGUCACUUGUACCCAGGCCGGCGAGUGUCACUUGCUGCAGGAACAAGUUUUAUCAGACUUAAUUGGAACAAGAGGGGUGCUCCGCCAAAAGCAAAGGAAAGCAUGUACAGCUGCACAUCCUGGCUGCAUUAAUUUGAAUAUUUCCUACGUACAAUGUUUGCUAGUUGUGUCUUAACAUGAAAUGGACUAACUACAUACAUCAUGUAAUGGACUAACUACUAAUCAUAAAAAUCAGAUUCAAUGAAAUUUUGUUGAAAUUUUUAACCCUGAUAUCGUCUGCCAAAAUUAAGAUAGGGUUGCAGGAUAGUUUUGACACCUUCUUCGCAUUCCAGUCUCUCCCAGCAUCGAGCAUCAUCAAACCGUACCUCCUUCAGCUUUGGAGGCAAACUGUCCGACCAGAAAGGAAGCCUCUUCAAUGCCAGACUACCUUCAAGCUCAAGUCGCUCUAGGGAUGGGAAUUUCAUACCGUUGUCCCCAAUAGUUUCCAACGAUUUGGUAUAAAUAAGAACGAGAAGCUUGAGGCGAGGAAAUGUUUUUGUCUUGUCCUGUCCAUUGCACAAUUUGUCACCGUGGCACCUCAUAAAUGCUUGCACCAUACCAUCACAGGAAAUUAUAUGAAGUUGUUCAAGGCGAGGCAAAUACAUAACCCAAGAGAGGUGCAAUAGCUGUUGGCACAAAAACAAUUCCAAAUAAGUGAGCCUUUGGAAUAUAAAUGCCGGAGUUGCUCCCAUCCACUUUAUCUCUCUCAAGGAUCUCAUAAAAGUUAAGCUGAGUUUGUUGAGAGCACCAAAAUGGUUGUUUGGUUGUUCCGUGUCAUGUUGUACUACUGUUAUUUCUCGAGUGUCAAAUUCUUCAUUAAUAUCCAAUUCAUUGAUAUCCACUUCAUACAAGGUCCUUCGUGCAAAGUCCAUUGAUAAAAUACGAGUGAGUGCACAUACGUCAUUCAGAGCCAAAUAUCUAACAGGGAGGCUAUCCGCUUCUCCUAGUGACUCAAACUGAGCUAAAUCUCGGACCAAAAUACCAAGCGCUUUCAACUGAGAUAGGGUGCCCAACUCUCGGUAUAGGAAUUGGGUACAUUUUCUUAAGAAACUUCUCAAGUCUAUUACCUGCAAUGCUUUAAGGCUAGACAUGACCCCAGCUGGUAUUCUCACGGAACCAAUACCAGACUUUAGGUACAAGAACUUGAGGUUGAUGAGGUUUCCAAAGGAGGGAGGCACUUCAGUUUCCCCAAAUUGAUUUUCCGACAAAUCAAGGUAUUCCAGCUUUACCAAGGAACAUAAUUCUUCCGGUAUCCCCUUGAGGUUGUUUCCGCUCAAAUCCAGAUAUGUCAGUGAACUGGAAUUCUUAAUUUCUUCAACAAUUAAGCUUUCAUCAAAUUCGUUGUUCCGAAGGCACAAGAUCCUCAAUUUUAAUGGAUCAAGAUUAAACCUGAUAGGAAUUCUGUUGAACAUCAAGGAGAUGCACUCAGCUUUGCUCGAAAGGAUAAUAACUUUUUUGUCUCUGUCACCUGGUGCCGCCACAAUCCAUUUGUCAUUAUUCUCACCACAGUCACAAGAAAUCCAUAAAGCCAUAUCACGAAUCACAUCAUGCACUUUAACAUAACCAUGUGAAUUUUCGAAGGAAGAUCCUGGGCGAACAUCGCUGCCAUCUAGCAAACAUGCAGCUAUAAGGUCAGCUAUCAAACUAUAUGAUUUUCUGAAGGAAGAUUAUAUGUCAUGCUCAUUGACUAGACCUAAGCCCAUCCAGCAUUGAGCAAGGUUAACUUUGCGAAUGUUCUCAUCCUCUGGCCACAGUGCACAAGUCAAAAAACAAUCUCUUAAGGUCUUGUUUCUCAAAUUGUCAUAACUAAACUUCAGCCGCCUGAAAACAUUAGUUUCCAUUCCCAGUUCUAUUGGGUCUUUGUCAUCAGCGCAGCAUGACUGCCGCAUAUAUUGGAUGGCAGUUUCCCAUUGAUACUCAUCUUUCCGAUACAUUGCAUUUCCAAUAGUUAUCAAAGCUAAUGGCAAGCCUUUCAGUCCCUUCAUAAGUUCUCUAGCAAGAGCUUCAAUAUGGGGACUAGAAAGAGUUUCGGCACCAAUAUUUUCUUCAAAUAGCUGCCAUGCCUCAUGCUCCUGCAGAUAUGUGACUUUUAACUCUUUCUUCACCUUCAUUUGGCCACAAACUUUUCUUAAUCUUGUUGUUAGCACCACUUUUCUAUUGAGUUUGUUUACUUUUCCAAGGGGGUAUGGUAUCCCAACUUCUUCUAGAUCAAUUUCGUUCCAGAGGUCAUCCAAUAGUACAAGAAAGCUUUUCGUUUUCAUGUACUCAUGUAUAGUAAGACCAUUAGGACCAAUACUUUUCAGCCUGAGCCUUUCUAUGAUUUGUGACUGGACCUUUUCCACUUGGCACCCUCUGGAGGCAGUUACAAAGACAACAAAAUCAAAGUCCAUGCCCUCUCCAAAUGAGUUAUUGAUGUUUUUGAGAAGAUGUGUUUUCCCGACUCCACCUGGACCCCAAAUUCCAAUCAUUCCCACUUUGGGAUCAUCCUUAAUGUACUGGAGAGCAUCUUGAAGGUUACGGUUCUUAGCUGACAUAGAUGGACCAGGCAUCUCUUGGACAUGAGGUGGCAUUGACUCAACUGCAACAGUACUAGGACAAAUACUAAGACAUUCUCGAACCUCACGAAGCUUCUCAGAUGCCUCCAUGGCAACAUCCUUCUUCAACUUAUAGUCCACAGAGAUUACACGCACAACAUCAAUGAUUUUGGCCACUUUUUCCAGCCAUCUGUCGGCCUCAUUUGUUGAUUUCUUGCCUUCCCGCUCAGCAUUCUUAAUCUUCUGACAUACAUCCUUUUUUUCGCGAUCAAGUCUUCGGUGGAAUCCUCGAGACUUCCCAUAAUUCUUUCCGCCUUCAGGUUUAAAAAUAAUAUGCAUAUAUUAGCACUCAGUAAUGGCAUUAAUACUAUUUAGAAAUUUUAGUAUCGAAGCAAGCACUUACCAUACAUAAUGGGUUAUCCUUUCGAAGGUUUGAUCUCUUUACUGCAUCAAUGACAUCUUCCCACUGCCUUUCAUUUCUGCUUCUUCGCAUCAUCUUCCCGAAAUGUAUCAGCUCUGAUGGUCGGCCAAUUAGUUCUCUCACGAGAUCCUUAGCAAGUACCCCGACGAGGGGAUCAGUAUAAAGAUUCUCCUCACCAAAACUUUGUUCAAAUAGCUGGUGUGCCUCCUCCUCCUCCAAACCAAGCACUUGUAUAUAUUUAUCCACACUCAUCAUAUCACAUAUGGAUUGUGAUCGUGAAACGAUUAGCACCUUCCUCUUCUUUUGGUCCACAACUCUAAGAGGGUGUGGAAUGCCAACUGCUGAAAGGUCUAUCUCCUCACAAAGGUCAUCCACCAACACCAGAAAACUUCUUUUCUUGAGAAGUUCAUAUAUUUGAGCUGUCACAUUAACAUUCUGGUUUAUACCGAACCUGUUUAUGAUUUGAGAUUGAACUUUUUGCACUGUGCAUUCACUCAAGCCCUUAAUAAGGAUAACAAUAUCAAAGGGGCAAUAUUCAAGAAAUGAAUUGUUUAUCUUUGUGAGAAGAUGUGUUUUCCCUACUCCACGUGGACCCCAUAUUCCAAUCAUUCCCACCGUGAGGUCAUCCUUAAUGCACAUGAGAGCAUUCUUGAGAGUACGCUCUCUGCUUGGCGGAAGUUGAGCAGAGUGGGUGGACAAAUCUACGACAGGAGGUGGAGGUGGUACGCGUGUGACAUUAUCUGGUACCGGUACGCUACUGUUAUAUUGUCGCACAACAUCCACCUUCUCAGCCGCUUUCUUGCUGGUUUUAUAGUUUCCCCAGCAAUUCAGGGAGCACCCAAAGCUUCUGCACCUCUAAUCAAAAGACUCGCGGUUUGCCGCUUCUUCAGAUAUGGCUUGCUCCGCCCUUUGCACCCACUCCUCUGCUUCAUCUGUCGGUAUCAGGCCAUUCAUUUCGCCAUCUUCAAUCCUCUAUUUGACGCGAAGCAAGUUGCCACUCAAAGUCUCAGUUUCAGUCCUGUGAUUUGUCACGUUUGUGCGAGCGGUGAAGCAAUACGUGGCAUUUUUGGAGAAGAGCGUAUAGAAUGGACUUAUGACCGUGUUGACAGUAUUUCCGAGCAAGGGACCAAGCGCCGGUGCCUCAAUUGGCAUUUUUGGCACUUGUCCGAAGAAUCAGUACUGCAAGGCAGACAAUUGUUGUGUCUCAAUGAUGUAUAUGGCAAGUAAAAACACCAAUCAAUUAAGUUUAUGAAAAGCAUAGACUGCAUCUGCAUGCAAUGGCAGAUGAAGCGCAAGCUUUGAGAUGUUGAAUACUCAUAAAUCUUGUGUGAUUAUGUUUGAACUUGUGCAAGUUUACACUGUUAUACUACUUGUAACCCAAUAUGUCUUGCAUGAUUGUACAGGCUAACAGAUCCCUAUGAAGGACUUUUCUAUAUGGAAGGUGUAUUAUAUACUCCCUCCGUCUAGAAUUACUUCUCGGAGAAAUGGAUACAUCCAUUUUCCGGCAAGCAAUUCCGGACGGAGGGAGUAUAUGACUGCAUUAGAAAGGAGUUGCGGAAAUAUGUUCGAUUGUGGAGAUAACACUUGUUGUAAUAACAAAUAAACUCGCAACAAAGUGCUUACUGUGUCUCUUAUAAUAAUUGCAGGUAAACAAAACAAUCUUGGUAUAUAUGUUCCUCCAGGAGAACUAAUCUUGGUAUGUAUGUUCCUCGAGGAGACCUAACCGCACAAAUGAAAACAUGGCCACGAGAAGAACUUGUUUGAGUUUUGUUUCUGCAUUCAAAUAGGACACCGAUGUUAGACGAUGAUGGGAAAUCUUGUGUGAUUCUCUUUGAACUUGUGCGAGUUUAUAGUGUUAUACUAUUUGCAAGAACACUGGAUGGGACCAAAUCUAUCUUCUGUAAUUGUACAUGCUAACAGAUCCCUGUGAAGAACUUUUCUAGCAACUGAUUGUAGUAUUCGGGCCAUUCUGUUUAAAGAACUUCUCUAGGAACUCACAAACAUAUAUUUUUUACUUUUUGCGGAAGAACUGACAAACAUAUCAAAAUCUUCUUCUAACAGGAGUUAAUAUAACCAGUGGAGCCUAAAAACUUGAAAUAACUGUUCAUAUCAACAAAAUAAUUAAGGAGUUAACAAGGGAGCAUUACUGAAUUACUUGGUAACAAUAUUUUUUUUCAAUAGUAGCCAGGUGUGUCCUUAGUUUGGUGUUGGUGUGCCCCUCUGAAUAAUUGCUUUUUCAACAGUAAUGGACAAGUUUUUAUCAGUUUUCUGGCAGAAGCAUAUUGAGUAUCUAGAGACUAAAAAAUUCAUCAAGAGGAGAAUUAUCUGCUAGCGUAAGACAAAGUAGAAUAUAUAUCACGGGUGCGGCUAAUCUGCACCCGGGCUCAUCUGCACCCACGCUUAGUAAAAAAUUCAAAAAAAAUACUAGAAAAAUUCAAAAAAUUCCAAACUUUUUUGUGGUGGUAGAUAAUUUGACGCGUGAGGUGCGCCCCAAAAAUCAGCUCAUUUGAGCAUCUGAGCAGCUCUCGACAAAAAAGACAAAAUCAGGGUCUGUAAAAAUGUAUACUGUUCACGCACUGUUUUGACCCGAUUUGUCUUUUUUGCCGAGAGCUGCUCAGAUGUCCAAAUGAGUUGAAUUUUGGGGCGCACCUCACGCGUCAAAUUAUCUACCACCACAAAAAAGUUUGGAAUUUUUUGAAUUUUUCUAGUAUUUUUUUUGAAUUUUUUUCUGAGAGGGAGCAGAUGAGCCCGGGCACCGUUUUGAGUUUUCCAUAUAUCACGCUCUAUAUGGAUGACGUACUAUAACUUCAGCUAUAGCGGAUUGGAGUUCUGAAAAUAUGCCCGCUUGUUAAGAAGUUUGAACAGAUAAAAGAUAAAGCUAUAACAGAUAAAGUUGCAAGAAAGUGCUUACUGUGUCUCUUCUUUUAUCAGGGAAGAGCCCUUCUCCGGAACUUGUUUCAGAAGAAGUAUAAGGUUUUGUCACAAGGGAAACAAAACUAACUCCACGGGAAUUGAUCACAGAAAGAGAAGAGGACACAAAUGAAAACAGGACCAUGAGAAAUUCUUUUUUGAGUUUCGUUUCUGUAUUCAAAUAGAACAAGGAAGACAAGGGUAAUUCACGUUCAAUCAGAAAUGAAGUUCUGAAAGCAAAGAGUACCGAAAAUCAGCAGAGCAGAGCACCUCAACUCAGUUUUUGUGGGAUGCAGAAGAAGCAGAAGAGGAGGGAAAUGAUUGUGGGAGCUGUGGAAGGGAUCCCUUGGAAGUGAGAGAAAGAAUAGUCAACAACCAAGGUGCAGGAAACAAAGAUAGACUAGGUCAAAAUUAAGAUGCUCAAUUAUUGGCCAUUAGUUUAUAUCAGCUGGGUCUAAAAUACAUGGUGGAAGGUAAUAGCCGAAUCUUUCAAGCUUAAGAAGUGCACGUUGGCACCAGUUGGUAGGCUGACACCUAUGCAAAGUCGCAUGCCAAGUAUCCAUUAUUUAUGUUGGAAUUCAAUGAACCUAACAACGAUUCAUCGAUCCUUGAGAUGUGCAGGCUUGCAUAUGCGCAAGUUGUCUGUAUCAAAAUUACAUACCCAGCCCAUUGUAGAAAAAAUAAAUUAACUAGUGCGCUGAACAAAAUAGGAAAAGGUCAGUUGCUUCCAAGGUAGUUUUGCUACUAAUCUAACCAAAGUACAUCGUCCUACAAUUGCCUUGCCUAUGCAUAUAAGUACUAUGAGUAGUUUUAACAUGCUCCACCUUACCCCCUCUUUUCACCGUGAGAGGUAAGAGUACAAACUAGAUCUGAGCGUUGAUCUCAUUAUUUAGUGGCCUGAUGCCAAGUAUUAUGUAGUAUGGUUAUAUUUCUGCUCUGCCAGCUACUCCAAAAAGCGACUGUUGAAAAGCUAAUUAAAUUGGUUGGUGAUUGCUUAGGAGAUUAUGCAUGCAGGAAAAGAUGAAGGGGCCCUUUUUCUCAGUCAAGCAAGUAUAUUCUCUAGCCGACUUGUGCCUAGUGCGUGGAGAAGCUGUGUGUGCGGGGAGGAUGACAACGAAGGGAUGACGACCAACGAUUAUGACAUCUAAUCAUAUGGUGCAGAAAGUGGCUAAUCCAUGCCUCGCGUCGGUCGACCCAAAGUGCUACCCAAUCUGAAAACUACCUGCAAGCAGGCCCAGUAACCUGCAAAACCCAAAAGUGCAGUUUUAUAGCAUUCUGAUGAAAAUAGACAGAACAAAAAAUAAAUAAAUAACUAACCUGAUGUUGGAUCUUGAGGUGUAUCUCUCCUUGUGUGUGAUUUGAGUAAACUUGUGCGGUGAACCUUGUUCUUGUGUGAUUUCUCUUGUGUUCCUUUUGUUAUUUGGGACCCUCCUCAACAAUUUUAUUACCACAGAGAACCACUAUUUUAGCUCCGAUUAAACAACACAAAAAUGUUGUACCCAUACCUUCAUUCGUAGUGGGCUAAUACAAAACAUGGAAUAAUAAUUAACGAAAACCAGGAAUUAAGAAAUGGCAAGGCUGACAAUAAAAAGGCACAUAAAAACAACCUUUGGAUGACAAAGAAGACCGACGGUGCAGAAAACUAUUAGAUCCCUCGGUAGGGUACCUAGCGUAGCUGGAAGUCAUAGAUCGGAGGUCACACAGAGAAUUUACCCAGGUUCGGACCUCCAUAGUGAUACCCUAUAUCUUGCUUGUGUUUGUCAUAGAUGGUGGGCAUACCUCGAGCAAGGGAUUACAGAGAGAUGUAUCAGUCUAUCAAGAGUUGUUUCUAUGGUAGUAAAUGGGAUUGAGAGCCCCAUAGUCUCUGUUCGGAAAUAUAGUAAACAAAAAUCGCCCUACAAUUAUCCAGAAAAAAUAUGAAGAUACAUUAACGGUUUGGAUUUGAUCGUGCCCACCUUUGAGUUGCAGCGAAAGAAGAUGAGUCAUUGUAGAUCUUACUUGGAGUCCCUCGAACCAUAGAUGAAUGAUUCCGCGAACUGCUCAUCAAUAUUCCCUCGAACGAAAUACCGAAAGCACGACCUCUCUAUGAGUUACAAGCGUACGGUCUUUACGAUUCGGCGGCGCUUAGCCGUCCAGAGCUAAUCGUUGCCGAAGAAUUAGAGGGAGGAGAUUAGAACCAUACUCGACUUCUAAUUAUGAGGAUUAGAGGAUCCAGGUCAAGCUGUAAUUAAUCAACUAGGAUCAAUUAGAACUACAACUAGAGAACUAGAGGAGGCUCCAAAACUUAUGUAUCAAAAGUGCCAAAAGCCUCUACUAUAUACAGAUUGGAGGAGGGGGCACCACAAGGGGAGGGAAACUCGGAAAUCACUAAUUGAGGAAUGCUCCUUCCAAAGAUCACUUUUCACUUCCCUAGUUGCGACAAGUGGUGCGCUGCAUGCGCGCCACUUGUCACAACCCGGGAGUUUUCCCUUUUCUAAUAGAUCCGUUUAUUCAAAAUGUUUUCUCUUAAACCAUGCGUCCAAAUUUGAAGCCCUUUUGACCAUUGGAUUCCUCACAUCGAGAUCUUCAAAACUAGAUAUCAUGUUGAUAGUUUUUGAUGAAAUUUUUAUUUAAUGAAAAAAAUUAUGCCUCUUGCAGAAGGAACAAAUAAAAUAGAAAACAUGUUAUUUUUCGUUUCCGAUAGGCAUGGCCGUGCCUCGCACGGAAGCAAAACCGUGCCUCUCGCAGAAGAAAAAAAAACGUGCUUUCCCAUUUUCGAGAUGCACAAGCGUGCCUCUCGCGGAAGCAAAACCGUGCCUCUCACGGAAGGGGAAAAAAGAAAGAACUUUUUUUUUCAUUUCCGAGAGGCACGGCCGUGCCUCUCGCGAAAGCAAACCGUGCCUCUCAUAGAAGGAAAAGAACGUGUUUUUCCCCAUUUUCGAGAAGCACAGACGUGCCUCUCACGGAAGCAAAACCGUGCCUCUCACGGAAGGGAAAAAAAGAAAGCACUUUUUUUUCAUUUCCGAGAGGCAUGGCCGUGCCUCUCGUGAAAGCAAAUCCGUGCUUCUCGCGGAAGCAAAACCGUGCCUCUCGUGAAAGGAAAAAAACACGAUUUUCACGCAAAAAAAAAAUCAAAAACCGAGAUCCGUCAUGUAGUCCCGGUUGCGAGUCGGGAAACAUAGUUGCCGGUGAAAACCGAGUCGACGGCAGGCGAUGGUGGCAUUCUGCGCCGUUAGCUUCAUGAAGACAUCGUCGUGUAACUACUGUCGACCCACUCGUGCUGCUUCGGGGGAAACCCUAGGCUCUUGUCUUCCAGAUCGGACGAUGGUGGCACUGCGGUAUCGUUUCUCUCUUGGGAGCAUCUUCUUCUUGCACGGAGGUGGAGCAGCGCUGGAAGCCAGUGACAGGAGGUGGAACGGCUUCGUCUUGCACGGAGCUUCGGUGGAGAUGUCAAGUAAUGCAUGAUCGACAGGUGCUAUGCUAUGUCAUGCAUGUUCGGCAGGUGCUACGCAUGACAGAUCUUCCAUAUUCUUCGCAUCUGGAUGAACGAACGCAGGGCAGUGGCGCCGUUGUGCUCCAUGGUGGCGUCGACGGUUGGCCGGAUUGGCAAGGAUGAUGCGGAUCUCUCUCUCCUGUAGAUGGGUCAGCGGUUCGAUGAUGAUGACGGCUUCUAAAAUGUGUGCAUGUGGUGUACUCUUUAGAUCUGCUGCACGGGUUGUUGGUUUCAAUACGUUAUGUGGAUGAAUCGGCGACAACACCGGUUUCAGAUAUGGGAAGUGAGAGCACUUCAUAUUGUCAAGUUUAUAGGUGUGAGUGAUGGCUUGAUAUAUAUUCUUGUCAGACAUUUGUUGAAUAAUUAAUAAAGAUGAUCAUAUUUAUCGAUUGAUGCAGAGGCUGGGGUUUUAACCUCCGUUUCAAAAAAAAAACGCAUCCUAGAUGCAGAGGGUAAAUGCAUGCAUGCCAAAGAGAGGCUCUUGGUCGUCGCGCUGAUGGGGCGAGGCAAGUUGGACAUGUGGUGCUGCGGGUCACCGAUGACAGUGAGACCGAGGAUGCUGAAGCGUGGUGUUGAUCCGUGGGGAACGAAACGGUCCCGUCUCCACGUAUGAUCGCUCUACGAACGUUCCCAUUUCGACUCGUCGCCAUGUGCAGCAUCAAUAAUUCAAUAUUCAACUUCACUGCUUGGCUGCUGCUGCUGGGAGGUUUCGUCGUCCAACCACAAGGCAACCGGACGGGUGGUUGAGUUGAUUCAUUCCAGUUAACACGGGUAAUUGCCCCCAUCUCCUCAUUCAUAUAUGAAGCCACCCUGAUAGUUAGGUACGUAGGUCGUUGCAAUCAUUUUGAGGGCUUUGCUCCAUCAUCUCCUCUUGCCUGCCUUUUCUCCUGUACUUGGACCUUCGUUUUCCCUCUGAAGCACUGCUCGUUUGGGGUGCUCCAUUGCCAAAGCAAGAGCAGCAGCAGCAGCUGGCGUUACACUUCAUCCAGGUGAGUGCUCCAGCUCCAUCUUAAUUUGCUCAGUGCUUAAUUUAGGAACCAGUCGGACUUUUAGUUUGUUGUCUGUACAUGUUCUUUUGAACGAUUUCUUCCCCAAUGGCAUCGGUACUCUCACCGGCGACAUGUUCUUUGUCAUGCGGUGCCACCACUUGAUGUUGGUGCAUCAACAGCUUGCUAAUCCCCCCCAUGCUCUCCCCUGAUGAUGAUAAUCCAGCCUCUGCAGUUAGGCUGCCAAAGUGCCCAUGCCCAUGUGGUACUGCACAACAUCUCCAUCCGCACACCUUCGAUCACAGCCCGUAUCUUGUCUUCAGGCAGAUGGAAUAUUUUAAAUAGUGAGCUAUGCCAUUUAGCGGUGGCUCAACUAGAAGCUAUGAAAAGCUAUAGUGGAGCUAUAGCAAAGCUAAGUUCCAUUUAGUGUUUUCCUUAAAAUCAUGAAAUUUUGAAAAAGAAUAAGCACACAAUCAGUCAUCAUAUAUGAUAUAUUCUAUAUACUUGACAUAUACAAAUGUUGGGCUAUUCGCACAUCAAAACCCGAGCACCAAUCGGGUGUCAUAAUUCAAUAACCAAAGCUUUGCAUUGUAUAUAUCAUAAACAAGAAGAAAAAAUAACGCAGAAUGAUGGUUUUUUGUAUAGCGGCUUAGCGGGCUAAAUGACUCUAAAUUUAGCACUAUGACAAGAAAUAGUAGGCUAUUAGCGUCAUUUCAAAUUUAGCUAUAGAGCUCUCAAAAGCUAUGGAUAUAGCUAUUUAAAACAUUGGGCAGAUCUGACAACAAUUUUGCAAUAGUCCUAGCGUCACGGAUCAUGCCUCCCUGUUGCUGUUGGGCACUAUCUGGAGGUGGAGAUACUCUAUUUUACAAUAUUCCACCAUUUGGCAGCUUAAUUCAUCCUAUUAACGUUACCGAUGAGCAGGCUGGUCAACACGCCGCUUUGAACCACCAACUUCACAUGUAUACAGCUCAGCAACGCAACUUGCCCGAAUUGACUAUUCCCCGUCUUAAUAAUGACAAUGUAGUUUAAUGCUCCUUGACGGAGUAGCCGGUAUCCAUCACAUGCUCUUCAACGUGGCAAUCAGUGUUUCUUACCCUUUCUCCUACUUGUAUGUGUGAAACAGCAAAAGUGAUUUGUGAAUGAACUGUCUAAUUCCAUUGAUUGAAGAUUAGGGUAUGUAUACCCCAUGUACUGACGUUUGAUAAACUAGAGAACCAAUCAAAGCAUGGAUUAACCGGAUUUAAUUAAUUCUUAACUGGAUGUUCUCCUUUUGAAAGCAAUGCUUAGACUAGUCACAAUGGGUAGUAACUUAGACUAGUAACAUUUACUAGUCUAUGUUCUUACCUCUAUAGUGGGGAGUAACAUACGUAUGAUGUUAUGCAACACUUCAUUUAUUAGGUUGUAGACUCAUCUUGUCUUGAUAUGUGUGAUGUUACAGUAACUAGCUAUGUUACCACAUGCCUCUCUUUCCUCAUUAAUUACUCGCCACAUCAUGUUUUGCCUACAGAUGUGUGAUGUUACCACCUAUCUUAUUACCACUGACUGUGGGUAGUCUUACUAGCUUGGGUCUUUCUGAGCAGCAACCACAACCAAUCAGCGAGGAAGGGUCUACACCAUCCUCAAAGUUGACCAAUAAUGACAGUGAUAUGGUAGUAUAAUGCUCCUUAACGUGGUAAUCAGUACCCAUCCCAUGUACACAUCACCCACCCUUAAAUGAAGCUUCUUGAUGUUCAGAGACUAGCCUGUUUUGGUCUUGUUAAUUGUAUCUUGAUUCGAGAUUCAACAGCUGUGGAGCACACUUGCCCACAUCUCUUGUAGCUUGACCCUAUCUAUUCAUUUAUAUGAAGCAAAUGGUAGUGGUUAUGGGUCGGUUCAAUCCCUUCUUCCCCUUUCUCCUACUUUGAUCUUUUCUCUUUGAAGCAAUACUAGCUUGGGUGUUCUGUGAGCACCAGCUAGCUAGCAUCCGUAAUCUUCUUCUAGUUAGUGCUCGAUCAACACUUUUGGGAAUCACUCAGCCAUUCAGUUUUAUAGUUUGUAUGUAUAUGUUUUUCUGAGAGUUCUGCUUUAACAUUUGGAUCCAGGAAAUAUGGCAUGUUUUUGCAUUGGACGGUUAUAUAGCCUUUAAUGGGUUCCACGUCCCCAAACAAUUCAUGAUUCAAGGUUCUUGUUUUUACCAUCAUUCAUUAUUCAAGGGUUGUAGGACUUUAUGAUAUCUCGCCCAUUAGUCCAUUAUUCACGAUGGCCUUGCUAACCCUAAAUUGUUUUGUGUUUAAAUGAUGACAUUGUAAUCAAUUAAUUGUGAGAAAUAUAUAUCGAAUGCUUUUGACCAUUGCUCAUUAUUGUCUUUGUUCAAACAAAUUGUUUUGAUUUUCAUGGUACAACUUCCGUAUACUAAUGGAGAAAUUAAUAACAUCUUGGAAAAUUUCAUACUCCUAAGUUUGGUAAUACCUAUUACCUCCAACCACAAGGUAAAAGUGGAUGGUCCACAAUAGUUGGGAGCACCUUAGAAUUUCUCUACUACCGAACAAUCAGCUAGCAACACAACUUCACACAUACAGCUCAGCAAGACACAACUUUCCCAAACUACAACCAUAAUUGAAUAUAGGAGUACAUCGUUAGCAUUGACUAAUCCACCUCUACCCAAUAAUGACAAGAUUUUCCACAAAGUCUAAUGCUCAUUAACGUUCUACUUGCUAGUCAUCACACGGGUCACAUGUACUCAUCACCUCCAUCAAACGUAGCAAAUCAGGGUAGGAGGGAGUGAGGUCUGCAUCAUCCUCGGCAUUGACUAAUCCUUGUUUAUACCAAAUUAAUCAUUAAUUUUAACUGUUUACUCCCUUUGGUUGGGUUUAUAACUCGGGGAUGGCUUUUAACACCUUCAAUUUGACUAGUGAAACUGAUGUUGUUAGUCACACAUAUUUUGUUAGUCCAUUGAUUGAAGGCUUAAAAGCUCAUGCCGGACUUAUAAACCCAACAGAAUGGAGUAUCAUAUAUUCCAAAUUAUAAUGUUGCCAGGCUUGCUUAUUAAUUUUUUUUGAGAAGGGGGAGUACCCUUAGCCUCUACAUCAAGCAAUGCAGACAUCCAUUUUUAUAAAAAAAAUAGAGCAAGAAAGUACGAAACUCGUCUCAUGUUUGUAAACAAAAGCAAAAGAUAAAACCAGAUGCCACAAACAGAACAAAUAGGACACGAUGCCUAAACACAUAUCGUAUUAUUGUACCCCCAUCCAAACAUGUAUGUAGCUCGUGCUACCAUCUCCCAGCGGUUGCACCCAAAGGCCAGAAGCUCCCUAACUUCCACACGACUGAAUAAUGACAACCUACAGAUCCACCAGACGCCCAAACGAUAACCUGCAAAAAGUUUGUGAUAUUGGUUCGGUUAAAAACAACAUCAUUCCGACAGUUCCAGAUAACGGAAAGUAAUGCAUGUUACUAGCUGCGUUGGGAUUUUCCCCGAAGAGAAAGGUUGAAGCAAUAUAGUAGCGAAUAGUAUUUCCCUCGGUAGGGAACCAAGGUUAUCGAACCAAAAGGAGAACCACACAAACACCCGCCAAUAGUACCUGCAUAUAUAAAAGCAAAUACUUGCACCCAACGCGGGCAAGUAUUAAAUCUGGUAAUGGUAGACAAAUAUAUUGCAAAGUAAAAUAAAAGAAAGAAAAUUGCAGCAAGGUAUCUUUGAUUUUUAUAAUAUGAUUAACGUAGACCCGUGGGCCAUAGUUUUCACUAGAGUCUUCUCUCUUAUAAAAAUAAUAUACAGUGGGUAGACGAAUUACUGUUUGGCAAUUGAUACAAAAGCGCAUAGUUAUGACGACAUGCAUUCAUGGCGUGAUCAUGUAUAUAGACAUUACGUCCGUGACAAGUAGAUCGACUCCUGCCUGCAUCUACUACUAUUACUUCAUCAAUCGACCACUAUUCAACAUGCAUAUAUGGUAUUAAGUUCAUGACAAACAAAGUAACAUUUUAAGCAAGAUGACAUAAUGUAGACAUAAUAAAACCAAGCAAUAUGAUUAAACCCCGUCGUUUUCCCUUUAGUAGCAACAAUACAAAUACGUCCCUCGCUACCCCUUCUGUCACGAGGUGAGGACAUCACAAGAUUGAACCUACUACUAUGCACCACUUCCACUAAUGAUCAACUAAUCAACUUGGCCAAAGAAAACACAUAGAUUGGAAGCAUUACAUAGCUAUAACAAUCACACAUAAUAAAGUUCAGAAAAGACUCAAUUACUUUCAUUGAAUAUUCCAACCAUAAACCGACAAUUCACCGGAUCACAACAAACAAACCGUAAAAGAAGAUUACAUCGUAUAGAACUUCGAGGAAAUAUUGUAUUGAAUAUCAAAGAGAAAGAAGAAACCAUCUAGCUAAUCACUAUGGACACAUAGGUCUGUGGUGGACUACUCAUACAUCAUCGGAGGUCCAACAAGGUUGAUGUAGAAGCCCUCCGUGACCGAUUCAUUCCUCCUCCGGUAGAGUACCAGAAAAGGCCUGCAAAUGGGAUCGCAGAAGACCAGAAACUUGUGGCCGCGGAAAAAUAGUUUCGGCUGGCUCUCUUUUGGUUUUGGGAUUUAUGGGAAUUUAUAGGCUUAGAAUUAGGUCAAACGGAUAUACAAUGGGCCCAUAACCUCAGGUGGCGCACCCCCUGGGGGCGCGUCAUGUGAGCUUGUGGCUCUCCCGUACAUAUUUUGGCCUCCUCCCGAAGUUUCUAGGGGCCCUUCUGGCUGAGGAAAUACCACCGUAAAGUUUCAUCAUGUUUGGACUUUGUUUGUUAUGGAUUUUGUAUAAUAAAAAAUAUGCAGAAAACAUCAACUAGCACUGGACACUGAGUUAAUAGGUUAGUUCCUAAAAAUCAAGAUUGAUAAUAUAAUAACAUGAAACAAUCAAAAAUUAUGGAUGCGUUGGUGACGUAUCAAUGCACAAACUCCCACAUGAAUUUGUGUUGUUAUAUUAGUCUUCAGCCCAUUUAACCAGUUACCAAAUGAAUUGGAGAUGCUACUCGGCGGUAAAAAUUAAAUAACACAUGUAUUCUUUGCCAAAUAACCCAGCUAGUGGACAUUUGAAAAAAAAUGUUGAAUCGUUUCCUAUCCUCCCACCUUUCUUUUGCCAAGUUGUGCUUAGUAAAAAAUCACUCUCUUGUGCACAAACAACAUAAAGAUCUUGAUUUUUAACACACCUUAAUUUUUCAAAUAUGGGUCGACCUAGGGAUUUGUACAAUAUUAAUGAAGUCGAAUACAUAGAUUUGACUUAAUACGCAUGAAAUUAAAAAUUUCCGUCCGAAUGUAUUUGGCACAUUAGAUAGAUUGACCUCCAUCAACCUACACACAAAAUGUAGCCAGCUAUCCCAUCAUUCCCUCAGUAGUACAUGUCUGCACUAAACGUUUAAGGGAAAAUAACCUAGAAUUGUACUCACAAAGGCGCUUUAUGCUGCACAAUAUUUUAAAGCAUUGUAUACUGUAAGGCUAGACGCAUCUCCACAACCAAGUAUGCUCCCAGAAUCUAGUUGUGCGACAUUCGCCAAUGAUAGAUUUACUCAUGUUAAAGAAAGUGAUCCUUGUCUUCAUCAACCUCUUUCAAAAAGGAGAAUCAUUCGGCCGUGCCAUAACAUGUGCUAGAGUUUUCGAAUGUAGAUAAUUGUUACGCAAUAAUUAUAUCCACACCCCAUCCUCAUGUACCAAAAGCCGAUAUAACCAUUUACUAAGUAGGAACUUGUUCUUUACUUUGAGAUUUUCAAUACCCAAACCUCCUUGGUAUUUCGUUCUACUAAGAAUGUCCCACUUAUCCGGUUUGUACUUGGUUGUAUUCUCAUCAUUUUGCCAAAAAAAUCUCGACAGAUAAAAAUCUAAAUUUUUAUAUACCCCUACGGAUGCCUCAAAGAAAGAUAAUAGGAAUAUCGGCAUGCUUGUAAGCACAGAAUUAAUAAGAAUAAGCUGACCCUAAAUGACAUAAGCUUGCCCUUCCAAGAUCUUAGCUUUUUCUAAAAUCGAUCUUCAAUGAACAUUCAUUCUUUGUUGGUCAACUUCCAGUGAUGAAUUGGGAUCCCUAGAUAGCUAAUUGACUAAUAUAUCUUUUUUGGCCCUCUGUUCUCUCAUAUAUGCAGCCUGAUAGGUUGUCUCACUACUAGGAAAAGGGCUAUAGAUGUGAUGAGCACUAAUGGCGCACUGUACAUGUGGUGCGCCAUUACUAAAUACUAAUGGUGCACCAUGUGUUGGUGCGCCAUUAGUGUGCAAAUACUAAUGGCGCAUCCCAUCCCACGGUGCGCCAUUAGUAAAAAAAAAUUAUUUAUUUUUUCAAAACUACUAAUGGCGCACCGUGGGAGUGGUGUGCCAUUACUAGUUGAACUAGUAAUGGCGCACCAUCCCAUGGUGCGCCAUUGGUAAUUUGGCCCAAACAUUCCCCCGAAUGCACACACCCCCUGUGGACCGCCUUUUCAGUUUCAAAAAAAAUAAAAGAAAAUGAUAGAAGUGUCAAAAAAUAAAAGAAAAUAAGAUUCCCAUGUGAUAUGUGGUCUAGUUGUUAGGAAAAUUUACAAACAUGAAUUUUUGACUUUUUUGCAAAAUCUCUCGAGAAUUUGUAAAAAUGGGCAUAACUUUUGCAUACGAACUCGGAUGAAAAAGUUUUUUAUAUGAAAAAUCAUCUACUCGAAAAGUUACAUCUGAAUUUAAUCGGGGGAACCCCGUUAAACAUUUUCAAAAUCCUCAAAAACCUAACAGAAAAAAGAUACGGGGCUUUUAAGAUCUGGAGAGGCAAAAAAAUUCAAAAAAAUUCAAACUUACGAAUGGCGCACCUGCCCAUGGUGCGCCAUUACUAUCUUCCCGCCUUCAAAAUUCAAAAUAAAUCAAAAAAAAGUAAAAAAAUACUAAUGGUGCACCUGCCCAUGGUGCUCCAUUAGUAUCUUCCCGCCUUCAAAAUUCAAAAAAAAUAAGUAAUGGCGCACCUGCCCACGGUGCGCCAUUACUAUGUUGUAUAUAUGGCUGGGCGUGUCCUCUCCUUACCUCUUCAUUCUUCUCCUCCACUCCACCUGUCCUCCACUCCACCUCUCCUCCACUCCUCCACUCCAUCUUCCCUUCUCUCUUCGACCAUACGACCCUCCUCCUCUCCGGCGACCUCCUCCUCCUCCUCCUCUCCGGCGACCUCCUCCNNNNNNNNNNNNNNNNNNNNNNNNNNNNNNNNNNNNNNNNNNNNNNNNNNNNNNNNNNNNNNNNNNNNNNNNNNNNNNNNNNNNNNNNNNNNNNNNNNNNNNNNNNNNNNNNNNNNNNNNNNNNNNNNNNNNNNNNNNNNNNNNNNNNNNNNNNNNNNNNNNNNNNNNNNNNNNNNNNNNNNNNNNNNNNNNNNNNNNNNNNNNNNNNNNNNNNNNNNNNNNNNNNNNNNNNNNNNNNNNNNNNNNNNNNNNNNNNNNNNNNNNNNNNNNNNNNNNNNNNNNNNNNNNNNNNNNNNUCUCCCUCCUCUCCGGUGAGCUCCUCCUCCCUCAUCUCCGAUGAACUCCUCCUUCCUCAUCUCCGGUGAGCUCCUCCUCCCUCCUCUCUGGUGAGCUCCUCCUCCCUCCUCUCCUCCCAUCCCCUCAUGGUUUCUUCUUCCUCCUCUCCGAUGCUCCGGUGAACUCCUCUCCGGCGACGUCCUCCUCCUCUCCGGCGACGUAGGCGAGCGCCUCUGCGGUCACCUCCUCCUCCUCCUCUCCGCCGAACUCCUCUCCGGCAAACUCCUCUCCGGCAACAGAACACGGCAAAAGAACGUACAAGAUCCAAAAACGGGAACAAAAUUUGAAAUAAUAUCAUGCAAAAACACGAGCAAAAAAACGAGCAAAAAAUGGGCAAAAAAAUCGCGAUCCAGAUCCAAAUUCAAAAUUCAAAAAUAGCAAUGGCGCACGGUGGGGGUUAGACGGUGCGCCACUACUAUUUUCCCGCCUUCAAAAUUCAAAAAUACUAAUGGCGCACCGUGGCCUAUACUAAUGGCGCACCAGCGGCCUAUACUAAUGGCGCACCGUGGCCUAUACUAAUGGCGCACCAGUGGUGCGCCAUUAGUAUACCAGAUACUAAUGGCGCAUCAGUGGUGUGCCAUUAGUAAAAAAUACUAGUGGCGUGAUACUAAUGGCGCACCAGUAGUGCGCCAUUAGUAGGCAAAACUGGUGCGCCAUUAGUAAGCCUUUUCCUAGUAGUGUUUGUCAAUCCACUAUCUUCUUGCCCCUCCAUUUUUCGACAACCUAGAAGCUACCUAUGACCAUGCAGUUCUUCCAUGCUAGAAGUGCGCAAUCCAGAUCUUUGUUGAAUGGUUAUUGAAAAAUUAAUCGGUCUCUCAGUUUCUAUACAGUCUUUUGAAAUUUAUGUUUUGCAUUGUAUUUUUCCUUACAUGGAAAGGUUUGCUUUAUAUUGUAGAAUGAAUAAUAUAGCAGAAAUGGAAGCCUUGGAGCGUGUAUUUAGUGAUGCAAGUGCAAAGCCGAUCAAACUAUCAUAUGGACUUCUCGAAAUUAUUACGGAGAAUUUUUCGAACGAAAUUGGCCGUGGUGGGUUUGGAGUUGUUUACAAGGUAUGAUUUCUUCUCGACUAUCUCCCAGAUAAUAAUUUUUCACUUAUGAAACUAGUAAAGCAAAAUUCCUGGGCUGAUGAUAAUACCGUGAGCAAAACAGGGAUAUCUACGAAAUGGGGAGGUUGCUGUGAAGAAGCUCUCCAAUCCGCAUGCUUUGCCUGAUAGGAAAUUCCUGGAUGAGAUCACGUGUUUAAAAAAGGCAAAGCACACAAAUAUAGUAAGAAUUCUGGGUUAUUGUUCAGAAACGCAGGGGGAGUUGCUUGAAAUCAAUGAAAAACAUAUAAUGGCAGAGAUACAGAAAAAGUUGAUCUGCUUUGAGUAUGUUCCUAAUGGAAACAUUCAACACUAUUUGAAACAAGGUAUGGAGGGUACCAGUUGAUAUGUUCUUCUAUUCUAUUCUAAGCAUAUGGAAAAUAGUUGUGCCAAUUUUGAUCCACCGAUAUUAGCAUGUUGUGCAUCCGGCGACUUCAGACGUGCGAUCGAGUAGCAUCGUUCACUCUAAGAGUCGCACACACACACGCACACAUGCACGCACGCACGCGCGCGCGCGUGCACACACACAAUCAAAUAGGAUUAAACUCUAUCUUUGUUGUUACAAGAUAACUGGAGGUAUUAGGUGUGGGUACUAAAGAAGGAAAAUGUGGUAUCUAGGAUUUGGGCCUAAUUCAAUAUGUGGCUUCCUUAACUAUGUCAUUAUAUCUCACUAGUCUGUGUAGCCAUGACUCAAUUCCCCCUUUAUGAUAGUAUGUUGUGCACAACUCAAUGAAAUUAUUAAGGCCAAAAGACCGAACCAGAAAUGUGCUCUGAAGUUAAACUUCGUGUGGUAAUUAUUCUGUAUGGUUGCCCAUGUCAUCUAAAACACUAGCAUACACGAUAACAUCCCAUCAUUAUUGCUAGACAUGCGACUAUAAGUAGCACAUAAUAUCGACCAAGGGUUCACCAAAGCACAUCUAUCUACUCCUUAUGAUGUCUCAUGAUCUAGACGUGUAUUAACCCAUGGACUGAACAACUACAGUAACAAAAAUAAACAACAUGAGAAGAGUAAGAACUAGAGAUUAAUUAAAAAUACCAUUACAGAAAUUUUUGCUGAAACCUUGAUAUGGUGAUCAAUGGACUCGUAAGUAACUUACUAUGAGUGGUGAUCCGAACAGCACUAAAAAGUGCCCCCACCAUAAAUGGAGAGUGAUCAAUUCUGCAAACCAACUUGAACAUGUCAGUGGAAAAGAUCCCAGCGCUAGCUAGGAGUCGACAACAAGGGUCACCAAUAGUAGACCUCCGUCCUAUUCCUCUCAAUGUUAAUCCUCUCUAUGACAAGCCCGUCAGAACGGCCUGUUAGUUGAAUGUUACCACUGACGGCCUCCUUGUAGCAACUCAUCGAUGGUACUUUCUAUAGGUAAAAUGAAAGAAAUUAGCGACCAACGAUCAUAGAAGAGUGAAUCGUGAGAGGUGAUAGGUUGUCCCAGGUGGAGAAAAUGCAUGCAUUUGUCUAUGUUCCUCAAGAACUAUAUAGCAGUGCAGCCCCAGCAGCCCUCACAUUCUGUUGGAAAUAUGAGCAAUUUACCGAAUGAUUUUAUUGACAGAAAUACUAGAUAAAGCAUGACUAAUAUAGCAGAGAUAAAACAAGUCAUGCAGUUCGAGAUAGAGAAGGUAAAUAGCAUAUGUAUAUAUGAACUAGAUCCGAACACAUCUAGAACAGACACUAGAACAAGAAGUUGUGACAGAGCCUCUAACCGAAAGAGUAUGAGAACGUAUGGAACGGGAGCAGAUGCACCGGUCUUCGGGUCGGUGUCCUCGCCAGCCAUGUCGUCGAGGAGGUUGUCGACGUCGAAGUCCGGGGCGUCCGUGACGAAGAAGUCAGUAGUCGCGCUGAGCGCUCCCCAAAAACCUUAUCACCCUUCUUUCGUACAGGACUCAAAAGGUGUGGUUUCAGAGGCCUACUGUGUCUCUCUCAAGAGGAGCGACCUCUCUUAUAUAGGCACAGGAGAAGGAGGCGAACAGGCUGCGACGGCAGGUGAAGCAACAGAGGGAGACGACAGGAGGUGAAGCAACAGAGGGAGACGAAGUGAACAGACUUCAGCCGAAGAGGCGAGCUGUUCGGAUUCAGUGUCCACUACAGAAAAACGUUUCAGCUCCCGCUUGACCUUUCAUAUACCCGUCAUGCGUGGCAAAAAUUUAGACAUCGGCUCGGCUCAUUCCCGCAACUCGCGGCGCGUCGUGACGAGACGUGGCGAGGCGGGCGACGGAGGAGGAGCGCGCGUGGAUGUCCCUCUUGUUCUCAUCCUCAUACAUGUGGAGAAAGAGUCUCCCUUAUAAAGAGGUCCAACUCCCUCUAAACAAGCAAUAUGGGACUAAACUUUAGUUCCACCUCUUGCCUUGCAUGAAUGGGCUGCGUGGGCCUCUAGGAUUUAUUAGGAAUUUCUUAAACUGCUAUUGGGCUAGGCCCAAAAUAGACAAAAUUCCAGCAAUCCCCCACCAGAUCCCAGAGGCACACAAAAUUUGCCUUUGGUUCCAAAACACUGUUUUAUAUACCGGUACUACAGUGGAAAUUGUUAAGUUGAACUUCCACCUAGAACUCUAUGCUACACUAGUAAGCAACUUGGACAGUGAACUAUGCCUUGAACUGCAAGUUUUCUGUGAAUCUAGCUUCACAUAAAGCCUUGACCGAUACGUGGCUACCGUGGGUCUUCCCCGCCGGUGGAGCUUAUGCGUCAUACUCCAAGACCUUUCAUGAGUUUACUAGAGAGAACCUGACUCUCAUAGAUUGCGACGUUUAACAAUCAGACUCAUAUAGGUGCGUUCUUCAAAAGAUAUUUUGCAGGACGACAUCUCUGCUUCAAUGAGCCACUUAGAACAUAUUAGGAUAUAAAUCAAUCUGCCAUGCAGAUUACGAGAGUAUUGCAUCUUCAUGGAGUGGUAUUAAUAGUAAGGAUACUCUCCUCUCAGUUGACCAAUAGCUUGUCUUCCACAUCUAAUUCACGGGAUCUUCGAUCACAAAGAAUAGGUUACCACUGUGAACAACUUAUAUUGUAGGUCUCAUACCCAUCUCCCUUGAUGCAUUAUCUAUCACAUUACGUGAUAGACCCUUAGUAAAAGAAUCUGCCGGAUUCUUAGACGUUUGGAUAUAAUCCAAUGCAAUAACUCUGGGGUUUUUCAUUUUCCUGAUAGACUUUAACCUUCUUUGAAUGUGUCUUGAUGACUUCAUGUUAUCCUUUGAGCUGCUCACUUUCGUGAUCACAGUUUGAUUGUCAUAGUUCAUAAGGACACCCGUUACAGGUUUCUCAACAACCGACAAGUCAUUCAAGAGCCGGUGAAGCCAAUCUGCUUCGACCGUAGCUGUAUCUAGUGUUGUGAGUUCUGUUUCCAUUGUUGACCUCGUUAAGAUGGUCUGCUUGCAAGACUUCCAAAAAACAGCGCCACCUCCAUGAGUGAAUACAUAUCCGCUCGUGGCCUUUAUCUCAUCAGCAUUUGAGAUCCAGUUUGAGUCACUAUAUGCUUCAAGCACCUUUGGGUGCCCAGUGUAGUGAAUUCCAUAAUUCGCAGUGCCUUUCAAAUAAUGUAAGACUCUCUCUAGAGCUUUCCAAUGCACAUCUCUUGGUUUUGAGACAAACCAACUUAGUUUGCUAAAAGCAAAAGAGAUGUCAGGUCUUCUAGCACUGGCUAAGUACAUGAGCGAGCCAAUAAUCCGAGAAUACUUCAAUUGAUCUCUAGCAAUUCUUCGAUUCUUUUGAAGCAGCACACUAGCAUCAUAUGGUGUUGGAGAGGGCUUGCAGUCACUUUAGCCAAAGCGACUCAAGAUCGUUUCCACAUAGUGAGAUUGAAGCAAUGUAAUCCCACCGUCAUCAUCUCUCAACAACUUGAUGUUCAGAAUGACAUCAGCCACUCAUAAAUCCUUCAUCUCAAAACAACGAGAUAGGAAAUCCUUGACCUCCUUAAUAACAUUCAGAUUUGUUCCGAAAAUCAAUAUAUCGUCAACAUACAAGCAAAGGAUAACUCCCUCGCCCCCACCAUGGUGAUAGUACACACAUUUGUCAGCUUGGUUUACAACAAAGCCAACAGCUGACAAAUGUGUGUACUAUCACCAUGGUGGGGUCAAGGAUAACUCGCCUCCACCAUGGCGAUAGUACACACAUUUGUCAGCUUGGUUUACAACAAUGUGAGGUCAAGGAUAACUCCCUCCUUAAAGUUCUUUCAAACUUCUCAUGCCACUAUUUGGGUGCUUGCUUGAGUCCAUACAAAGACUUCAACAACUUGCACACUUUUCCUUCCUGACCAUCUAGUACAAAUCCAUCUGGUUGUUCCAUAUAAAUUUCCUUGUCCAACUCUCCAUUUAGGAAAGCAGUCUUAACAUCCAUUUGAUGAACGAGAAGACCAUGUGAGGCAGCUAGUGAAAGUAGAACUCGAAUAGUGGUCAGUCGAGCCACAGAUGAGUAAGUACCAAGAAGUCUUCAACUUCCUUUUGGGUAUAACCCUUAGCCACGAGCAGAGCCUUGGACUUUUCAAUAGUACCAUCAUUGUUGAGGAAAUCGUUAACUGGUAACUGCUCGGUUGGCUAGCGAGUAGGGGAUUAAUAUGCUAAUCCGCAAGUUAAUCGGCCAUUUAAUCAAUUAAUCGGACGAUUUAUCGGUUUAUCGGCUACUCGAUGACCCUACGAGUAGGGAUUAAUCGGCAAGUUAACUGGUUAAUCGGAUGAAUUCUUGAACAGGGAGUACCAUCAGGCCUAAGUUUCUUCUUGAAUACCCAUUUGCAUCCUAUAGGUUUGCACCCAUAAGGACGAUCAGUUAUCUCCAAGUUUCAUUUGCCAAGAUAGAAUCCAUCUCCCUACGAACCACUUCCUUCCAGUAGUCAGCAUCUUCAGAUGCAUAGGCCUCUAAAAUAGAUCUGGGAGUGUCAUCUAGGAGAUACACAAGAAAAUCAUCACCAAAGGACUUUGCAUUCCUCUGUGUCUUGCUCCUAGUAGGAACUUCAUUGUUCUCCUCCACAGGACUUUCAAAGUGUUCCAUCGAAAUGGCAGGUUCGAUAGUUGUAACUGGUUUCUGAUUCGAUGAACUAGGCAUCUCCUGAUUAGAUGAGGUAGUCAUAUCCUUCAUGGGAAAGAUAUCUUCAGAGAAAGUCGCAUCAUUCGACUCCAUGAUCGUACCGACAUGCAUGUUAGGUACCUCAGAUUUUACAACCAAGAAUCUAUAACCAAUGCUAUGAAAAGCAUAUCCCAGGAAAACACAAUCCACAGUCUUUGGUCCAAGCUUGCGCUUCUUUGGAAUUGGCACGUUGACUUUCACCAAACAACCCCAGGUUGGUAGAUAAGAGAGUUUUAAUCUUUUCUUCUCCCAUUCCUCGAAUGGAGUUAUCUCUUUAUUCCUUGUGGGAACUCGGUUUAGGACGUGGCAUGCAGUCAAUAUCGCCUCCCCCCACCAUGCCUUGGAGAGACCUGAUGUGUCUAACAUGGCGUUAACCAAAUCUGUUAGAGUACGGUUCUUUCUUUCUGCCACCCCAUUUGACUGAGGUCAAUAGGGAGGUGUCCUCUCAUGGAUUAUACCAUGUUCUGCACAAAAAGCAUCAAAUUCAUUGGAAAAAUACUCUCCACCACGGUCGGACCUAAGCCUCUUGAUUUUCUGAUCAAGUUGGUUUUCCACUUUAGCUUUAUAGAUCUUGAAAAAGUUCAAAGCCUCAUCCUUAGAUUUCAGAAGAUACACACGAUAGUAUCUAGUGGAGUCGUCAAUUAACGUCAUGAAAUAUUUCUUUCCACCUUUUGUCAAAACACCAUUCAUUUCACAUAGAUAUGAAUGUAUGAGCUCUAGUGGUGCAAGAUUUCUCGUUUCCGCAGUCGUGUGAGACAUACGAGGUUGCUUAGCUUGCACACAAACUUGACACUUAGAUCCCUUGACAGUGGUGAAAGUAGGGAUUAAGUUCAACUUCGCUAGUCGCGACAUGCAACCAAAGUUAACAUGACAAAGACGUGAAUGCCACACAUUUGAUUCACUAUUGUUGCAAACAUGAUUAACAACUUUAUUGCAAACGUCUGUCAAGGAUAAAUGAAACAGGCCUCCUGACUCAUAGCCUUUACCAACAAAGGUUCCAUACUUGGAUAUUACAAAUUUAUUCGACUCAAAGACAAGUUUAUAGCCAUCUCUACACAGAAGAGAUCCGCUAACAAGAUUUUUAUUGACGGAGGGGACAUAAUCCACGUUCUCCAGCUGCACGAUCUUCCCCGAAGUAAACUUCAGAUCGACCGUGCCAACACCACAAACAGAAGCACUUGAACUGUUGCCCAUCAGCACGAUUGAAGUCCCCGCGGUCUGAUAAGACGAAAACAUGGAAAUAUCACCGCAUAGAUGCACAUUAGCACCCGUGUCAAUCAACCAAUCAGGAGAAUGACAUACUGAAAGAAUAGUGGGAAAUAUACCAUACCCAACAUCCUUCAUUUCAGUGUCUCCAAUGACAACAUUAGCGGUCUUGCCGCCUUUCCCAGGAUGACGCUUAUCAUAGCGAUUAGGGCAACUAGGAGCCCAAUGAUAAGGAUCCCCACACACAUGACAAACACCUUUAUUCUUGUCAUUCUUCUUUUUGAAGUUCGUGUGUUGCAUAGCCUUGUUCUUCCCAUCAAACUUUGCUUUACCAUCAAACUUGCCCUUGUUCUUGAACUUGUGGGACUGGAAGUUCUUCUUCUGUACCAGAUUGGCACUAGAUCCUCCCUCAAUACGUCGAGCACGUGUGUACACCUUUUCUUCCACAUCAAGAGUGCCAAUGAGAUCCGGGACGGAAAACUCCUGUCUCUUAUGCUUCAGUAAGGUAGCAAAGUUCCUCCACGAAGGAGGAAGCUUAGUGAUGAUACCUCCGGCAACAAACUUGUCCGGUAGCAUACAACUGAAGUGCUCAAGUUCUCUAGCAAAUGACUGUAUCUCAUGAGCUUGCUCAACCACGGAGCGCUCGUCAGUCAUCCUGUAAUCAUAUAAUUGCUCCAUGAUGUACAGCUCAGUGUCAGCAUCCGAGACCCCAAACUUGGCCUCGAGUGCACCCCGCAUAUCUUUUCCAUUAUCAAUUGACGCAUAAGCAUCAACUAUGUUCUCACCAAGAACACUCAAGAGAGCAGCCUUAAACAGAGUAUCCAUUUUCUGAAAAGCUUGUGCCUGUUGAGCAUCAAGCUCUCCUUCAGAUUUGCCAAGAGUGGCGUCAUAGCAACUCAUUUUUUGAAACUAUAAGACUGCUACCACGCACCACCUCUUAUAGUGGAUACCCUCAAACAUAGUAGGUCUCAUGGAAGCAACAAAACCACUCGGGGUAAAUUGCCUAUAAUAAGGUUUUUGGAUUGUUGUAAAUAUGAGCAAUUUAUCGAAUGAUUUUAUUGACAGAAAUACUAGAUAAAGCAUGACUAAUAUAGCAGAGAUAAAACAAGUCAUGCAAUUCGAUAGAGAGAAGGUAAAUAGCAUCUGUAUAUAUGAAUUAGAACCGAACACAUCUAGAACAGACACUAGAAUAAGAAGUUGUGACAGAACCUCUAACAGAAAGAGUAUGGGAACGUACGGAACGGGAGCAGAUGCACCGGUCUUGGGGUCGGUGUCCUUUCCAGCCAUGUCGUCGAGGAGGUUGUCGACGUCGGGGAAGAAGUCGUCGUUGGCGAAGUAGUCGUCGGAGUCCGGGGUGUCCGUGAUGAAGAAGUCGGUAGUCGCGCUGAGCGCUCCCCAAAAAUCUUAUCACCCUUCUCCCGUACAGGACUCAAAAGGUGUGGUUUCAGAGGCCUACUAUCCCGACCUGCGGUGCACGCCGCAAGUCGGGAUGGGGAAGAUCGUAGCAGCAGCGCAGUGCUCAGGAGAGGAGCGACCUCAUCUUUAGGCGGUAUACCAAAAGAAAGUGAAUAUCAACCACUAGUCAUCUGUAUGGGGAUGAUGGUGGGUAGGGUAGUAGUAAAUAUGGGGGGUGGGGGAGGGGAAUCCCGGGAGAAAGCAAUACAUUUGAUUCAUACUUGUGGUGUCAUGAAUACUAGAUGACACAUGACCUCUUCUCAAGCUUGAUAAAAAAAUCGUGGAGAUUAUCUUGAUCAAUUUAUGUUGCAAGACAUGUGGACAGGAAUAAAGAAUCUUCUGCUUGCUUUUGCAGAGAGACAUCAUGGAGACGAUUGGCAUGUACGCUACCAAAUGAUUGUAGGGAUUUGUCAAGGGCUGCACUAUCUGCAUGAGAAAUACAUUAAUCACUUGGAUUUGAAACCUGAAAAUGUUUUGUUGGAUGCUGAUAUGAAGCCAAAAGUUACAGAUUUUGGUUUGUCAAGAUGCCUAGAUCAAGGACAAUCUAUUAUUACACAAAACAUACUUGGAACACCGUAAGUUAAGGCGGUCUCCUGACAAUCCCUGGUCAUUAGCUUUUUUCAUGCAGUGAUACUUGAAAUGAACUAACACACUACCGAUGCAGGCGGUAUAUUGCACCAGAAAUCAUAGACAAAGGAGAAAUAUCAUUUAAGUCUGACAUUUACGCUUUUGGUAUUAUUACCAUAGAAUUAUUAACAGGGAUCAGCAAAGCAAAUCUUGACAAUGUAAGGAUGAUUUAACUUUGCCUUCUAGUUGGCUUUUUUUAACUAUGUCAAAAUUUUACUUAUUCAUACUACAGUUAUAUACAAAUUUGUAGUAAAUUUUAUUUUUGACCACCUGGUUGUGACUUUCUAACAACUUCUAUCACAUUUUUAAAAUAUUUAGUCCACACCCUGUGUAUUGUGAGAAACUAUUUUACUAAAACAAGUCAAGUGGGACCAAGCUUUUUAGCUUUGAUAAUCCUUCUUACUACUUUAGUUUUGUAUUUAAGGUAACCCUCAUUUAGUGUCUUUUGAGAGAAAAGUUAUGAGAUAUGGUUGCUCUACCAUCUAUCCUCAUUAAAUAUGGUGUCACAUCAGUAUUUUUACCUAUGAAACCGUGGUAAGAUACUACUCCCUCCAUCGGUAUAUAUAGUGGUCAAGUGAAAGUGAAUAUGGCAUAUUUUCUUGAUGUCGUACUAUUUGGGAAAGUGCUACCAUCAUUCCGUCAUGUUUAAACCUGAUUUGCAGUGGGAUAAAUUAUUAGACAUGGACUGUCCACGAAUGAGGAGGUGCAUUGAAAUCGCUCGAAAGUGCACCGACCCUGACAAACGCGAAAGACCCACCGCACGUGAAGUAAUCCGUGACCUGGACGAGCUGGAGAGCAUGGUUCCAUGGUCCUCCAUGAACCAGGUAUGUAAUUAAGAUUGACCUGGGCGAGCUGUUUAAGAAUUCUUCACGUUCAGUUCACACUUCACACAUGCAUCCCUGGCCGCGCAGUCAACCAGGGAAUGUAUCUAGUGCACCGGGGCAAUCGGUGCUGCCGGUGCACCGAUCCCCCGUUACACAUUCAAAAAUGUUUAAAAAAAAUCCAUAAAAUUUUACGGCAUUGGCACAACAUCAAUGUAUGUUGUCCUAAAAAUUCAAACCAAAAUUUGAAACAUUGCUCGAGAUACAAAAUGAUAAAUUUGACACUGAAUAGUACAUAACACAGGUUGGGCUUCAGUUUUGGCCCAUUAGCAUAUUUAUGUCAAAUUUGUCAUUUUUGUAUCUUGAGUGAUGUUUUGAAUUUUGAUUCAAAUUUUUGUGACAACUUAUAUUGAUGUUGUGUCAAUGCACUAAUUUUUUUUCGAACAUUUUUGAGUGUGCAACGGAGUCCGGUGCACCGGUAGCACAAAUUGCCCCGGUUCACCCGAUACAUUCCCCAGUCAACCAAGAUGUAUAAACGCAGGUCACCCCCACUGUUGUCCCUGGAAAUGAGGUACUCGAUGUGUACCCGCUGGAGCUCAGGUUUCCCUUCGUGCCAAACAAGGAGAUGCGUUGCCACUUGACCACGACCACCAAGACAGAUUGUUUUGUCUUCUGUAUGCUCGUACCUGGAGUUCCGGAUAGAUACUCGGGUGACUUGGUAGGCAUUGUACCUGGAAUGUGCACUUCCGUUACCCCAGUAGUAAGGCAGGCGGAAGAGGAGCUUCCCUCAGGCACGGACGAGUUGGAGGUACUGUUCUGGCUCACAGGGUGCAAUGAUCCCGACAAACUCGCACUUCAGCUAUCAGCAUUAUCAGUGUACCCUGGUUCGCCCUCUCAAUAUGAAUUAAAGGCGGCAUUCCAUGAGCUUGGGUGGGAGCUACACCGGACGACGUUGACAGCGGUCGUCGUCGCCCCCGAGGAUGAUGAUCUAGCUGUGAGUAUAUGCCAUGCAUGCAUAUGUUGCUAUCUUAUUAGCUAGAUUUUAUUAAGUAUUAUUUAAUUAUUAAUUAUGUCAUUAUAUCAGCUAGUGGUGAAUACUCCGUGCAAAGAAGAAGAAUUUUUUUAUUCUAUCGAUUGCAUGGAUGUGCAUCCUACGGAGCCCUGGUGAGUAAUUGUUCUACCUACGUGGAAUAUACAUAUACUUCACNNNNNNNNNNNNNNNNNNNNNNNNNNNNNNNNNNNNNNNNNNNNNNNNNNNNNNNNNNNNNNNNNNNNNNNNNNNNNNNNNNNNNNNNNNNNNNNNNNNNNNNNNNNNNNNNNNNNNNNNNNNNNNNNNNNNNNNNNNNNNNNNNNNNNNNNNNNNNNNNNNNNNNNNNNNNNNNNNNNNNNNNNNNNNNNNNNNNNNNNNNNNNNNNNNNNNNNNNNNNNNNNNNNNNNNNNNNNNNNNNNNNNNNNNNNNNNNNNNNNNNNNNNNNNNNNNNNNNNNNNNNNNCGUAUUUUUAGAUCCUCAAGUUGACAAUUUUAUAAAAAGUAAUCUCAAAUUGACCAAUAAAACAUGGAUUAUGUCAUAAAAAAUAUAUUAUCGAAUUUAUAUUUGAAAUAAUGGUAUAAAUUUUAUGUCGUAACCUAUAUUUCGUAUUGAAUAUUUUACCAUUCUUUGGAACUAGCAUUUGUGAGGGCACCAUCUUUAAUUUGUUGUGCUUUGUAAAAUAAAUUUAUUUUUAUAUAGACUCCAAAAACAUGAAAUUUCAAAUUACUUGGUUCUAUAGCCACCGUGAAGUUAUGUUAGGUAAAAUAUCAACUAUGGUCAAAAGAAUCUAGCGAUACCACCAAAUUCUUCCAAUAAAUUAGUUGCGUCGUCAUAUGUUCGGAUAAUAUUUUUAUUCACAUGACUAACAAAGCAGAGGAAAAAAAACUACGAUUGCAGCACAUGCAAUUAAUCUUAAAGAAUUCAAAACGAAUAUCAAACACAAAUGUGUAUUUGAUUACUUCAUGUGCCGGAAACACAUAUGAACUCAUGAGCUGAAAUGUGUUUUCCAAAAUGCUUGACUCAGAGGAAACUUUCCCCUUAAGUUAAUAAUAGUGAUAAAAAUAAUAAUUCUUAAGAUUCAAGUCCUAUGUAUUGGACAAUCUCAAUAGAAAACUUUUGUCGGAACAAAUAUUGUUCAAAACACUUUUGAUAUUACCCUCGUUACAAGUCCACUUAUAUAUACGGUGGCGCUAAAGUGAGCCUGAGCGCAAAAGCGCUAAUCCUACGCUCCAGCCAGUGCCACUCAACCGAACCAACUAAUCAUUUUCCACCUCCUAGUAAAAUCCUUCACACAAAAAAGUAACGAGAUUAAAUUUGUUACCGGGUGCAUGUACCUCUCUCCAUGUCAAGCCGUACAAGCUAUUUACGUGAUGCCUUCUAGUAAAAUCCUUGUCAAACAUAGUCAAAUGAAUAAAUUCGUUACCGAAUGCAUGCACAGUACCCCACCCCGCCCCGUGCUACUUAUUCACCGUAAUAACUUGUAGUAAAAUCCCUGGCAAAUAUAGUAACGAAAUAAAAUACUUUGCCAACUGCAUGCAUCAAUACUCAUUCCCACCACUUACUAGCUAUUCAAUUAAUUAUUCCUAGUAAAAUCCUUCACAAACAUAGUAAUAGAAUUAUUAGUUUUACUGUCACUAUGCACCAAACCCACCACGCUCACACUAGCUAUUCAUCCUAAUGCCUCCUACUAAAAUCCCUGUAAAACGUAGUAACUAAAUUUUUACAAAAUUUACUAGAAGCAUGCACCGGGUUUUCCAUUACUGCAAUCUCUUUCCUAGUUACGCUCAAAUUUAAAGAUUUAAUUUGGUUACUAGCUGCAGCAAUGUUCACAUGGUAAUCAAACCUAGAAAAUACAGUAACUGGUUUAAGUUUGUUACUGGAUGCGUGCAACAGAUAAUUGCAUCGCCAACAUCUUCCUUUACUAUAUGCAUCACGGAACUAAACAUGGUAAUAAACCUUGAAAAUAUAGUAACUGCUUUAAUUUUUUACUAGAUGCAUACAGUGGUUCACCGGCUCGCCACCAUUUUACUUUGCUACUAUAUGAGUGACUCAAAGUACACAUAGUAAUCAACCAUGUAAGAGAUAGUAACACAAUUAAUUUGGUUACUGGCCGCAUGCAGCAGUUCACCGCCCACAAUCAUUUUCUUUUACUAGUAGUAACGAAUCAUGCAAAACACAGUAACAUAAUUAAUUUUUUUACUGGUCGCAUGCAACAGUUCACUGCCCAUCCUUUCGUAGGCUACGGGGCGGAGAGAUGUGCAUGGAAGGUAGUAACCUGUCGCCCAACGUCCUGAUUCAUAGGUCAUUAAUUGUUUGUAGUAAUAUACUCCCCCCGUCUCAAAAUUCUUGUCUUAGAUUUAUCUAGAUAUGGAUGUAUCUAACACUAAAACUUAACUAGAUACAUUCAUAUUUAGACAAAUUUAAGACAAGAAUUUUGGGACGAAGGGAAUAGAUAGAAGAGAUGGUAAUGGAUGAUAAUUGUUUACCAAGCAAUAAGAUGGUUCGAUUCCUUGGCCUGGUAAACAUAGUAAAUCCAUUCCAUUAUGUAGUAAUGAAUUACUACAUGCUACUAAUUGUUAGCAGUAAAAAUGGUGGAGUGGAUGGUAAUAAUGAAACAAAUUGUUUUACCAACGAACAAAUUAGACUACCCAUAGUGGGAGUAACAUAUCUAGAUAAAAUAGAUGGUGUGGCAAACAAUUAAUAAAGAAAGAGAGGCAUGUAGUAACAUAGCUAGCGAAAGUGCUAUUGUGAGCUCGAGCUCACAGGCACCCUUUGCUACAGUACAAACAAAAAAAUAUUUAAAAAGUUCAAAAAAAUCUGAAUUUUUUUGGCAACAAACAUUGACAUAUUUUUCACAUGCGUACAAAUUUUCAUGACAAAAUGACAUUCAUGCAGGUCUCAGCAAAAAAAAACAAAAUCGAUGCUCCAAAAUGCUUCCAAAAACAGUUUUUUUGGAGCAUGAUUUUGUUUUUUUUGCUGACACCUCCACAAAUGUCAUUUCAUCACGAAAAUUGGCACGCAUGUAGAAAAAACAUCAAAGUUUCUUGACAAAAAAAUUCAGAUUUUUUUGAAUUUUUUUACUAUUUUUUCGGAUUUUACUGUUCAUCCGGGAUCACUGGUGCCCGGGAUCAAUUCCUCCGCGUCCCAUAGCUAGUUACUAGUCCUAUGAGUAACAUCACACAUACCAAGACUAGAUGAGUCUAUAACCUAAUAAAUGAAGUGUUGCAUGACACUACACAUAUGUUACUACUCAUUGUAGGUAGUAACAUAGACUAAUAACAUAUGUAUGUUACUAGUCUAAGUUACUCUCUACUGUGGCUAGUCAGAGAUGCUUCAAUCCUGGCGUGCAUGGUAAACGUAGUAAAACUAGGCUCCUAUGUAGUAACGCAUUACUGCAUGUGCCUAUUGUUGAAACAUACACGACCCUGCUCUCUUAACGCAUUACUUCAUUCUAUUAUGUAGUAACAAAUUACUACAUGCUCAUUAAUUGCUAGCAGUAAAAAGGAGUAAAUUGUUUUACCAACGAACGAAUUACAGAUGCUUCAAUCCUAAUGCAUGGUAAAUGUAUUACUGCUAAGAGUAACGCAUGGACCAGAAUGUAGUAAUUAUUUUUCAUGAAGAAAUGGGAACUGGCAAAGCGAGUUGACCAGUAUUGCGUCGGUUGUGUAUAAUGCCUCUGAAAUGUGUAUGCUAAGUUAGCGCGUAUUCUGGCCGGUUGGAUCGAACUGGCCGGAGCGUACGCUAAGAAGGAAUGUGCACAAGCUGUGUGUGUGUGUGUGUGUGUGUGUGUGUAGAACAUACCACAUACAACCACCUUUGUUAAAAAUGCAUGAAAAUAUCUAUGAUUUGGUUCCCGCCCUUGAGUCAGAAGACAAACGUAAACUAAAUAAGCUCGACUUGGGUUGAUCUAAUGGGAUCUGCUGAACGCAGUUUACAACCAAUAGCACUAUAAAGUGUCCACCCAAUCCCACCACAUAAAAAUCCUAUUUAUAUAGAACAAUGAGACUGCAAAAGUGAUCAACUAUGAAGCGUGCCGUAUAGAGCGAGCAAAUCUGACAACAACGGUGUUAUCAACGCGAUAAUUGAGGUAGCAACCAACAUUGGCCAUAGGAAGUGAAUCAGCGUCAUGCAUCCUCUUCAAAUAUUUAUUUUAGUCUUGAAAUGCAACAAUAAGAAAGAAUAAUAAAAAGAGAAGGGGUUUGAGCAGGAGCAAUUGGAACUGACCCAUAUGUAUCCAUGCAAUAAUUCUAAACUGUCAUUCUUGGUGAUGCUAACGAUGGUGGUGUUUCCAUCCAUGCAGAAAUCAUUCUAAUGCCAAAAAUAAAAGGUGUGUGGAUUCCAAAUUAACCAUGUGAGGAAACAAACAAAAACAAUAAAUUAAUUACAAAGUUUUCCCUAUACAUUUGUGCACAUGAUUUUGGUUCCACCUUUAGAUAAAUAUUUUUUCUUUUAAAAAACUGGUUUUUAUGAUUUACUAAUUUAUCAAAUUUUAGUGUUGACAGACGAACAAAUCAAAUGAAGCAGAUAGAAAUUUACCUUCAUAGAAGGAAAAAUUAAAAAAAAAACAGAAUCAAAAACGGUGUACCGAUUUGUUAAAUUUCAGAGCUGCCAUUUAGAAAGAACAAACCAAAUGAAGCACCUAGAAAUGGCUAACUCAAAUUACCUUCUUACAAAGAAGACUGAAACCGUUUGCACAUUUCACGAUGAUAGCACACAUUAAGUUUCCUAAUUCCUCAAAGUCUAAAACCAAUGAGCAUAGCAGAAACAAUUACAAAUUUCUUCCCCUAAUUUUGAACCUGAUUUAAUGCUUGCCUAGGUAUAAAGUUGCACAAAUUAAUUAAUAGCGGCAACAAACCGGUACACCUUCUAUAUCCUCUCAGAUAAAUGGUAGAUUCCCACAUUGAUCCGUGCCGCUUCUAGCCUUACAUCUAUAAAAUAGAUCACUUUUAUUGAGUCUGCUGCCUUUUUGGUUGUCCACUUGGAUUUUUUUUCUUACAGAACCUUGGGGACCGUGAUAAGAUUUGAAGAUCACUAAGACUUGAUUCUGCAUUAUUUGAUUUAUAAGAUUGUACAUAGGAAUGAUAAAUCACGCUUAUAAUAUCACAACAAAAAAAGGUCAACGAUGACAUGAAUCCGGUAGAAAGGGAUAGCAAGCUGAAGCUAUUUAAAUAUGUUGUCAAAAUAAAUUUUGUAUAUGUAAUGCAUGAAGCCACGAACAACCUCCACGUAAAACUACGACAAUUAGAUAUACAUGAGUGACCACUUAAUUGAUAUUUGAAAUUAUUGUGAUGUUAAUUUCAUGGCCCCGUGAAAGUAUGAAAACCUUAAUUUGCCUAUAAAACAUUUGGGUAUAUACAUAAUAAUCUUGGGCAGGUAGCAACCCUAGUACGUGGGAGCAACUUGGAAGAGCUUUUCUUCCUUGUUCAUAUGUAGUGGUCUCACAAUUUACUGAGGGUCUAAAAAAUCGUAAAACAAAACUGCAAUAAAAUAUCUACCACCACCUGACUAACUUUCCACAACUGAUUUACAUAUAAAGUGGACCAGCCGAGGGCACAAAAGCGAGUUAUGCGGCGGCAUUGAGAAAUUAUAGAGAUUGUGUGAUACAUACCUAGCAGUCUACAAUUGAUCUUGAAGAGUUUGCAUGAGGCACGCCGUGCAUGCGCAGCAACUAGGAGACGAUCUUGUGCAUGCAUUGGGAGGAUUGAUUGAUCUAGGAGGGUUGCAUGCUGUACGCACAUGCGUGGGGUCCAAGAUUCAGACCUGAAACAAUCUUUUGUACGGGCACUGGGAGGAGGUCGACCAUCCUAGGAGAAGCAAAUACUGCGGCCGGCGGCCGGCGGCGACAUGUGACGAUCAGGAUUGCCUGGUAUGAGGGAGCGCGAGAAUUCCAAGGGCAACAUAGGUGCUCUACGGCAGAACCGCAGCCUUGGGAGGGUUGGACUUAUUAGAGCAAAUACAGCCGCGUCCCCAAGAGCCCCCCGGGCCAUUUUUUAGGGCCGACGCCGAAAAAAUGGCCCAACCGCGUCCCCAGAAGCCCAAUUUUCGUCGGAUCGGGCAGAAACUGGCGCCGGCGGAUUCAGACCGAACCCGGCGCAUGGGGCGCCCAGGGGCGCCGGGGGAAUUAAUUUUCGCGCAAAGGAACGGAGGGCCCGCCGAGUCAGCGACCCCCACGCAACGUCGUCCUCAUCGCCUUGGUUUCCCGCGGGGAAUCCAUGCCAAGGCUGCCGCCGGUCAGCCUUCUAUUGAUUCCUCCCGGGCGGGCAGAGCGGCGACACGCCCCCUCCUGCCCACGCGUACACACGUUUGCGGCCCUCCGACGCUAUAAAAGCCGCCCCCCUCCCUGGCCGGUGGACGCACCCGCCCGCAGCACCAUCCUCUCUCGCCGCUGACGCCCUCUCUUCCCCUCUCUCCCCGUCUAGCCAUCGCGUGCACGCUGUCGAUGGGUGAACGGUUGCCCGGCAAUGGGGCUGCGGCCAACGGCUUCGGCCGCCGUUCUCAGCACGAGUCGGAAGCCCACCUCCUCCACGAAGCGAAUUACCCGGCGCCGUCGGNNNNNNNNNNNNNNNNNNNNNNNNNNNNNNNNNNNNNNNNNNNNNNNNNNNNNNNNNNNNNNNNNNNNNNNNNNNNNNNNNNNNNNNNNNNNNNNNNNNNNNNNNNNNNNNNNNNNNNNNNNNNNNNNNNNNNNNNNNNNNNNNNNNNNNNNNNNNNNNNNNNNNNNNNNNNNNNNNNNNNNNNNNNNNNNNNNNNNNNNNNNNNNNNNNNNNNNNGCAACCCGGCAUCGAACACCCCGGCUACUUCCACGCCGAGAUCUACCGGGUUCAUGCCUCGCUGACGGAGGAGGAGCGAGACCACCCGGAGUACUUCACCGACGACCACGCGGACUGGGUGGCGUACUUCCAACACCGGCAGCAGGAGCGGCUCGCCUCCAGCAACAACACGCCAGUGGUACGGGGCGUAACAACAGUGACGGUCACCGCCUGUGGUGGGGCGCCCCCGGCCACACGCUCCACGCCGUUCUCGAGUUCCUCGAGCGCGGCAACGAUCUGCCGCUCGAGUACCUGGCGGCCCCGGCCCCCCGCCGGAGUUGUGGCCCAUGGCUACCGGGGCAUAUGCUGGGUGGGUCUUCCUCCUCCUCCUCCUCCUCUCAAUCCUCCUCCCACUCCUCCGGAUCGCCGACGCUCUUCAGCGUCAAGGCCGAGCCCGUGGAAAAGCCACUCGACUGGCGCACCCACGGCGCCGCCCUCGUCAUCAACGAGGGCGGCCGCACCUCCUCAUGUCCUGCCCCCCGCCUUGUUGGGCCGAGGACGGAGCCGGGGCUCGGCCCCGUGAAGACCAGGCACGACGACAAGGCCGCCAUGAAGUGGGCGCGGGAGGACUGGGCGCGGCUGAAGAUGGAGCGCCGGCGCCGCGCCCUAGAGGACAUCGCCGCUCGACGCCGUGGCCGCGACGAGGGAGGCGCCGUCGUCCUCGACGACAGCGACGACGAGGCGCCGCCGCCGGCCAAACCAGUCCGCCCGGGCGACCCCGGAUAGGGGUCCGGUAGGGACGGCCGCGGCGUGAAGGAGGAGAAGGAGGACGAAGGUGGCGGCGACUUCGGCGUGUUCAGCCAAUUCUUCAGCAUGUAGGCGCGGCAACAGCAAUAUUUUCUUCUUUUUAGUUGACUUUAAGUUUCUAUAUGUAAAAAAACCUGUGGAACGCCUAAAUAUCGCAGAAUCUUUGUCGUGUUUGCCGAAUUUUGGCCGAGUAUGUUUUUGAAAAUAUUUUCAAAAAAACGGCGUCUGGGGGCGGCGGCUGGGAAGCUGAUCACCCCCAUGCUUUUUUCUAGCCCCUAGGGGGUGAACGGCUGGAGAUGCUCUUAGGGUGACGGCCUUGGGAGGGUUGAACGUAGGAGGGCGACGGCCGAACCGCAACCUUGGGACGGUUGGAAGAGCUACGAAGAUCUUGGUUGCUUUUGUCCUUUUUUUUCUUUCUUCAAGUAAAAAAUACGAUCUGGUUGUAGAAUAGGAGAGAGACAUGGUGGUGAAAAACUGCUUUAGUGGCAUUGGUGGGUAAUUUCUUUUCAAUAGAUCCAUAUCUAUUGGUUGUCAUUUUUGUAGACAUUAAAUUGACGGCCAGAUGUUUCUGAUUAACGUAGGAUUUUCUAGAAAAAUCCUCUAUUUUUGACCCGUGUAUUCUUUUAGUAGAUAAUAGAUAACUCAAUCCAUAUGGAGUAGAAAAUAAUAACAAUAGAGCUAGUAAUACUAAUCAUGCGAUUGCAUACUAGCGUAGAACCAACAGAUCUUUGAACUUGACGUGUACAACAAGCACAUAAAGCAAGAGAGAAUGAAUAUAUCAUACCCUCUAGUCGGGGAGGAAUGGACAAAUGUGGCCUUUUUGGUCGCAUUGUAGUUGUCGCCCAUGCUGAGGUCAGCAAUGUCAUGGACGUAGUUGAAGUUGUUGAAGCUGAUGGACGAGGCGAGUAGUCAUGGCGAUACGCUUCCCAAAAAUUGAAUUUCCUUCAAGGGUGCUGUUUAGGAAGCCUUUCUUCCGUACAACUCUUAGUUAAUAAAAAGAAUUAUUCAUUCCAGCUGACAAAAAUAAAGAGUUGUUUCAAAGACUACCUCUCCCAUACAACUCAUAAUUAAUUGGAAAUUAUUUAACCAUUCAAAGUGGAAAAAAGUCGCACAUACGGCAUUGGUCUUUGCCCGGCUAACCUCGUUCCCGAAGCACGCCGCACCAUGAGGGGCGCUCGCGUAUCACUCCUCUUCUCUUGCUCCAACAGACGCAUCAUCCAUUUUGAACAAGCGCAUCAUAGAUUUUAGGUUCCUUAUGAUGGAACCGGCCCACCCAGGCUGAAGUCCUAGACUUGCAUGGGUGCUCGCAUAUUUUCUAGAUGCGUUUCAGGCUGCUGCCGACUAUUCUUUCGGUGCUAUGACUUGUCCGUCGACUAUAGGAUGCUUUUGAUGAAUUUUUAAUUUCAAGAUUUGUUGCUCGGUCUCUCUAUCACAGAUGCUCAUAGUGAUAAGGUGCACGUGUAUGUUCAUAGGUUAGAGUGUGCUCUCAUGUUGUGAGCGCCUUCGUCUGUACAAUUUUUUCUUUUUCAAAAAAAUUAUCCACUUCCUAUGUAAGACGGGACUCUCAUUCACAUGAUGACACCAUACAUGGUUCUAUGAGAUUUGUCCACAAAAUAAAAUGAUAUAUGGGCUGAAAGCUGAUGUAUAUUUUCACAUUAUUUUGACCAAAUUCUAUCCAAAAAAUAUGUGUAGGCCUUAUGAACACGAACUGAAAAAGUAUGGUAAUAGUUUCUCGUUAACUAAAUUUUCUAUUAACUGUCACAGGGUUGCAAUCUUUGCUAAAAAUAGAAAGGGUGUUUACCUUUGGAACUGGCAGACCAAUGAGAAAAUAGGAGAAUGUAACUCUGGUGUUGAUAUAUUGGGAUCUGAUUGUGAUGGAGAGAUGCUCGUGACCAAAUUUAUCUCUAGAAAGCAAUGGGUCGUAAUCGGGAACUCAGACGGGUUUAUCCUUGUGUGCACGUGUCCUUCAAUGGACCAAGUCACACAUUUCAAAGCUCACCGUGAUAGUCUCGGUUUAUUGGCAGUUCACCCAACUCGCCCGUUCCUGUUGUCGUGUAACAACAUGAAGAUGAAGAUUUGGGACUGGAACCGUGGCUGGUCUUGUAUUGGAAAAAUUCAUAGCACUAGCCGGGUGACACAAGUCAUGUUUAACCCCAGGAAUACUAACGAUUUCGCUACUCACCAUCAUGAUGGGAUUGUCAAGGUUUGUCUUCCUUAUCAACCUUUUCAUUCUUCAUUUACUCGCUUGUAUUAUACUGUAAUGAAUAAUCUAACUCAUUAGUUGUCCUUGUCCCGGGUAUCAUAAAUAAUAUAGAUGUGGAGAAUUGAUCAUCCCGACCCCGUCGGCACAACGCACCGCCUACAUGACAUGUAUGAGACUGCUAGCAGCUCUUUCACUUACACGGGUGAUCGGUAUUUCAUUGCUGCCAUCCACAACAGCAAGAAUGUUGCGCUGACCGUAAGGGCAUUGAUACCACUGACCGUAUAGAACACGUGGACUAAAACACACACGUCACUAAUCUGUGUACAUCUUUUUCCCCCCUUUUUUGUUGGGUUGAACCAGAUAUGGGAUUUGCAGAAAGAAGAACAUGUCUACACACUCACCACUGACGAGGUGACUGCUGCCGCCGUUUGCCAUCCAACACUUCCAGUAUUAGUUACGGUUUCAAAUGGCGGGACUAUUCAUGUGUGGGACUCCACUACCUACAGGUAUGUAAUACUACUCGUACAUCUGGUUUUAUUUAUUUAGUUUUCAAAACAACACUGAUCCACGAAUUCAGUUCAGACUAUUUUCCAGUACUACUAGACUUGAUCUCCCUAUAUGUCCCUUGGUGUGGAAAUAUAUCUUGCUAUCCCAUGUAUCUAAUUGUGAUAUAACAUUCUGGGCAUUAAGGUUAGGGUCGUUUCCUUAAGAAACAUUCAGUACAGCCUGAAGCACGUACACACACUCGUAUCUUUUUCCAACCGGGCCACCACCCCUUUCCAUUAGCACACACUCACUCAUAUAGUGUAACUACAACAUAUAUAUGAUAUAUUAUGAUGCUAGAAGAUGCAACUAACCAUGGACUUCUGACGUUUACAGGCUUAAGAAGGUCUAUGAGAAUUGUCCAAAGGACCCUAUUCAUAUCGGUUUUACAGGCUCAGAAAGGUAACCGAAUUUCUCAUCAAGUUUUUACCUGCUUAAUAUCAUGGCUUCUAUGAAAUAAUAAAUCUGUAUGUACACAUAAGGGGACACUAAGACUAAGUUGGACAAAACAAAUUUUACAUUAAUUGGAUAUGUACUAUCUUUUCCAAGGUUUUUGUCUGAAUGUGUUGUGUUCCACAAACCAGGAAUUUCGCAGUAUCAUUCCCAUGAAUCUAUGAAAGUUCUUGUAUCAUGGAAACAGUCUCUACGCAGGUGUAACUUAGAUAUGUAGAAUUACUGAAUGGUCCUUAGUAAAUCAUAGAGUAGGAUCGUGGCAAUUAUAUAUAGCUAGCCUUUUAGUUUUCGCUGCCUGUAUUAUGUCUGCAGUACUAAAUUUUGCCUUUUCUCAAACAUUUAAUCCGGAAUGUCUCAAUCAUGUAGGCUUGUGAUUGGACAUAGCAAGGGAAUAUCAGUAUUGGAUAUUGAUCUGGAAUAGGAGGUGGAUCUCAGUGAUGCCUGCACAGAGUGUAGUGUUCCGGUUAUAUAUCUCUUUGAAUUAGCUCUCAUCAAUUCAAAUUCAAAAUUUCAGUUUAUAUGUAAGUUUAUUUGCCGCAACAGGCUGACCUAAUUCCCUAUGUAACUGCUCUGCCUCUGGAUUGAAUUACAAUUACACCAUCAUUUUGGUCGACGUAUACUGUAACUCACUGAUAUUGUGAUGAUUGCAUCCAUAAAUUGCUGCACAUUCAUUCCGUAUGCAUUUAUAUUUUGUCAGUUCUAGUACUCCCUCCAUUCCAAAAUAUAGUGCGCCCGCGCUUUCCGAGGUCCAACUUUGACCGUAAAUUUAACCAACUAGACCAACUGCGGCGGGAGAAAAAAUUAUAUAAUUGAAAACUUCUUUCGAAUACGAAUUCACUGAUAUAAUUUUUGCUCCCGCCGCAAUCGGUCUUGAUAGUUAAAUUUACGGUCAAAAUUGAAGCACGUGGAUAGAGGAAGCACUAUAUUGUGGAAUGAAGGGAGUAUCAAAUAGGGGCGGCACUGCGCAUCUGCUUUUUCUUUUGCCAGUGGCAUCGCUACUAGCUGUGGAACAGCACUUUGCUCGUCAAGCGGCCUCCCUGCUGACAUGAAAAGUUGAAGGAUCAUCCCUCUGCAGUUUGGCCGUCCACAUCUCCAUCCCCAUGUACUAGUACUGAAGGGGCCGCACACAGGUAAGGUAUACUCCACCCCUGUCGCCAGGCCUUUAGCCUGCACGUAACCUCUUCAUCUAGUGGCGGAGACCCAAAUAUUUUCUUCCGGCAGACCCAGACACCAACUUGGCAAUUGUCCGAGCGUCACUGGUGAUGUCUUCCCGUCAGGGUAUUCAACACCAAAAACUGUGCUCCGUGUAAGAGCAUCUCUAGCCGACCCCAUAAAGGCUAUAGAGGAGUAAAAUUUGCAUCCGGCACCUAGCCAAAGUACUAAACUGAAUAGUGGACGCCUAAAAAAGUAAAAAUACUCAGCUGCGACCGCGCAGUGUAUGACAGCUGUUGACAUGGCCACCAGUCUGGACACCCAUGCAAACAGAGAAAGGCAAACAGAUUCCUCUUCACAUUGUCCUUGGAUUCAUUUAGCACGAUGUUUUUGACUUAUUUCUGUUUUUCUCGUCUACAUUUCCUACACAUUCAAGAGUUUGUAUUGCAAAUGAUUCACUGGGGCGGGGCCUUCCUAUACGACGACUUAAAAUAGUACAGCAGCACUGCGCUGGCUCCCUUUAUUGAACCGUCCCCUACGUUAGCGGCUGUAGACAGAUAUCUGGGAUGCUUUCUUUGGCCACCCGGCCGGUGCCACAGCCCUACUCUGGCCUUCACAAGAUAUACCUGUGUGGUUCACAUUAUUUGUUAACGACGCACGUGAGCAGCAGCAGAGGAACAAUUGCAGAUGCACAUUUGUGAUUUGCUUCCCGGAAGGAAGUGAAUCAAAUGCAACACUUGCCUACCAGUAAUUCUGAGUUUCUGACACUCUGAAGCGAUCAAGACCGCGCCUCUUUCGCAGCUAACUUAUCAGGUGUCCGUUUGUUUCCCUACAAGCAUCCCAUAAUCAGAGCAUCUCUUGCGUAUGUAGCUUGCCACCAAGACCCCCAAAAGCAGUUACAUCACCAGCUCACCAUAUAACUGUACUAGCAAGUGCAAUCAUAAUUCCGUGAGUAUUGAAACGGUGAAAGUUGAUCUGUUUGGUUUUUCAAAACCUUGACCGGAUGUCAGUACAACAAAAACAGGUGGAAGCAGGUGCUCCCUUUGUGCGAUGCGGAAAACGUCUUACCUCGCAGAGAGGGGACGCGUACAUGUUAUAUGCAGGGGUGCGAAACCCUGGUAGCGCAUACAGUUGGGAUCGAUCUCAUCCGGGAGAGAAGAUCUCGUACAGGUACAGGAGGUUACAACUUGGAGUCCAAGCUAGCUAGAGAUAGAAUUAUGAGCUAGAGAUAAACCUCCUAUCCUAACUACCAAGAUACAUACAACUCCCGCUAAGAUACGUCACAUGUGACGCGCACAAUGAAGGUACACAUACGGCUUGUUUAACACCCUCCCUUAAUCACAACUUCAUCAAGUUGAGAUUAUGCUUGAAGUCGUCAAAGCUUCUUGUAGGCAAAGGCUUUGUGAAUCCAUCUGCAAGUUGAUCUUUGGAGUGCACAAAGCGUAUAUCAAGUUGCUUCUGAGCAACUCUCUCUCUGACAAAAUGAAAGUCUAUCUCUAUGUGUUUUGUUCUAGCAUGGAACACUGGAUUUGCAGAGAGAUACGUAGCUCCAAGGUUAUCACACCAUAAACAAGGUGCCUAUUUACUUCGUAUGCCAAGUUCCUUCAACAUUGAUUGAACCCAUAUGAUCUCUGCUGUGGCAUUUGCCAAUGCUUUGUAUUCUGCCUCUGUGCUUGACCUGGAUACGGUUGCCUGUUUACAUGCACACCAUGAUAUCAAAUUAGGUCCAGAAAAUACUGCAAAACCACCAAUGGAACGUCUGUCAUCAAGACAACCUGCCCAGUCAAAGUCAGAGAAUGCACUGACUAAAGUGAAUGGUGAUUUGCUGAAGUUCAGUCCUAAGCUCAGAGUGUGCUUAACAUAUCGAACUAUGCGCUUUGCAGCUGUCAGAUGAACAUUAGUAGGUGCAUGGAGGAACUGGCAGACUUUAUUAACAGCAGAAGAAAUAUCAGGCCUGGUAAGUGUGAGAUACUGAAGGGCUCCUACCAGACUCCUGUAUUUGGUGCUGUCUUCUUGACUUAAGGGCUCGCCUUCUGCAAGGGAUAGCUUUUCUGAGCUGGACAAUGGAGUAAGAGAGGGUUUACAUCCUUGUAGCCCAGCUUUCUUGACCAAGUCAGUGGCAUACUUUUCUUGAGAGAGAACAAGUCCAUCCUUGUGCUUUUUCACCUCAAUCCUAAGAAAAUAAUGCAAAUCACCAAGAUCCUUUAAAGCAAAGUCUGCACUCAAAUCCUUAAGAAGUCCUGUGAUUGCUUUAUCAGAUGAGCUAGUCACAAUAAUAUCAUCAACAUAUAUGAGAACAAAUAUGCAUGUGUUGGACUUGUUGUAGAUAAACAAUGAUGUGUCAGACUUGGACGGAACAAAACCAAGUGCUUGCAUUUUGUGACAGAGGCGAGCAUACCAUGCCCUUGGAGCUUGCUUUAGUCCAUACAAUGCUUUAUCAAGCUUGCACACAUAAGAAGGAGCAUUCUUACUCUCAAACCCAGGAGGUUGUUUCAUAUAUACUUCCUCUUCCAGAACACCAUGGAGAAACGUGUUCUGAACAUCCAGCUGUCUGAGACUCCAUCCUCUAGAGACAGCAAUAGAUAAGACAAGGCGAAUAGUGGCAGCCUUUACUACUGGACUGAAGGUAUCCUCGUAGUCUAUGCCAUACCUCUGUUUGAAGCCUUUUGCAACCAAUCUAGCCUUGUAACGAUCAAUGGUUCCAUCAGCUUUCCUCUUUAUCCUGAAAACCUACUUGCAAUCGAUCAAAUUUUUACCUUGCUGUGGGGGAACCAGGUGCCAUGUUUUGUUUUUCAUCAAUGCCAUGUACUCUUCAUGCAUGGCUUUCUUCCACUUUUCAUCACACAAUGCUGCUUCAAGGGUGUUAGGCUCAUCUGGUUCACCUGUGGAACAAACCAUACCAUACUUGGUUAUAUGCUUGUAAUUAACAGGUUGAAUUACCCCUUGUUGCAGCCGUGUACGUCGUGGUUGGGAAACAUCAGGAUCGGUGGCCACAGAAGAUCCUGCAGGCUGCUCAUGUGUGACUACAUCUGAUCCCGAUGAAGAUGCUGCUUGAUUUUCUGCGCCUAACUGUUGAAGCGGAGUACGUGAGUUUGCCGCAGAGGAUCCCGCUUGAGCAUGUGCAUGUGCAUGCAGAUCAUCAUGGCGUGAUGAUGGCGUAUCCGCCUGAACCUCCACGCCGGUCGGGCCCUCCCUGCGUCGCGCGUCACCGCGCCGCGUGUACGUCACCGGAUUGGUGGCGUACCUCGUACCGCAGGUUGACAGGGACCGGUGCGGGGCCGCCUCCGCCCGACCGCACGGGGAUCGAUGCGAGAACGCGUCCGCCCGACCGCGUCCGUCACGUGGAUUGAGGGACAGCGUGGCGCGCGCGCCCGCGCCUGGGCCUGCUCCCGCAGCUGUCACGCCUACUCCCGCGGCUGUCGCUGCCCCGUCAGCAUGGAGAAAUCCCGAGGCGCCUGUACCUGCCGCGUUCGCAGGAACCGAUCCCGAGGCGGAUCCGGUUCGCUGCAGAUGGGCAGAUCCCAAGGCGGAUCUGUUUCCCUCGGGGAGGCACAUGAAAUACGGCUCAAUAGGCGCCGUUUUUUCUGCAUUUUCUGCAUCUGCUCCUGUAGUUGCCGCGCUGCUUUGUUCUGUUGCAUCAACACAAAACUCAUGCACAUCAUUAGAUGGGUUAGUCAAUAGAUCAUCAAUAUUUUGUCCCCCUUGAUCAAAACUAGUGAGAUGAGAGGGCAAAAGAAGGAUUUCUUUGCGAAGGAGUGCACCAGCAUUGGGAUGGAGGUCAGCAAACGGAAAUUCUGUUUCAUCAAAGACCACAUCUCGUGAGAUGUAGACACAGCCAGUGGAGACAUCUAAACACUUGACCCCUUUAUGCUGUGCACUAUACCCUAGGAAGACGCACUGUUUUGAGCGAAACAUGAGUUUGCGGUUGUUGUAGGGACAAAGGUUGGGCCAACAUGCACACCCAAACACACGGAGAGACUUAUUGUCUGGUUUAUUACGAAGAAGUCGUUCUACUGGAGUUUCAUUGUUAAUGACACGACUAGGUAGCAUGUUGAUAAUAUGAACAGCUGUGAGAAAAGCUUCGUCCCAGAACUUGAGAGGCAUGGAUGCCCUGCUAAAAGAGCAAGACCAACCUCGACAAUGUGCCUAUGCUUGCGUUCGGCAGAACCGUUUUGUUGGUGAGCAUGCGGGCAGGACACAUGAUGUGAGAUGCCAAGAUUUUGGAAGAACGAAUUUAAUUUUUCAUAUUCCCCUCCCCAAUCAGAUUGGACAGCAACUAUCUUGCUAUCAAACUUUCGUUCAACUAGUGCUUGAAAGUUUUGGAAAACUUGAAACACAUCGGAUCUCUUUUUGAGGAGAUAUAUCCACGAGAAUUUGCUAUAGUCACCAAUAAAACUGAGGUAAUAUGUGUGUCUACCAACGGAGGUAGGGGCUGGACCCCAUACAUCGGAAAAAAUAAGUUGCAGAGGUUUAGUAGAAACACUAGUUGAGAUGGGAUACGGUAAUUGAUGACUUUUAGCUCGCUGGCAUGAAUCACAAAUUGUUUCAACAUGACGCUCACCAACAAAUGGGAGCUUAUUUUUCCUAAGCAACUUUUCUACUAAAGAAAAAGAGGCAUGUCCUAGACGGUCGUGCCAUCGUGUGGACGAAAGCUUGAUAGCACCACAAGCUUGUUUAUUGAAUCUUCGAAACUCCGAAAUCAACGGAUAGAGCCCUCGAACACAUCUACCUCGAUAGAGGAUUUUCCUCGUGACCUGAUCCUUAAUCAAGAAGAAAAAAGGAUGAAAUUCGAGAAGAACAUUAUUAUCAAGGGCAAUUCUAUGAACGAAAAGAAGAUUUUUGUGUGCACUAGGGACAUGCAAGAUUUUCUUAAUGUGUAGUUUUCGACUAGGGGUACGAAAUAUAGAGUGACCAAUGUGACUUAUACCCAUACCUUCUCCGCUAGCAGUAUGAAUUUGAUCUUUGCCGCGGUAUUUUUCCUUCAUGGUGACCUUCUCAAGCUCGUUCCUGAUGUGGUUUGUGGCACCGCUAUCGACGUACCAAUUGGUGUCAAUACCGUAGGAACCAUCAGCGGCAGCAGCUACCUUGUCAUCAUCUUGGGAGUCCUCAUACUCAUCAUAGCGGUACCAGCAAUCCUUAGCUAUGUGACCUGGCUUCCCGCAGAUUUGGCAUCGCGGGGUUUCUGGACGCGUUCGGUUUCCUCCACCGUGCCCGCGCCCGCGCCCGCGACCACCCGAGCGCUGAGGAGAGUGGCCGCGAUCGUUGCCGCUGCCAGCAAAUCGCCCUUUGUAGCGCGAGGAGCCACGUGAGCGGGAGCCACCACCCCGGCCGCGCGACGCCAGGUUUGCAGAAGAUUUGAACCAACCGCUGGAUCCACUGAACUGUGCCAUGCGCUGGUCGAAGUUCGACAGCAUGGCGAAGAGCUCAUCGAGGGUUGCAGGAGUAACACGGGCGUCGAGGGCCGAUACCAGUGGCUGGUAGUCCGCUCCAACCCGUGGAUGAUGUACGAGAGAAGCUCGUCGUCCUGGAUGGGCUUGCCCGCCGCGGCCAGCUAGUCGGCAUAGCCACGCAUGGCGGCGAAGUAGGAGGCAACCGAGAGGUUACCCUUCUGCGCGUUGAUGAGGGAGGUGCGUAUGUUGUUGAUGCGACUCGCCGAUUGGGACGAGAACAUGGCCGCGAGCAUCGUCCAGAGCGCGCCCGCCGUGGUGACCGUGGUCACCGUGACCAGGACCUCCUUCGUGAGGUUAUUCAGCAGGUAGCCAAGGACCUGCUGGUCCUCCCGUACCCAUAUAGGGUGGAGAGGGUUGGGCGAUGAAGUCUCCUUGCCCUCCUUGACGGUGACGAGGAGCUUCGCCGGCUCCGGGUUGGUGCCGUCGACGUAGCCGAAGACGCCGGCGCCGCGCAGCUGAGGUGUGAUCUGCGUGCGCCAUAGCACGUAUUUCGUGCGUGAUAGCUUCUCUGUGACCUGAUUGUUGAGGCUUGGAGAGAAGGCGCUGGAGGAAGACAUGGCUAGGCUAGAUUGGUUUGACAGAAGCUCUCGAUGGGAAAAGGAAAGGCUCUGUUACCAUGUGCGAUGCGGAAAACGUCUUACCUCGCAGAGAGGGGACGCGUACAUGUUAUAUGCAGGGGUGCAAAACCCUGGUAGCGCAUACAGUUGGGAUCCAUCUCAUCCGGGAGAGAAGAUCUCGUACAGGUACAGGAGGUUACAACUUGGAGUCCAAGCUAGCUAGAGAUAAACCUCCUAUCAUAACUACCAAGAUACAUACAACUCCCGCUAAGAUACGUCACAUGUGACGCGCACAAUGAAGGUACACAUACGGCUUGUUUAACACCCUUUACAGAUAUGACUUCGACUUAGUUGUUAAACCCUCCAAUAAAAUCCAGUUUCCGACGAGGUCCAUCUGACAUUGCUGUUUCUUUCACCUAGGUCGCUUAUCUUUUCCUAAUUCUAGAUAUGACAGUUAGUUUGGAACAUUAUUAGAGUUGCGCUCAUGCAUUACUAUAAUUAAACAGGGUUCCUCUAAACAACUGAUUUCACAUAGUAGCACAGAGCAGGUGCAAAAACUGUGGUGGACCGAUCCGGCAGGUCAGGUUCUUCCAGAACUGAGACCAUCUAUAUCUCAACACAAAUUCGAGCCGAGUUUACAAACCAUAACCCACAAUGAGGUGAAGUUGUAUCUCAGAAUUUCUGAUGCAGUACAUUAUACAAACAAUCUGCCAAAUGCACUACAUACAAUGCAUCACACCGUGCAUCACUCGGAAAACAGAAAAACUAACACCAUGCCGUCAUAAUUAAGCACAAAACAGAGUAUUUGUAUUUAAGAAUGGUAAACAUGCAUUGUCAGACUUUACUGGUGUUGUUUGAGAGAGAAGAGCGUCUUGAAGAUGCCCACUAGAACACCAGCCACGGAGAAGACAGCGACAAUGGUUUUGAAGUUGUUGUAGAUGAACCUGUGCAUCUUGAUCCACAUCCACCUUUUGACCUUGUAGUCCUCCAUGCGCAAAAAGAAGCGGAUGUACGAGCUGCCCGCAGGAAGGUGCUUAGAAACACUUUUGAAGAACUCGAGCAUCUCUUUGUUUGUGAGUACUCCAUGCAGAAGAUGCUUCGUUCGUAGCUCGUGCACAUCCUCCUCACGAUCCAUGAGCAUCAAAAGGAGGGCGAGGUACGAGCAGACAGCCAACUCUUCAUCAUGACGUAGAUCCCCUGAGAUCGUGCAUAUCUCAAAAGCCGCCAUGUUUACAAGCCAACAUGCGCCUAUGUUGCUCAGCGCUAGGGGCGUCAUGAAAAGCUCGCCAAAGAGGUGGCCUUGGUUGAUGCCGAUUUCUGUGAAACUUCCAGUCUUGAUGGCUUGCAGCUUGAUGCCAAUUUCUGCAAGCUCGAGGGCAGUUGUAGAUAAUGAAAUUGUUUUUUUCUUGGUUGAUGGUAUAUGUCUUCUCAUAGGGCCGGGGUUAGGCUUAGCAACCGUUCGCGCGUUCAAGAGUUUCAAUGUUGAAGAAAACAUUUGCUUUGCCCUGAUGGGGGCUUUCAAACGAUUCAAUGUUGAAAAUACUUGAUUGAAGCAGGCCUUCUUGUUGACUUUGAUGGUUGUCCUGCUGCUUGUUUUGUUGAAUCGGACGAGACCAAGGAGAUGGGGUGGCCUGUACUUCUCAUCCAAGUAUGAAAUGUUUUGUUCUGGUAUAGUAUGAUACAUGUUUGUGAGACCUUCUCCCAUUACUGAAAUUGUCUUGUUCACUUGCGCGGACACAAACCCAAAGGUUAGGAUGGUUUCCAUAACUAGCCAAGGAACUUGGUCCUCCAGCAACAUUACAUCAUUAUAGAUAUGCAGUUUGUUGGAGUGAAAAACAUAUAGCAACUCUGGACAUAGAAGCUGCUCAUCGCCCAUAAUAAUCAUAAACUCAAGCAAGAAACAAGCAUCAUAGAACAUCAUAGCCUCAAAGUCAGCAUGACUUAUACCUGUCACCGCGUCAUCAGCGUAGAGGCGGUGGGCCUUGUCCGCAACCUUGACGACAGCCCCAUAGAUCUCCUCAAGCGAGUGGCCUGACCCAUUGAUGAAGUGGUGGGCAGCCACAUGCUUCACCUUCUCCAUCUGCCGGAGGUGGGGUGAGUCAUGGUGGUAAGGGCCGAUGGCCACGACCCUUGGCACAAUGUACUGGCUGCCGAGACCGUGUAGGCUUGCAGGGAACCCGCAGGGAACCUAUGCAUCUUAUCUUGUCUCUUGUGGAAAUCAACCUUGAGGUCACCUGCUCUACUUUCCUCAAGUACUGCUCCUCAACCGAAGCCGGUACUGCUGCAUCUGUAAAGACCACGAUGUGCUCAUCAUUCAACUUGCUGGCGGCUACAACUAGGAACCACCGGCACAUCUGUAAUCUCAGAGGGGGAAGCAGCCUUGAACUCUUGAGCUGUUUUCUUCAGGUAUUCCUCAACCGGAGCAGGUACUGCUUCUACUGAUUCCACGGCUUCCAUCCUCGAACUAAUUUGCUGGAUGGGUUAGGAGUGCCACACAGAUGUGUUAUAUCCCAGAGGAGAAAUCAAAUUGCUAGAACUAGCAUCGUUUCCAAACUAGAAAAGCAAAGUAUCGACGAACAGAUUAACAAACAAGAUGCGAAGAUGGCACUUCCACUGUCCUGUUGGAGUACUAUACUAGUGCAAAUGGUAUUAGCUUUUCCACUACGAAAAAAUGUAUAUUCUGAAUCUAAUUAACCACUCUUUAGCUUGUCCCCAUCAGCAUGGUGAGCUCGCCUAUGCUAACCACCCUUUCCGUUUAUAAGUUUGCUAAUUCCAAGGUAAUUCAGGGUUAGCCAAGGCCAUCCUGAACCGUAGAGUGUAGACUAUUGGCAAAAUAUCAUAAAGUUCUGCAGCACUUGAAUUGAAUCAUAAAUUCUUUGUAGAUGUGGAACAGUACAGCUGUUUGUAGAACUGACCAGUGCAAAACUAAGUCAUAUUUCUUGCAUCCCAACAUGAAAACAAAAUUAUCAAAAUAACAUACAUAUAAAUGAUGACUGAUUCUAAGAGUGCUCAACAAAUUAAGUGCUUAGAGCACUAACCUGGAAGAAGAUUAGAGAUAUCCCAUCUAGCUUCUGAUCAAGAGAACACCCAAGCUGGUAUUGCCUCACAAGGAAAAAAGCAAGCAAGGGAAAGGGGAAGAAGAUAUUGGCUUGACCUCUCGGUGCCAGGUUGCUUCCUAUAAAUGAAUAGAUGGGGGCAAUGUUGGAAGAAAUGAGGUCUCAAAAAAAAUGUUGGAAGAAAUGUGAGCAGGUAUGCUCCAGAUCUUGUGACCUUAGAUUCAAGAUUUUCAUUCUUAUUAUUAAGAGACUAGCUAGUCUCCAAAUAUUAAGAAUCUUAAUUAAGGGUGGGUGAUAUGUACAUGUGAUGGUUACUGAUUACCACAUUAAGGGCAUUAGACUAUCAUUAUCAUUAUUAAUUGACAACGAGGAUCAUGAAGACCCUUCCUCCCUUAAUGGUUAUCGUUGGCCUCCUCUAAGGUGAAAGAAGAUAAUAACGGGAUACAUGCAGCCCGCAGCCGGCCAUAUGUGAAGUUCUUCUCCCUAGUUUCAAAUCGGGCAUAUACAAAAGAAACGGUUUAAGAGCUGGCCUAGAACUUACCAAGAAGAAGUGUAGGGAUGCCAGCUAGUUUCUGCUCAGAAAAUACCAAGCUAGUAAGUAUUGCGGGGUGAUUGAUGAUCGUUGUUUUAUAUAUAAAGCGGGGCAAAAGCCUUUUCGGUAAGUAGGAGAAAGGGUAGGAAGUGGCUGGACCAACCUAGCGUACCAGGUUGCAUAUAUAGAAAUGAUUUUAAUUAGGUGUGCGUGAAAUUGUUUCAUUGGAAUCAAGAUUAAUUAAGACGAGCAGACAGUCUAGUCUCUUUACGUUUAGCAGCUCAAUUCAUCAUAUUGUCAACCUUACCGGUUACCACAUUAAGGAACAUGUGGUGGUACCAAUUAACACGUUAAUGAACAUUAGACUAUGGGCACGUGAUAAAGUAUUCCGGAUGUAUUUAAGAAGACCAAACAUAGUAGUGUCUUUAAAUUUAGCAGGAUAACUUACCCUAGGGCCUACGGUGGGUCUGUUGUUGGAUGUGAUGGCUACCAACAACCAUGCUAAGAGACGUUAGACUAUUAUUAGUACUCCCUCCGUUCCUAAAUAUUUGUUUUUCUAGACAUUUUAAAUAACUACUACAUACGGAUGUAUGUAGACAUAUUUUAGAGUGUAGAAUCACUCAUUUUGCUUCGUAUGUAGUCACUUUUAAAAAUGCCUAGAAAGACAAGUAUUUAGGAACGGAGGGAGUAGUAAUUAUUGGGUAGACGGGGAAUUAUUCAAUGCUGAUGACGGUGUAAACUAAUCCUCCAUGAUUGUCAUUGUUUGAGCUUCUCAGAGGUGAAAAGAGAUAAAAACCAGGUAUACAUACUUGCUGAGCAUAUAUAUAGAAAGAUUUAAGAGCCGGCUGGAGCACUAACCGAGUAGGUGUAGAGGUGCCCGCUAGUUGCUGGCUGCUGCUCAGAAAAGACCCAAUAUUCCCGCAAAAAAAAAGACCCAAUAUGUCUAGUACUGCUUCAGAAGGAGAACAUCCAAGUAGUAGAAGAAAGAGACAAAAUGCACCGAUUACUGCGUCAAGGAGCGGAAACAUGUCGUUGUUGGGUCGACGGGGAUUAGUCAAUUCGGGCAACUUGCGUUGCUGAGCUGUUUUAAGUUUGAAGUUGGCAGUUUUCAUUGGUAUUGGAAGAGCGACCUAUGCUAGUUAAUGUUCACUUGUAGUGGUGAAAAUGUUGCCUGAAGAACAGCUGGCAAUAUUUUGUUGCACAGAUGCUUGAUUUGCUAUCCUGAAUCCUGAUGCACGAUUUAAACAAGGAGGUACAAUUCCCAGUGAAAGUAGGUGUUUCGAAGAAAGAAAAACUCGGAUCGGUUGGUAAUGAAAUAGUACCUGAGAUUUGUAGUCAGAAUUAAACCCCGGUCCUCGUCUACCAAAGCUCUGCUCUUGAUAAGGAAAGGCGCUACAAUGAAUGGUUGGCCCGCCAUCUCUUCUUGGAAGAAAGGCGAUGCCGGCCGGUGUGCUCAGCAGCGUGCCACCGCUGCGUCGACGAGGCCCACUGCCAUCAUCUAUCAGCUAGCCUGAAAGAAGCCUGGUCUGCCAUGGCCGCUGCGGCGGGAUGCGGAGGAGCAGGUCGGCGGGAGCUCGUCCGCCGGUGGUCUUGAGGUGAGUUAUUUACCGAAAACCAUCACACUUGAGGUUAGGGUAACAGAUUGGUACCACAUUUGAAUCAGGGCAUAAAAAACCACCGGUUGACUAAACUUCUCUCACGAGCAAGACAUGAUCAUACCUUUGUACUCUUUGGGUGUUAAUCACAUAGCGAUGUGAACUAGAUUAUUGACUCUAGUAAACCUUUUGGGUGUUGGUCACAUGACAAUGUGAACUAUGGGUGUCAAUCAUAUACAGAUAUGAUUAUUGGUGUUAAAUCACAUGGCGAUGUGAACUAGAUUAUUGACUCUAGUACAAGUGGGAGACUGAAGGAAAUAUGCCCUAGAGGCAAUAAUAAAGUUAUUAUUUAUUUCCUUAUUUCAUGAUAAAUGUUUAUUAUUCAUGCUAGAACUGUAUUAACCGGAAACAUAAUACAUGUGUGAAUACAUAGACAAACAUAGUGUCACUAGUAUGCCUCUACUUGACUAGCUCGUGAAUCAAAGAUGGUUAAGUUUUCUAGCCAUAGACAUGAGUUGUCAUUUGAUUAAGGGGAUCACAUCAUUAGGAGAAUGAUGUGAUUGACUUGACCCAUUCCGUUAGCUUAGCACUUGAUCGUUUAGUAUGUUGCUAUUGCUUUCUUCAUGACUUAUACAAUGUUCCUACAACUAUGAGAUUAUGCAACUCCCGUUUACCGGAGGAACACUUUGUGUGCUACCAAACGUCACAACGUAACUAGGUGAUUAUAAAGGUGCUCUACAGGUGUCUCCGAAGGUACAUGUUGGGUUGGCGUAUUUCGAGAUUAGGUUUUGUCACUCCGAUUGUCGGAGAGGUAUCUCUGGGCCCUCUCGGUAAUACACAUCACUUAAGCCUUGCAAGCAUUGUAACUAAUGAGUUAGUUACGGGAUGAUGUAUUACGGAACGAGUAAAGAGACUUGCCGGUAACGAGAUUGAACUAGGUAUUGGAUACCGACGAUCGAAUCUCGGGCAAGUAACAUACCAAUGACAAAGGGAACAACGUAUGUUGUUAUGCGGUUUGACCAAUAAAGAUCUUCGUAGAAUAUGUAGGAGCCAAUAUGGGCAUCCAGGUUCCGCUAUUGGUUAUUGACCGAGAAUAGUUCUAGGUCAUGUCUACAUAGUUCUCGAACCCGUAGGGUCCGCACGCUUAACGUUAUGAUGACAGUUUUAUUAUGAGUUUAUAAGUUUUGAUGUACCGAAGUUUGUUCGGAGUCUUGGAUGUGAUCACGGACAUGACGAGGAGUCUCGAAAUGGCCGAGACAUAAAGAUUGAUAUAUUGGACGACUAUAUUCGGACACCGGAAGAGUUCCGGGUGAUUUCGGAGAAAACCGGAGUGCCGGAGGGGUUACCGGAACCCCCCGGGGAAGUAUUGGGCCUUAGUGGGCCUGAGGGGAGAGAGAGGGCAUCAGCCCAGGAGGUGGCGCGCCCCCUCCCUUGGGGAGUCCGAAUUGGAGUAGGGGAGGGGGGGCACGGCCCCUCUUUCCCUCUCCCUCUCCCUCUCUUUCCUUCCCCCUUCCUCCUUCCUAGUUGGACUAGGAAAGGGGAGUCCUACUCCCACUAGGAGGAGGACUUCCCCCUCCUUGGCGCGCCCCAAGGGCCGGCCGGCCUCCCCCCUUGCUCCUUUAUAUACGGGGGCGGGGGAGCACCCCAAAGACACACAAGUUGAUCUACGGAUCGUUCCUUAGCCGUGUGCGGUGCCCCCUUCCACCAUAUUCCACCUCGGUUAUAUCGUCGCGAAGCUUAAGCCCUGCGCCGGUAGAACAUCAACAUCGUCACCACGCCGUUGUGCUGACGGAACUCAUCUCCGGAGCUCGGCUAGAUCGGAGGCCGGAGAUCGUCAUCGAGCUGAACAUGUGCUGAACUCGGAGGCCCCGUACGUUCGGAGCUUGGAUCGGUCGGAUCGUGAAGACGUACGACUACAUCAACCGCGUUAUCAUAACGCUUCUGCUUACGGUCUACGAGGGUACGUGGACAUACACUCUUCCCUCUCGUUGCUAUGCCAUCACCAUGAUCUUGCGUGUGCGUAGGAAAUUUUUUGAAAUAAAACCCAACAGGCUCAGCUUCUUCCCGCAUUACCGGCUCAGCUUCUUCCCCCAUUGUUGUAUCAUCGUAUUCAGGGAACCCAUGGCCAGGAUAGUUGUCAUCGUCCUCUUCUUCUUCAUUGUCUUCCAUCAUAACCCCUCUUUCUCCGUGCUUGGUCCAAACAUUAUAGUGGGGCAUGAAACCGGACUCAAAUAGGUGGACGUGAAUGGUUCUUGACGUAGAGUAAUUGUGACCAUUCUUACAGCUAGCACAUGGACAAGGCAUAAAACCAUCCGCCCGCUUGUUUGCCUCAGCCGCAAGCAGAAAAGUAUGCACGCCCUCAACGAACUGGGGAGAGCAUCGGUCAUCGUACAUCCAUUGCCGGCUCAUCUUCAUUACACAACACCGAAUAGACCAAAUUAAUACAAGUUCAUACAUAAAGUUCAUACAACACUUAAAUGCAACAAACAAAUAACUCUCUAGCUAGAGCAUUUAAAUGCAACAACAAAUGCGAUCAAGAUCGCAACUAAGAUAACAAUUGAUCCAACAGCAUAAUGAUACCAAGCCUCACUAUCGAUGGCAUAUUUUCUAAUCUUUCUAAUCCUCAAGCGCAUUUUCUCCAUCUUGAUCUUGUGAUCAUCGACGACAUCGGCAACAUGCAACUCCAAUUCCAUCUUCUCCCCCUCAAUUCUUUUCAAUUUUUCUUUCAAGUACUCGUUUUCUCUUUCAACUAAAUUUAACCUCUCGACAAUAGGGUCGGUUGGAAUUUCCGGUUCACAUACCUCCUAGAUAAAAAUAUCUAUGUCAACUUGAUGGGCAGAAUUUGUCAUAAACACGAAAUGCAAAAAAUAGUUUUAAAAAAGAAUAUACCACAUCCGAAUCAUAACAAGGAUGAGGGCCGACGGGGACGGAUAUCAAAACCAUGGCACUAUGUAUAACAAACAACGUACGGGUAAGAUAAUUAUUAUACGAGUAACUAUAUAUCCAAAUCACACAAACAUCAAUUUUUUAUAUAAAAUUUCAUGAACAAGAGGCUCACCACAAGGUGGUGCCGGCGACGGGACGGUGGGGCGAUCGACGGUGGUUACGACGGAGAUUUAGAAGGCACUAAGUAAACCACACCUACAUAUGCAAACUAAGUGUUAUUUUGACCUCAAAUUGCAUAUAAAUCAAAUACUACCACAUAUAAUUCCUCCCAAAUUACUAAAACCCACAAUUAAUCACUAAACCAAUGCAAGAGCUAAUCUAGCAAUGAGAGAUGAAAGGACAAAGUUGCUAACCUUGGUGAUCAUUUGAAUGGAUGAGGGCCUGCAAAUCUUGACAAAUUUGGGGCAAAUUUUGUGAUGAACUCGAGAGGAAGAAGGGAAGAACAGAGGAGAGGGAGAGGGGAAAGGGGGAAGAAUAGAGUGUGGGUGGACGAAGGGUUUAUAUAGGAUGACCUUUAGUACCGGUUCGUGGCACCACUUUCUUUAGUGCUGGAAGGGCCCCACUCUGACAACAUCCUGCCACCACUUUCUUUAGUACCGGUUCGUGGCACGAACCGGUGCUAAAGGUUCACCACGAACCGGUACUAAAGAGCUCCUCCCGCCUAGCCGUUGGAACCGGCACUAAUGGACACAUUAGUGUCGGUUCUGUUACAAACCGGGACUAAUGUGUCUCACAUUUGACCCUUUUUCUACUAGUGUGAACAAGUUUUGUGCAAUAUUGAACUACAAAAAAAACAAGUUAGCACUACAAACACCAACAACAAGCAUGAUGAACAUGGAUGAAAUGGCACUUACCCUAUCUUCAUCAUUAGUGCCACUUGGGUUCAACUUGUCAACCGCCUUUUGUGCGGCCGCCCACUUUUGACAAUCUCGGCUGAUUGUCGACCACUGGGAGCGAAGAGAUCGUUCCAAGCAGUCAAUUUCACUCUUGUUGUGUAGAUCAAAGUGCUCCUUCAUCAGGUUCCAAUAAGCAUCUUUACUUUGAUCACCUCCAACGGAUGGAUCCCUCGACACUUGCAACCAAGUAUUGCAUAGCAAGACAUCUUCCUCAUUGGUGUAGUUGCCUCCUCUUCCUUUCGGUGCGUCGACAAUGCCCUCACCAUCCUUGUCCACCUCAAACACAUGGUCAUCAAAAUGCAUGUCAUUGGUUUGAGACCAAUGCAAAUUGUUGGAGCCAACACCCAUAGUUGACAUAUAUGCCUCAUCGUUGAAACUACAAAGUAUAUACAACGAAGCAAAUAAGCUAUCUAUAUGUAUGCAUUCAAAAAAUACAACAACAAAAAGUUGGCGAAAUUUUACACCUUUGGGGCAUUUCCUCGAACACCUUCUGCGCGUCGGCCGCCGGCUCAACAAGUGAGCUCGUCCGUGCUUCGGUAGCCGACGCACCCCUCGCACGCCCUGCAAGCUUCUUCCUCGACGGCUUCGAGGAGCCGGAGCCGUCCGCCGCCUUGUUCUUCUUCGCAGAUACCUUGCCCUUCUUCGGCCGCGCCGCAUUUGGGAGCUUCGAGAGGGGGGCACGUGGCUUCACAGCGGGCACCGGCGCGACGCCACCCGCCGCCGAGGUCAUCCGUGGCGGCAUGAAAAGGCCACACACUAUGUCGGUGCUUGAAGGAGCUCCGACAGAGGAGAAGCCAAAGCUUCCCGCGCUAGGGUUUGCGGCAGCGGCAGAGGGGUUGUGGGAGUAGGAAGGGGUGAGGGGGGUGCCAACACGGGCGUCCAUCGGGCCGAUUCACCGGCGGCGGCGCGGGCGGAGCGAAGGUGGCGCGACGGAGAGAGUGCGGCGCGAUUGCUCGCGUGUGCGGCGCGCGGAAGCGGGCGUACAAAAUACACAGCGUGCGAUGGCGAUUUGGACCGCGCGCCCAACUCUAUAUGCCGCGCGCUUAUUGCGCGUCCGCUGGAGCCCCUACAUCGAUUGCGCGCGCUAAAAAGACAAAUUUGCGGCGCGACCCUUAUUUAGCACGGCUGUUGGAGAUGCUCUAAGCAGUGCAGCGGCUUCGGUCGCCAGAGGUCGAGAGGAGUGAGGGGAGGGGGGGUCGAUGGGGAUUUUUUGGGAGGGCUGGCUGGGCUAGGUCGUUCGAUGUCUAAUGGGCUGUCUGGGAAUCGGGACCCAAUUAACUAAUAUCCUUCCAAGUUCAUGAAUGAAUCCUUUAAAUCUUUAUUUACUACUCCUUUUCUACAAUCAUUUUCCUCAAUUUGGAAUAAGGAAACAAUUCAGAUUUUGAUUUCUCCUUGUUUUCAUUCAACAAUGAUAAUUUCAUUUCAAUUUAAGUACCAAUUUUGGAACACACGCUGUCAAGAAAUAGGCAUGUACAUACUCUCUGUGCAUGGCAAUAUUAAUGUGCCAGUUUAUUUGGGCUGAGCUGAGUCCUGAAGGUAGGACGCACAAUCUUCUUUGAAACAAAUGCCCUUUGUAGUUAACUUGGCAGUGGUAGUAGCAUCAUUUAGAUUUCUAGUGCAAUCCAAUAUUUCAAUUUUUAUUUUGUUGGCUAAGUACACCUCUAUGCAACUUCCACAACAGAAUAUUCCAAACUAUAGAAUGGUCUCAGUGUACCAGUUUUUCGAAUCUCCAUUGAAAAACUUGAAGGAAGAUGCUCGCCAAAUGGUCGUCAACUAUUUUAAAAACUACUUUGACUUAUAUGGAGAACAGUAUUAGUACUGUAAAACUUGACCAAGAAAGCUGAUGUGUAACAGCUAUUUUUUAAUACUGUUAAAACAAUAUACCUUUCGAGAUGUAGCUAUGAUCUCCAAAACGAGUAAGAACUUUUUCAUAUCAGUUAUCGUUACCUAGUAUACCAUGUUCGGAAAGUUUAAUCGUAUAUGUUUUGUAGCUCAUGCAUUGCUACCAUUUUCAUGAGCAUGGAUCUGUUACAAUAGGAUGAAACAAAUUAUGAGGCUGUGUGAUGUAAAUGUGGAUAUAUAUCACAGGUGCACAGCUUUGGGCUUUCGAGCGAUCCAGGAAGGUAAACCUGGAAGCUGGAACAUAAGAACUUCAUUGAUGUCUCUUUAGUCUGAAACUCAAUGCGACCAUAGUUAAUUUCCUUCUACCAAAUUCCUUUCAUUCCCAUCUAUAAAAAGUUUCUUUUUAUGCAUGUUCAGUGCUCAAUUCAAGUAUGCUCACCAAGGGAUACCUUUUUUUUGACAUUUUGGUGCAAAGUAGCUUAAUUUACCUCUCCUACUGUUUUCUUCAGAAUUAGAUGUUGAAAAUGGUGUUGGAACUCUAUUUAAUUUUUGCUGCAUUCUUAGUUGCUAUUAUUGAUCAUCAACGGAAGAGUUGAUAAAAUUCAAAUUUAGUUCUCAAUUCUUUUUGGUUCAUUUAAUUAUAAAGAUCUAUCUUCCUAGGUCGACGGUGGUCCAACCGCACCCGUCUUUAAAACAAUAGAGUUUGGAGUCCCAUGUGUUAGAAAUUUCAUACCAUUUAAACAAAAUGUAGAAAAGAACAAGCUAUGUUUAUCUAUGACAUUAAGCAACAGCCAAUGUUUAUCUGCCGCGUUUAUAAAAAGAAAUCUUUAGCUAGAGCAUUAAAACUAACCAAAUCUUUAGCUACAACAGUUAAGGCUUCCCUAUCUUUCGCUACAACAUUUAAAACUAGACAUGGCAUUUAAGACUUCCCUAUCUUUAGCUACAACAUUUAAGACUAGACGAUAAAGUCACUAGCUAUGUUUGGCAAUGUAAAAAUACAACAAUUUGGAUAACCCAUUCAAUUUGUGCUUGUUACUGAUGAGUAAUUACAAUACUAGUUACAGUUCUGCUAUAUAUAUGGACCGGGGUAAGUAAUGGAUACAUAUCAAAACCCAGUGAAUUUCUCACACAAUGGGGAAGCACAUCAAGCACAAUGCCCAACUUGUUGUCUUGCUUUCCAUGGUUCUUCUAAGUUGCCUGGUUUCUUCAGCCGUACAAGGUAAUGAACAAUUGUAAAUAGUUAUUUCAUGAACUUUCAGUGUUCAUCCUUAUGUUUAAAGUUUGUUUCGUCAACCUUGAGUAUGCACCCCUUGGAAAGAUCUAGAGUGGUUUUCUACAUAGGCAUUAUCUACAUGUUCACAUGCAAAAUGAAAUUACCUUCAUGUUGAGCUGACAUAAAUUUAUUUGAUUUUCACUUCAGUGACGACAAGAGGAGCAACACAGCGGCUAUACGGCCUAACGAUGAC
rnacentral:lncRNA from 1 species